UACAAUGACACCAACAUCGGAAAUGUAGAUUUGAAGCCUCUCACGAGCAUUAUAGAUUGGACUAUAAGGAUCAUAAUGGCACGCAAAACGAUCAUAUUGUCUGCCUGAAGCAUUGACGGCCAGGUACAAGGGCCAACCCAGCACAAGGGUGAUCGCCAGAGUGAUGACUCUGCCUGGAGGGUUGUUUAGGUACUUGUAGUACCACUCUAUUUCGGACUUUGGCUUCGGCACAAAGACUUCGUCAUGUUCGAUUGAUCCAAUGUUGGAGUGGUGGCGGCGGUGGCUGUGUUUCCACGAGAAGUAGGGGACCAUAAGUGCAGAAUGGAAGAUAAAACCAACGGUGUCAUCCACCCAUUGGUAGUCGCUGAAUGCAUGGUGACCGCAUUCGUGGGCAAUGACCCAAACUCCAAGGAAAACACAGCCCUGAAGAAUCCAGUAAAUAGGCCAGGCAAGGUAGUUGUAUGGAGAAGGAAGGAGAUGGAAAUAAGUUGUAGCAAUGUAGUAGAACAGAAAGACCAAGGUAAGGUCACGAACAAGAUAGGAGAAUGAGCGAAGGAGCGAUCUCUUAAAGCCGUGAGGUGGGAUGGCUUUCAUGAUAUCACGGAUAUUGAACGGAGGCUUCGAGAAUGGGACUCGUUUGAUUGGGUUCUUCUUGCGUCCGGUCUUGGUUGUUGAAGCAAACAACCGGCCUCCGGCUCCCAUUUUUGGUACAAUGCUCUAUCUGUUUGACUCAAGCAGAUCACAUGGACAUUGUGGAUGAAUUUAUAGCAGAAAAGCCUAAAGAUUAAAUAUUUCUUAAGGAUAUUCUUUCUUAAUUAUAAUGGAAGUAAUUCUGUUAUAGUAGUGCAAAAAAAAAGGACACUUUUGAUGGUUUUGUACCUGCUAAGAGUCUUGUUAUGUUUUCUCAUAUUUAUACUAAUCUCGAAUGAAACAAGGAUGAAGUGCUCCAAAUCCUCUAUCCCAUUUCUGAUUUAAAUCUCCAUCUUACUCUCUAUUUUCUUGCCAUGUGUGGUAACAUACCAAAAUAGAGUUGCAAGAAAAUUUGAACAUGACGGGAAAAAAAAAAGCCGGAUAAAGAUUGAAACAAGAAAUUGAAAAAGGAAAAAGUAGGAUGACAACGGAAACCAAAUAUGUGAAAGAGGAUUGAAAACUAGAAAAUGACACCUAUCCCGUUAGUAGUUAACUAGUUAUACAUGAGCACUAUAAGCCGCGGGACAAGUACACCAGGCUAAUGUAACAACUUUUGGCAUUUCAAGUGUAGAAUGUCAAGGCAAAUUUGGCUUUGACUUCAGCCUAUAGCACGGGAUUAGAGAAGAGAACCUGACAGUGAUAAUUUUCGAUCAUUACUGGCUGAAAUAUUUUACCGUAGAACAGGUUUUCAUAUAUUCCUACCAAUAGUACACACGUUUUCAUGCCAUGUAAUGGUUUGUCAAGCCAUAUUUAAGUACACAAGUUAGAACGUAUCUUGUAAAUGAUAUUAUGGUCGUAGAUAUACUUGUUUCAAUUUGCAGAGUACCCACGACUUCAAAUUGGUUUUGCUGGUGUUAUAGUAACUAUUUUUUUUCUGCACACUAACUCAGCAAUACCAUAAAAAUUGAUAACAUAUUCCAAUAUGUGCAGACGGCCCUAGAUUAGACAACUGUCAUAUUUUUUGUUUGCAUAUUAAAUCAAGACUCAAAAUAAAGAAAUUAUCAUAUUAUUUUUUAGUAGUGUUUUAAUCAAGUUAGGGUUUUAAUAAUUCUAUUUGGUUCAAGUUAUGGUAGUUUUAUUAUUUAGGAAUUAGUUUGAGGGCCUCGUUAUGGUGUGUGAUUAAUAUAUUAUUAUUGAUAUUUAUUCCUCUUCUCCCACACAUACUUAUAUCUAUGUAAAUUGCCUCUCAUAUACAUUGAUUUUAUAAAAUAUAUCUCCUAUAUAAUGUACAUUUUUGUGAAUUUUUGGGUUCUACGUCUGGUAUCAAAGUCCUGGAUUCAAGAAAUUAAUCCUGAGGUACCUAUAGACAUUGAAGCAUUGACUCAAUUACAAGGGUUAAUUGUGGGUGUUUUCUGUUGUCAGAGUUAGAGCAUGAAAAUUACUGCAAAGAAAUUAGUUGAUCGAGUUAGACCACAAGGUUAGUUAUGAAGUGCCUAGUUUGUGAGGAUCGGACCACAAGAUUGGUUAGAUAAUUGUCAGAUUGAUUGCAAAUGUUACGACAGAGAUCAGAGAAGAAUUCUGUCAGUUCAAUUGUGAUUAUGAAAAUCACAAAAUGAAUUGUUAACAAGUUGACAUCAAAUUGGACAAUGAAAACAAUCUAUCCAAAAGUGUGGAUUAUUUUCGCAAGUGAAAAAUAAGUUGAACAACGAGAUAAAUCUGUCCAAAUGCAUUGAAUAUUGUAGCAACAAAAAUUUUUAAAGCUGAAAAAUUCUAAUAGGUUGCAUUUUUGUCAUUAAAUUUAUGAUUAUUUUUUCCUUGAUUUUAGCCAAAUAUUGAAUUGAUAGAUUCUACUUAUAUUUAGCAAUUGUAUUGAUUGUAAGGAUCUGGAGCAAAAAGGAGUUAAAAACGUGAGCUCCGUUUGGAUUAGCUGUUUUUUCACGGUGUUUUUGAAAUAUUUUAUUAUAUCAAUGUAGUUGAAAAUUUUUUACUAUAGAUAAGGUUAUUUUUGGUUAUUUUUUUGCAAUUUUGGUAUUUUUUUUAAGGUUUUUUUUUUGUUUUUGGUGUUUUUGAACUUUUUUUUUGUGUUUUUGGUAUUUUGAAGUUGUUUUUGGUAUUUUUGAGAUUGUUUUUGUUUGUGUAUUAUUGUAAUAUUGUAGUUUAAAAACUUGUUUCAAAAAAUGAUCAAUCCAAACAGACCAGUGAUUUUUAACUGGAUUUUUUUACAAUUCAGCAUGGGCGCAUCAAAAUUGAAUUCUGCAUGUACGAAGGUUCAGGAUUUGGCACGUGAUUUCCAAGCUUUAAAUUGAAAUUGCAAGAAUCAAAUGUUCCAUCGAAUGGAAGUGUUCUACUCCUACUAGGAUAUUAGUCAAUUUAUCUAUUAGAACUAUUAGCAAUUUUCUUUUUUAUGGAAUAGGAGAUAUUGACUUGUUGUCAAUUUUGAUUUCGCUUAGUAUUAGUAGUUUAGUAGGAGUAGGAAACAUAAUAGCAGGAGGCAUUAUCGUUCCUUUAAUCUUUUCUUUUCUCCGAGCGAGAGAAUUAGUAGUAGUACUAGUUUAGGAAAAGAAAAGAGCGUAAGGAUGAGGGACUCUUGACUUUCGUGAUUUUUGAGACUUUGUUCCGGUCCCAAGAAACUAAUAGUUUAGUUGGAAGCAAAGAACCGAACGAAGAGUUUUUCUCUGGGUCUCUUCUUUUGCUUUUCUAUUAUGGGAUGUUCAUGCAGCUUUUGUCAAUGAAAUUGCUUGGAUUAUUUCCAACGCUGAUCAGCUAGUUUUUCAUUUUAGUCAAGAAGUUAUGGAGAAUUUAGUUCAUCUAAAAUUAUGAGAUGGAAUUGAUUAUAUUUAUUUCCUUUAUUUUACUGAUAUUCGUAUGUUCUCUGAUUUAAUUUUUUUUAAGGUUAUUAUUUUAUUUAAAUAUCAGGGGCACCUGAUAUUUAAUUUAAUCUAAUAAUGUAAAACCAGUUAAAGCAGUUAAAUCCGUAAUUGUUUAAUUACUUUAAAUUAGUGGCGGCUGACAUGAUUGAAUUUGUAUCAGGAGAACAUAUGGGCUAAUUUAAAAUAACCCUCGUAGCGUGUUAUUUGGUUAGAAUAGGUUUUCUCUAAUUUUUAAGACAACUGGGGAAUUGAACUCUAAGAUCGUGCUUAAGAUUAUUUCUUGAUUAGAGCGACUAAUGGUCGUAUUUUGAUCACCGAUACAGUAAGGAAAAGUUGAUUGUCAUCGCAUGUUUGGCAGUUAUAAAUUAUUUAUCAGUGAGUAAAUGAAAUUAUCAUUGCAUCGAUGAUUAAUUGAGUGAACCAUCUCCGAAAUUAUUUCUUGGCUAGAGAUUAUUCAUUAUUGAUUUAAUUUUUCUAAAUUGUCAUUUAAUUUUAAUUUUAUUUUAUUUAUAUGAGUUGUUUAAUUAUCCUCAAUUAUAUAAAAAUCCCCUCCAUACUCUAAACUCUAGAAGAAAUGAAUUCUCCUAGUCCCUGUGGAUUUGACCCUACUUAUCACUAUAUACAAAAUGCAUAUUUUAUUUGUGCAGAUAUUUAUUAUUGCACAAGUUAGAUACUUAUCAAUUUUUGGCGUCGUUGCCGGGGAUUGGAGCCUGAUAAAUUUGUUUCUUUUUUUUGAGUUCAUCUUAUUUUCAUUUAUAUUUUUUUCUUAUUUCUGUUUUGCUAGUUUAUGGCUACUAAUAUUCAAUAUUUUGGUAAUAAACUGAAUUUUAUUCCUAUGAGGGGUAAUGAGACUCGUGUUUUUUCUAAUGAUCAAUAUUUAGAUUAACUAACCUCAUGUACAAAAUUUGGUUGUUGCAACUUGUGAAAUUUGUUAUGUCUCAGAUCAUCCAAUCGACAUAUGCCCCUUAUUUUAAAAUGACUUGAGUGCCCCAAUCAAUAUUUUUGAAAUUUUUCACCCUAAUCUCGAACAUGGUAUGACCCUUAUUCAAAUGCGUAUACUCAAGAAUGGUGGGAUAGCUCCAACUUUAAUUAUGCUAUAGAACCAAUCGAUUUUUAAUAUCAGUAUCAACAGUAAGAGUCUCAAGAACCAUCAUCCAUAUCAGGUAUGUCUCUUGAAGAAAUGAUGAAAUUACUAACUGCUAAUAUAUAUUGAUUUCAACAGGAGACACAAAUGAAAAUUAGAGGGACGGAGGAUGGAAUAUGUCAACAACUAUUAUCCACAUCAAGUAUGUCUCUUAAAGAAAUAAUUGAUCAUUUUCAACUGGAGAUACAAAUAAGAAUUAGAAGGAUGGAAGAUCAAAGGCAUCUAUUUGUAGCUACAAUGAGCUAAUUGAUUUCUCCAAUUUGUGAAGAAUUUCCCUCACAGACUAUUAUCGAUCUUGAGAAAGAUGAGAGUGCAAUUACCCUGACAUGUGACGAGAAGCUGCAAGAGUUCCAGGGAGAAGGAUCUUCAAAUGCAGUUGAAAAGGAAGUUGAGAAUGAAAAAAUAAAACUCCAACCUCUAAUCAUUGAAGUGAAUGAAUCUAGUGAGCAAAUCUCAAAUAUAGUGACACCUCCUCCAUUCAUUAGCCAACAUUACCCUAACUCUUAUUCUAUAAUUUCUGCUAGUGCAAUUGAUGUUAUUAUACCAGAAAUUUUUGAGUCUUAUGACAGGAAUAAGUUAGGAGUUGUUAUGGCCAAAUAUCUUGAAUCGCUACGUACUCGUGAUGGAGGAGCGAGUGAAGAAUUAAGUCACUAUUUAACUAUUUGACGUCAUCUACUAGUCAAUGGAAGAAAGCAAUUCGUGUGCUUAAGGAUCCCUCUAUUUACGAGAGUUAUCAGAGUUAUAUAAAGAAUGAAACACUAAAAUGAGUUACACGAUUUUAUCCUCUAUGAAUAAAUAUGGUAAUGUCUAACAAAAGACAUUAAAGAAAGACGCUGCUUGGGAGGCAACUCAAGAAUUUUUAAUUUUAGUCAUUUCAUGUGUCUUGCUUAAUUCUUAGGUGCAAUUUAAGUGAUUGUGUUUCUUUGUAUCAGCAAGCAAUUAACUGGAAGACGUGCUCAAUUCAGAAUUGACUGUUGAAUAUUCCUAUGUCUAACACAAUUUUUCAGGAGACUCUUCAUGAUUUUGGUGUGGCUACGCUUUCUAGUCACGUGCUAAGAAAAAAAUUUCACUAUACAAUGUCAAAAAACUCCCAAUCUUUAUGACGUGCCCGCGUCUUCUGGUAACGUAUUAGGAAGAAAUUUUCCAAAUUCAUGAUCAGAAGACUCUUCCACUUUUUGACGUGCUUGUUUCAUGUUUCAGUGAGAAGGGUAAAAAAAAAAUAGAGAGAGAGAGAGAGAGAGAGGAUUUUUCUUUUUCCUUUUCCUUUCCUUUUCUUUUCCCAUUUUUUUCUCUCUUUUUUUAUCUUUUUCUUUUUCUUUCUUUCUCCCUUCUUUCUUUCCUUUCUUUUUCUUUCUUUCUUCUUUCUUUCUUUCUUUACUCUUCUUCGUCGCACAAGCUCUAUAUUUUCAAGAUGAUGCAGAAUCUGGCAGCAUUCUUUCAUCACGUAGGAUUCAACCCACCUUUUGCUCCUAAUUCGUCGCCAUUUGUUAUCUCCUUCACGUUUAGGGAAGUUUCGUUGUCCCUUUUACUUCAUAUUUUGUUCUUUAUUUCUUAUAUUGGGGACAAUGUAAAAUUUAGGUGUGGGGGAGUAGUAUAUUAGAAGAGUACAAAUAUAGGUAUUUUUGUUUUAAAUUUUUUGUUCAAUUUUUUUCAAAUUUUAUCCAAUUUUUAUCUAUUGUGCAUAUUUGUGGUUAUCCCUAAUAAAAGAUAGUUAGAUGUAUCAAAAUUUUCUAUUACUAAGAUUUUAUACUCUAAGGUGUCAAGUAUGAUGUGAUAAGGUCUAAGGGUUUCUCUUUAGUGAAUAGUUGAGAUUUUGUGAUAUUUGCAAUUUUUGGUUAACUUUUCUAUGUAUUGUAAAUAUUUGUCUAGCAUUUUUCGUGUAGAUUGAUUUAAUUAUUAAUCUUAGUUCUCUAUGUUUAGGAAAUGAAGUGGGCUUGUGUGGUCUUUAAUUUUAAUUUGGUACUUAUUUAUGAAUAGUAUUUGGUUAUACUCCACUGGUUAUUGUUGCCCAGUAACCGGGAAUUUUCAUCAAAAGUGUCGACUUUUGUAUCAAAAAGUGGCGAUAGUUAUGAGUAUGUGAUUUUUAAACAAUGAAAGUUAAGUAACCAGACUCCUUUAUUUAGUAAAUAUUGGACUUCGCGUCAAAAGAUUUAAAUGGCUAAGGACUAAGCAUUUCUCCUAGAAAAAAAUUAAGAAAAAAAAAAAGAAGUUUAAGUAUGGGAAACAUCUUUAAACAAAAAAAAAAGUGUAUAUGAAUAUGAAAGUGUAUGAAUAAGUUGCUGGCCCGCUGAUCCAUGGAUUGUAAUGUUGAGAUUUUGAUUAAUAAUCGAACCAUUUGCUGACGGAUGCUAGUUGAAUAUUUUAUAUUCUUAAAUUAAUUAGUUGGGAAUUGGGAGAGUCCAUAGUUUUAAAAGCUAACUGGAGAGGUAUUUCUUAGAAAUUAGCCAUUAAUGCUUGACAUGUUUUUCAUUUUAAUUAUACCUUGACAAUAAAUGAUUUGAGUAAUAGCCAUUGUUUGAAUUCAAUGACUUAGUAGUGCGUUAUUAGUCGUUUUCAUGCUUGAGAAUAAGCAUGGUUUAAGUGUCGGGGAAAUUGAUAAGUUGCAUUUUUAUCAUUAAAUUUAUGAUUAUUUUUCCCUUCAUUUUAUUUAUAUAUUGUAUUAAUUGAUAGAUUCUACUUAUAUUUGGUAAUUAUGUUGAUUGUAGGGAUCCCAAACGAAAAGGACUCAAGAACGUGAAUUUUAAUUAGAUUUUUGUGCAAUUCGGCGUGGGCGCAUCAAAAUAUAAUUCUACAUGUACGAAGGUUCGGGAUUUGGCACGUGAUUUCUAUGUUUUGAAUUGAAAUUACAAGAAUCAGAUGACACCAAAUGGAAGUCUUCUACUUCUACUAGGAUAUUACUCAAUUUAUCUAUUAGAACUAUUAGGACUUUUCCUUUUUAUGGAAUAGGAGAUAUUGACUUGUUGUCAAUUUUGAUUUCGCUUAGUAUUAGUAGUUUAGUAGGAGUAGGAAACACAAUAGCAGGAGGCAUUAUCGUUCCUUUAAUCUUUUCUUUUCUCCGAGCGAGAGAAUUAGUAGUAGUACUUGUUUAGGAAAAGAAAAGAAACGUAAGGAUGAGGGACUCUUGACUUUCGUGAUUUUUAAGACUUUGUUCCGGUCCCAAGAAACUAGUAGUUUAGUUGGAAGCAAAGAACCGAACGAAGAGUUUUUCUCUUCGUCUCUUCUUUUGCUUUUCUAUUAUCGGAUGUUCAUGCAGCUUUUGUCAAUGAAAUUCCUUGGAUUAUUUCCAACGAUGAUCAGCUAGUUUUUCAUUUUAGUCAAGAAGCAUUAGAGAAUUUGGUUCAUCUAAAAUUGUGAGAUCGAAUUAAUUAUAUUUUUUUCCUUUAUUUUACUAGUAUUUAUAUGUUCUCUAAUUUAAUUUUUUAGGGUUAUUAUUUUAUUAGUAUAUCAAGGGCGCCCGAUAUUUAAUUUAAUAUAAGAACUUAAAAUCAGUUAGAGCAGUUAAAUCCGUAAUUGUUUAAUUGUUUUAAAUUAUUGGUGACUGGUAUGAUUGAAUUUGUGUCAAAGGAACAUAUGGACUAAUUAAAAUAACCCUCGUAGCAUGUUAGUUGGUUAGAACAGGGCUUCUCUAAUUUUUAAGGCAAUUGAGGAAUUGAACUCUAAGAUCGUACCUAGGGUUAUUUCUUAAUUAGGGAAGUGAUUAAUGGUCGUACCUUGAUCAGCGAUACAGUAAGGAGAAAUUGAUUAUUAUCGAAUGUUUGCCAGUUAUAAAUUGUUAAUCAGUAAGUAAAUGAAAUUAUCAUUGCAUCGAUCAUCAAUGGAGUGAACAAUUUUCGAAGUUAUUUCUUGGCUAGACAUUAUUCAUUAUUGAAUUAAUUUAGCUAAAUUGUCAUUUAAUUUUUAUUUUAUUCUAUUUAUCCGAGUUGUUUAAUUAUCCUCAAUUAUAUAAAAAUCCCCUCCAUACUCCGAACUCUAAAAGAAAUGAAUUUUUCUAGUCCCUGUGGAUUCGACCUUACUUACUAUUGUAUACAAAAUCUAUAUUUUCUUUGAGCAUGUAUUUAUUAUUACACAGGCUCGACACCUGUCAAAUUCAAAGUGAUUCUGGCAGAAUUUUGCAAGGGAAAUUAUUGGUCAUAAUGGUGAUGAACUUGGUUCAAGAAAGAGCAUGAUUUAAGGGAGGCAGUGUUCACAUAUUAAAUCAAGACCCAAAAUUAGAAAUUUUCAUAUUAUUAUUUAGUAGUGUUUUAGUCAGGUUAGGAUUUUAGCAACUCUAUUUUGUUCAAGUUAUGGUAGUUUUAUUAUUUAGGAAUUAGUUUGUUAUGAGGAAAUUUCUUGUGGUGUAAGACUUAUUUAUCAAGUCAUCUAGUCUAUAAAUAGGGAAUAAUAUUAUUAUAUAGUUGAGAGGAGUGAAAUUUGAGAGAUUUGUUAUAGUGUGUGAUUAAUAUAAUAUUGUUGAUAUUUAUUCCUUUUCUCCCAUACAUACUUGUAUAUGUGUAAAUUGCCUCGCCAAAUAGAUUGAUUUUAUGAAAUGUAUCUCCUAUAUAAUGUUUUGGUCAAUUUUUGGGUUCUACAUUGUUGGGUGAAAGAGUGAAAUUCAAAGCAGAAAGAAUUUGUUGAUUGUUAUCUGAAAAGUAUAGAUCCAAAAUCCAAAAAUAUCAAAAUUAAGUUCUUUAUGUCUUGAAUUAUAAUGGAAAGUGGUCAAACCUUUGAAAACAUCUAUAUCAUGAACGAAGUGCAGCACUAAUUGACAGGUUGUAGAAACUUGUGCAAUAAAAAAAUUAAAUCUAAUUGCCAAAUAAAGUAACCACAACCCAAUUUCAAGUACUGGAAUAGGGACUCUAGAUGUGCAAUGGGUUACUUGAUUCACCCUAUUCCCGAAGAGUUUCCUUGAUCCGAUAUACCUAUAUGGGAUGACUUUUCGCAAAUAAUUAUUAAUUUGUAAACAGAGCAAGUAAGGUCAUAUCCUCAGGGAUUGGGGAUAUUUGUCUCUUUCGAAAUCCAAAGUAACACGGGGGUGUUUUUAUGUAUACGAUGACAAUCAAAGAAAUUCAAAUAAAAAUAAAUAUCUAACUAGAAAUUAAAUGACAAUACGCUGAAAUUGGAUUAAUAAUAAUUAAAGGUCUAGCCAAGAAAUAACUUCAGCAAUGGUUCACCUAAUUGAUCAUCGAUGCACAAGUAAUUCAAAUUAUUUAUUAAUAAAUAGGUUAUAACUGCCAAACAAGCGAUAACAGUCAACCCCUCCUUACUGUGUCGGUGAUUAAGGUACGCCGUUUAAUCACUGCUCUAAUUGAGAAAUAAUUCUAGGUACGCCCAUAAGAUUUAAUUCCACAAUUGCCUUACAUAUUAGAGUAGCUCUAUUCUAACCAAAUAACGCACUACCAAAAUUAUUUCAGAUUAACCCACGUAUCCCCCUGAUACAAACCUAAGCUGUCACUAAUUCAAGGCAAUUAAAUAAUUACAGGUUUAAUGCCCUAAUUGACAAUAGAUUAUCAAGUUAACUAAUUAUCUGGAUCCAAGAUAAUCAAUUAAUUAAAUAAUCAUAAGUACUGCAAUCAAGAAAUAUGCGAAUACCAAUAAAUAAAAGAAAAAGAUAAAAUUAAAUCGAUCUCACAAUUUUUAGGCGAACCAAAGCAUCCGUUGCUCCUUGACUAGACAAAGGAGAUUUAGUUCAUCCCGGAUGCUAAAAACCCACGCGAAAUUGAAUCAAUAGUGGCGACCAUUGUGCUCGCUCGCGGCAAUUCAAUCCGAUUGAAUGAAGAAGGAAAAGUAAGCUACAAUGAAAAGUUCAUUUGUUUCUGAUUGUCACCAGUGAAAAGUCAAACAGAGGAGCUAAAGAGAAUGAUUCAAUGUUCUUCUCAUAGCCUCUGGCCUACAAUAAUUAAAGCUAAGCAAAAGCUCACAAAAGGAAAGUCAAAGAGCAAAAGCUCUCCAAAAGAUAGUGCUCAUUCUCUGCCCCUAAUUUCUGUCUAAGUCCUACUACCCUCUUCCUGUGCGGUGGCUCCCCAGCGAGAAUAGAAGACCUCAGCCGUCCUCGCCUUUACAGCAAUUACCAAAAAUGGGCAUAAGCUUUCCUUUUCCAAAAAUGUCCCCUGGGAUAAUCUCUGUUGCUUGGGCUUCUUUCUUGUCAAAUUGGCACUUGUUAUCAUAUUUUCGUUCUACUCCCUGAAAUAAAUGCAAAAUAUUAAAAGUGAGUAGAAUUUAAUAAUUAAUCCACAGCAAAUCAGGUAAUAAGGAAAAUUAAUAAUAAAAUAAAUGAUUAAAUUGCAUCCUAUCAAUUCCCCCCACACCUAAACUAUGCUUGUCCCCAAAUAUAAGAACAGUAAACAAACAACAAUAUUUGACAAUGGCAGUUGCUCUAUCUACCAUAUUGCCAAGAUACCAAGAGAAACCCAUAUAUCAAGUAUCAGUGAUCAAAAUUCGAGAAACAUCACUCCGGUUAGCUUCUAAACCACAAACUCAUUCAAUUCCAACUUAACUAAUUUAAGAAAAAGGAAUGGAGCACAACAUUUAUCAGCAAAUGGUCCAAAUAUUAACCAAAAUCUCCACAUUAAAUCCAUAAAUUGGCAAACUGACUUUUAUCACAUACUAACACAACCUACACUUUUUUUUUCCACGUUUUCUAUAUUUUUUUUCUUUUUUUUUAGAUAGCACAAAAAACUUAGUCUCUAACCAUUGGAGCCUUUUGAUGCGAAUUCUAACAUUUUCAGAUGAAGGAGCCUAUUACUCAGUUCCUAUCGCUAUACGACUACAUACUCAUAGAAAUUACUACUUUUUGAUGCGAGAAUCGAUACUUUUGGUGAAGAUCCCCGGUUACUCAGUAGUAACAACUAGCGGAGUACAAUCAACUCUUAUUUAUAGCCACAUGGAACAAUAACGCAAAAUAACACUGCUAAAAAUAAAAAUAGGAGCAGCUAGCCUCAUUAUUGCCAAACAUGAAGAAUUAGAGCCAAUAUUGGACCAAUUCACAUGAAAAUGCCAACAGUCAUUCCCUUUACCUAGAAAAGUUAACAAAGAAAUCAAGAGAGUCAAGCAGUCAUCGAUAUUCACCAAAGAGACAUUUUGAACUCAACCGCAUUAACUCGAUACACUUUUAUUAUUAAAACUCGGCAAGAGUAGAUUUAGAGUCAACAAUCCAACAUCAAACUUUGACAUUCACAUGAGAGCUCAUAACUACAAAGAAAGAAAAUGGCUGAAUGAAAAAAAACAAAUAACAAACUAAAAAUAAAGGAAAAACGACUAAAAACUAAAAAUUAGAAAAAUUGGCACCCCAACUAAACCCCCCCACACCUAAACGGUACAUUACCCUCAAUAUAGCAAAUAAACAUCAAAAGUAUGAGAGAGGGUAACAAAACUUCCCUGAAGUAGGGUCAAAGUGGUGGGCGAUACCCAAAUUGCGAUGUAUGACCCGCAUGCUGCAUGAAUGCUGCUAAAUUCUGUGCCAUGUAAUGCACGUUGUGAUCAAUAUUGAUCAUUCGAGCCUCCAGAUUCUGAACUUGAAUCCGAAGUUGAUUCCAUUCAGCAGCUCCUGGGGGUGGUGGGGGCAGAGCGGAGGUAGACGAGCCUGCAUCAUCGCCAGCAGGGGCCGAAUUGGUAAAAGAAGAGUGAGGUGAGGCGCUGGGCGGUCCCGAGGGAGUAAAUCGGUAGGCACCAUUGACAUGCUCCAGAACUCCCAUCCUCUCUAAGCGUUCAACAUUCACAAAUUCCAUGUCGCAGGCCAAAUGAAGGUCGUGAUCCUGUAGAAUGAGAACUCCUAGCUGGACUGCCAGGCGGGUGAUGUAGGACUCGAGGAUCAGGGGUAUGUUCUUCUUUGCCAAAACGGUCUUGAACUGUGCAGUCAACCAACACCCCAAAUUGACUUUGAAACCGGUUUUCAUGCACCAGAGAAAGAAGAGCUUCGGUCGAGAGAUUAUACUGGAGCUAUCCUUUCUACCCGAGUAACUGUAUGCUAAGAGUCGUUGAACAUACCGAACACUCGGGUCCUCGAGAAAAGAGCUCCUAGAUCUAGACGGGUCAUACCGCUGCCUGUCGACGAAUAUGUCCCACCACACAUCAUGGUAGGGGGAAAGAAAUGGCUCUACAUAAUCACAGGCACUCUCGGCAUAUUCCCUAGUCACCGCAUACUCCCGAGUGAUAAAACCGAAUGCCAAAUUAAACUGGGUAAUAGAGAAAUUGAAUUCCUUACCCAUGAGACGGAAACGAAUGACAUUGGGAGUCUCAACAGUAUACCUCGUAGGUAAUUCAAACUCAAAGAUGGAAUAAAACUCCCUAGUCAACUCAACAAAGGCGGGUUGGAAAACAGCGAGAUAGGGGCGCCAUCCAAUGGCGGUGUACAUGCGCUCAACCUCCUCCUGGAUACCCAAAAAAAGCCAUAGUCAACUCGUCCGAGCACUUGAACGGAAUGAUACGCCGCUCACAGGCUUUAGCAUAGCGCCGCUCACAGGCCACGUGGGCACCCCUACCCCUGCCUAACCGGGUUCGGACACCGGAAACGGAAGGUUGGUUGAUAAGGGUAUUGACUGGAAUGGAGGGUUGGGGUGGUAGCUGAGACUAAGAGGUUCUAGACCUAGAAGAGGAUUUGGGUCGCACCAUAGCUCCUAACUGUCAACUCAAUCAACCAGAGAUAGAAGCGCCAACAAUAGUCUCAGUAAAUGCAAUUAGCAAAAGAAACUCAGCAAAAGCAAAGCAACAGUCUCCAAGUAGCAACCCAAUCAAUAGCCAAUAGAAGAAUUCCAGCAAGCGCCCCCAGUCCACUGGGGUCAAUAACCAACACAAGAAACAAAGAAGUCCGAAAACGGGGCGACGACUUGCACAAUGGAUUAGACCAAAAUCACAUACAAUGUCCCUCCGAAUCAGCAAUUUAAGUCGUCAGCUAGAAUGUCCCCAACAAUGCAAUUAAAUAUGACAAACCUCACAAAGUAAAUCAAGCGGCACAGGGUUCCUAAGUCAACAGGCAACAACAGCUCCCAAAUUUAACAAUAAAAAACAAACAAGGUUCAACCAGAAUCCCAACAGAUAGUCCCAAUUGGACAGUUAAUCGCACAAUUUCAACCAACCCAAAAGAAGCAUCAAAUUUAAGUGAAAAUACUCCAACCAGUACCACUGGAGGAAAUCACACAAUUGAGGAAAUAACCUCUAAUAGUCAACAACACCAACUAUUGAGCAAUCUAGGCAGCACCAAUCAAUAUUAAGAAAUUGAGGGACAACUUCCAAAUACCUCCACUGUAGAGGGUAGCCAAACGAAAUGGGACAGUAGCGGGUGUCAGUUAGGCCGGAGUCGCAUGAGGGGUUGCGGUGGUGUCAAUGAAGACAGCGGUGGUCAAAGGUGGAGUAGGAGCGAGCGACGCACAGCGAAGUGGUGGCACGCGAGCGCAAAUCAGUGGCUAGCGUCGGCGUCGCUUGAAGGGUCGGACGAUGGUGGGCUUAGUCGCGCGGUGAGAUGGGGAGCUGAGAGGGCUCUUGGUGGCGUGCGAUGAGGUUGGGGAACGGAGGGGGUUGGCGGCGUUGGUCGCUCGGCCGUGGCAGUCGCGAGAGCUGGUGAGAGAGGCGCGGCGCUGACGGCAGAGGAGAUGGGUGACGCGCCGAGUGGGUCGAGCAGAGAGAGACCGGUACAGAGACUGCGAUGGUGAGAGAGCUGGUGGCCUGCGGCUUGUGGCUUUGUGGCCGAGAGGGACGGCGGCAGUCCUCUGCUUGGGCGCGAGAUGCGGCGUGUGGAGGCGCAAGGAGGGAGAAGAGGUGGCGCCCGCAGAUCGGAGCUCUGGCGUGCGGCUAUGCUGGUGCGGGCAAGCUAGCGGCACGCUGGCUGGAGUGGAAACUUUCGGAGAUGGAGGGAGAUAGCGGCGUUGUGAGGUCUUCGGGUGACACAGAGGAGAAUAGGGGAAAAGAAAGAAAGAAGAAAGCGAGGAAAAGAGAGAAAAGAAAGAAAGAGAAGGAAAGAAAGAAAAAAAAAAGAGAAAAAAAAAAUAGUUUGUUUUUUCAAAUUUUUUGUGUGUUUGGGUUUUUUAUUUAUUAAAUAAAAAUUUGUACCUUGGAAAUCUAAGCUACGGUGAAUAAAAAAUUUAAAAAAAAUUUUAAAUUAAAUUUUAUUUUAUUUUAUUUUUAAAUUUUUUUUUUUGCAAAUUUUAUUUCCAAAAUUCAAAAUUAGAGAUUAACAGAAAAUCAAUAACCGUUCUUGAGUUUUUUGAAUACUUACCUUUCCCGCAAACGUGACGUGCGCACGUGACGAAGGCACGGAAUGAGGAGCUCUCCAUACGAUAUGACGCGGGCGCGUCAUAAAGGCAACAACCUUUCUGACCGUGAACUCUCCAUAUAACUUGACACGGGCGCGUCAUAUUAGAAAGACACCUAUGAAUCACCAAAAACGAAAAUUGAAACCUGAAAUCAAUCAAACUGAAGGAAAAUAUAUUUAAACUAUCACACAAAACCAAACAAACAAUUAAAAGAAAUUGGGUUGCCUCCCAAUGAGCGCCUCUCUUUAAUAUCUUUUGGCUGGACAUAGCAAGGUGCCAUUAAUUGGGACACGGCGGUGCAUCUAGACUUAUCGUCUCCACUUCUUCGCUUGGAAAACCUUCGUAAUAAUGUUUGAGAUGAUGUCCAUUCACCACGAACUUAUUGUCUGUUUUAGCACUCUGAAUUUCAACUGCACCAUAGGGAAAGACGUCAGUAACAAUAAAAGGUCCAAUCCAACGGGAACGUAGCUUACUUGGGAAGAGUUUAAGCCCGAAUUGGUACAGGAGGACCUUCUGACCAACUUCAAAGGUUUUUCUAGAAAUUUGUUAAUCAUGAAAUGCCCGGCUUCUCUCGUAAAUUAGUGCAUUCUCAUAGCUUUCGUUCCGAAUCUCCUCCAAUUCUUGCAAAUCCAAUUUCCGUUGGGCACUGGCCUCUUCGAGGUUCAUGUUACACUGUUUGAUCACCCAAAAAGCCUUGUGCUCGAACUCCAUUGGAAGGUGACAUGACUUCCCAAAUACCAAUCUGUACGGUGACAUCCCUAUAGGGGUCUUGUACGCCGUUCGAUAGGCCCAAAACGCAUCUUCCAACCUUUGACUCCAGUCCUUCCUAUCGGGUUACACCAUUUUCUCCAAAAUAGACUUAAUUUUUUGAUUCGAUACCUCCGCUUGACCAUUGGUCUGAGAGUGGUACGACGUUGAGACCCUGUGGAGUACAUCGUACUUGCGACACAACGCGGCUAUGGUUUUGUUGCAGAAAUACAUCCCCCUGUCACUAACAAUAGCCCUUGGCAUCCCAAAACGCACAAAAAAUAUUAGACCUGAUAAAAUCUGCAACCACUUUCGAUGAAGUAGGAAAAGGCCCCAUAAAAUCUAUACCCCACACAUCAAAAAUUUCGACAAAAAUCAACGGGACUUGGGGCGUAUGAUCUCUACGGGUUAUAUUACCUACCCUUUGACAACAAUCACAAGACUUACAAAACACAUACGCAUCUUUAAACAAAGAAAGGCAAUAAAAUCCACUUUUUAAUACCUUAUGAGCAGUUCUCUUGGGUCCAAAACGAUCUCCACAGGCAAAAGUAUGACAAAAACUCAAAAUUGACUGAAAAAUUCAGUUUCACUUACACAUCGUCUCAUCACUUGGUCAGCACAUCUCUUCCACAAGUACGGGUCAUUCCAGGUGAAAUACUUGGCAUCGCUCUUCAAUUUGUCCCUCUUCGAUUUUGGCCAACCUGCAGGAAAAUUACCAGUUACCAAGUAGUUAACUACAUCAGCAUACCAAGGCAAUUGAGAAUUUAGAGAAAAUAAAUGCUCUUCAGGGAAUGCAUCCUUUAAUGGUUCGUUCUCCUCUCCAACUGGUAUGUGACUCAAAUGGUCGGAUACUAGAUUCUCUGAGUCUCUUUUAUCCCUUAUCUCCAGGUUAAAUUCCUAUAGGAGCAAUAUCCACCCGAUGAGUCUCGAUUUUGCAUCUUUCUUGGUCAUUAGGUGCCUUAAUGCUGCAUGAUCAGAAAAUACAAUUAGUUUAGCACCUAACAAAUAUGACCUAAAUUUUUUAAAGCAAAAAUAACAGCAAAAAGCUCCUUCUCAGUAGUAAAGUAGUUUAAUUGAGCUCCGUUCAAGACUCGGGAUACAUAGUAGAUGACAUGAACUGCCUUUCCCACUCUUUGCUCCAAUACAACCCCUACAGCAUGGUCACUGGUAUCGCACAUGAUCUCAAAUAGCAAAUUCCAGUCAGGGGGUUGGAUGAUCGGGGGUGAGAUUAACAGCUUCUUUAACAUGUCAAAAACUCUCUCACACUUCUUAUCGAACUCGAAAGUCACAUCUUUUGUAAGAGUUGGAACAACGGGCCUCCAAUUUUCGAAAAGUCCUUGAUGAACCUUCAGUAAAAUCCUGCAUGUCCAAGAAAAAAACGCACUUCCCGCACACUCACGGGGUAAGGUAAAGCAGAUAUAAUAUCUAUUUUCAUCUUGUCAACUUCAAUACCUUUAGAAUACACAACAUGACCUAAGACUAUCCCAUGUUCAACCAUAAAAUGGCAUUUUUUUUCAAUUAAGCAUAAGAUUAGUCUCUAUACACUUCAACAGAAUCAGUUUCAAGUUAUCUAGACAGGUAUCGAAACUAUUACUGUAUACACUGAAAUCGUCCAUAAAAACUCAAUGAUUUUCUCAACAUAUUCAGAAAAAAUGCUUAUCAUACAUCUUUGGAACGUUGUAGGUGCAUUGCACAACUCGAAAGGCAUCCGUCUGUAAACAAAGGUCCAAAACGGGCACGUGAAGGUCAUCUUCUCUUGAUCCUCUGGUGCAAUUGCUAUCUGAAAGUACCCUAAAAAUCCAUCUAAAAAAUAAUAGUAAGCCCUACAACCUAGACGUUCAACCAUUUGGUCAAUAAAAGGAAGAGAAAAAUGGUCCUUUUUUGUGACGGCGUUCAGCCUAUGGUAGUCAAUACACUGCCUCCAUCUGGUGGGUUUGCGCACUGGCACGACCUCACCCGUUUGAUUGGCCUCUACCAUCACUCCCGCCUUUUUUGGGACUACCUGGAUUGGGCUCACCCAAGGUGAUACGUUCCUCGAUCAACACUUUUCGAGACACGUAGCACGUUUGCCCAAGAAUCUAGCGAGGAUGUCCAACGCUUGGAAUUGCGGGAUCUAGAACCAAACGGACGACACGACUUGAUUCAAGACGGUAGGACGACGACUCCAAUGAAGGUGAUUACUCCACGGGAUAGGUCGGUAGAACGAUCUAGGACAAGACACAAGAUUGCUCAAAAACCCUUGCCAAAGCAAGUAAAGUGCUCGAACUCUCUUCUUAGAAGAAGGGACGAAUUAAACUAAUUUAUUGAUAAAACGACUACCCUAAAACCUUACAAAGCAAGCCUAUUUAUAGGCUAAAGUGACUAAAAAAACCUAAGGAAACAAUGGCAAAGAGUUCGGCCAUCUUGGUGUCCAAGAUGGGCCGGCCCGAUGAGCUAUGAAGACAAAUUAAUCCAAUCUAUCAAAUACUAAGGCUAAGGCCCUAUAGGGCCGGUCCUCUUGAAGGCCCACUUGAGUCUUCGUGGGCUUGGAUCAUGGUGCAAAUGGCUUGAUUGUCUCUCUCUAAACUCUCAAUAUCUUUGUGAACUCCAUGUUGGUCUUGGACGACUCGAACCAGGGCUUGGAGUGAUUCUUUGAAGAGCUUGGCCCGUGCACGUGUGACUGGGCCCAAUGGAACUCGGACGGGGUCAUUGCAUGGGCCGAGACUCGUGCACACAUCAGUCCCCUCCUCUUGAGAAGGAUUUGCCCUCAAAUCUGGAUCCUCCUCAUCAAGAAAUGGGUUUAGGUCCGCGACGUUGAAGGUCGCACUAACAUUGUACUCCCCAAGUAGCUCCAACUUGUAUGCGUUGUCAUUGACUCUUUGGAGUACCCGAAAUGGUCCGUCACCUCUUGGGGACAAUUUGAUUUGGCGUUGCUUGGGAAAUCGCUCUUUCCUCAAGUGUAGCCAAACCCAAUCUCCAGGCUCAAAAAUCAUCUUGCGACGGUGCUUGUUGGCUUGCUAGAUGUAUUGCUGCGUACGCUUCUCAAUGUUUGCUCGCACGGCCUCAUGUAACCUGCGCACAGAAUCAGCUUUCUUUUUUCCAUCUAAGCUUGUGUGCUCAGAGGAAGGUAAAGGCACCAAAUCAAGGGGGGUUACGGGGUUGAAGCCAUAAACAAUCUCAAAGGGGGAGUAUUGUGUGGCACUAUGCACAGUUCGAUUGUAGGCGAAUUCAACAUGAGGGAGGCACUCUUCCCAAGUCUUAAGAUUCUUUUUAAUCAAGACCCGAAGUAGAGUGUCAAGUGUGCGAUUGACAACUCCAGUUUGUCCAUCGCUUUGUGGAUGACUAGUGGUGGAGAAUAAUAACCUAGUGCCCAGUUUGGACCACAAAGUCUUCCAAAAGUAACUCAAGAAUUUCACAUCUCUAUCACUGACAAUAGUUUUAGGCAGGCUAUGCAGAGGGACAAUUUCUUUGAAGAACAGGCAUCGUCAGUUUUGUGGCAAGGAAUAAAAUGAGCCAUCUUAGAGAAUCUAUCAACCACAACAAAGAUGGAGUCAUUACCCCUUGUUGAUCUAGGCAAUCCUAAUACAAAGUCCAUAGACAAAUCAACCCAAGGAUGGUGAGGGAUAGGUAAUGGGGUAUACAAGCCAUAUGGACUUGUCUUAGACUUUGCCUUGUGACAAGUAGCGCAUCUACCAACCAUGCGUUCAACAUCUCUACGCAUAUGAGGCCAGUAAAAGUGCUCUUGCAACAUGGCCAGAGUCUUGGUGAUGCCAAAGUGGCCCAUGAGACCACCACUAUGUGCCUCUCGAAUCAAAAGAUCAUGAAUGGACGAAUUAGGUACACACAGUUUAUCUACAUGGAAUAGAAAUCCAUCAUGCAAGAAGUAUUUUCCAUGCGGCUUCUUAACACAAGCAACAUAGAUAUCACCAAAGUCAUGAUCAUUUGUGUACAGUUCCUUAACCAUUUCGAACCCUAGUAACUUGGCAUCCAGGAGGGCAAGCAACGAAUGUCUACGUGAUAAUGCAUCAGCCACUACAUUCGUUUUGCCAGUCUUAUACUUAAUGACAUACGAAAAGGUGUCAAUGAAGCUUACCCAUUUGGCAUGUCGCUUGCUUAACUUGGGUUGUCCCUUGAGGUACUUCAAUGACUCGUGAUCAGUAUGUAUCACGAACUCCCGAGGGCGAAGAUAGUGUUGCCAAGUCUCCAAGGCCCUCACUAAUGCGUACAACUCCUUGUCGUACGUGGGGUAGUUUAAUGCAGCUCCUCCCAGUUUCUCACUAAAAAAGGCACAAAGCCUCGUGUCUUGCAUGAGGACUGCUCCAAUACCUACACCAGAAGCAUCGCAUUCAAUUUCAAAAGUCUUGUGAAAAUUUGGUAAUGCUAACACAGGUGUACGUGUGAGUGUGUUCUUGAGGGCGAGAAAUGCUUGUUCUUGUGGUUCUCCCCAGUGGAACUUGUCAUUCUUCUUUGUCACGGCGGUCAACGGGGCGGCAAUGGUGCUAAAAUCUUUGACAAAGCGCCGGUAAAAGCCAGCCAAUCCAAGAAAGCUGCGCACGUCAGGGACGGAUGUGGGAGUUGGCCAUUGCUCGAUGGCCUCAAUCUUGGAUUUGUCCACCUUGAUGCCCUGCGAACUUACCACAUAAGUUAAAAACACAAGCUCGUUAGUACAAAAGGUGCACUUCUUGAGGUUGGCGUAAAGACGCGCCUGUCGAAGUGUCUCAAGAACUAAUCUCACACGCUCUAGGUACUCAUGCUCACUACGACUAUAGAUCAGGAUGUCAUCAAAGUAAACAAUGACAAACUUGCCAAUAAAGUGUCUCAACACAUGGUUCAUUAGUCGCAUGAAGGUGCUAGGAGCAUUAGUCAAGCCAAAAGGCAUGACUAGCAACUCAUAGAGACCAUGUUUGGUUUUGAAGGCUGUUUUUCACUCAUCACCUUCUUUCAUCCUAAUUUGAUGAUAGCUACUCCUUAAGUCAAUUUUGGUGAAAAUAAUGGCACCAUCGAGUUCAUCCAGCAUAUCAUCAAGUCUAGGAAUGGGAUGACGAUAUUUGACAGUGAUAGCAUUCACAACCCCACAGUCAGUGCACAUGCGCCAAGUACCGUCCUUUUUGGGAACAAGUAUCACAGGCACAGCGCAAGGACUUAGACUUUCCUUUACCCAACCCUUACCUAAGAGGCCAUCAACUUGCCUUUGAAGCUCCUUGGUCUCCUCAGGGCCCAUGCGGUAAGCAGGUUUAUUGGGCAAUGGUGCUCCAGGAAUGAGGUCGAUUUGGUGUUCAAUUCCCCGAAUGGGUGGUAAGCCAUUAGGGACCUCGUCAGGGAAAACAUCCUCAAAUUCUUGCAAAAGAGCAACUAUGCUCGCAGGCAACGCCUUGUCGAGCUCAGCAACAUCCAAGAGCACAUGCUUGCAAAUCAUGAGAAGUAUAGGCUGAUUAGAGUUCACCACUUUUCUAACAUCUUUAGCCUUAAUAAUCAUGUUGUGCUUCCUAGUGGUAGGUGCGGUAGGUGAUUUGUCAUGUAUACCCCUAGGUGUGCUCCCUUGACCCUUGGUUGAUGGCUCACUCGUAGACGUGGAGCCUUUACCAGGGUCGACCGCCUUUAGUUUCCUCCUUUGACGGUCUUGUUCACACUCCCUUUGCAAUAGUAGUUGGUCCUCAUAAACUUGUGCAGGUGUGAGAGGUGUAAGGACCUUACGUUUGCCAUCAUGCAAAAGUGUGUACUUAUUUGCUCUUCCAUCGAAUGUGACGUGUUUGUCAAAUUGCCAGGGCCUUCCCAAAAUGAUAUGCGUAGCAUGCAUUGGUACUACGUCGCACACGAUUUCAUCAGUGUAAGUACCAAUUGAAAAGGGAAUGCGUACCUGUUUGAAGACUCGUACCUCACCAUCCUCACUUAGCCAUUGGAGACGGUAAGGAUUUGGAUGCCUGGUAGUGGGGAGUCCUAGACUCUCAACCAUGAGCAAACUGGCCACGUUCGUGCAACUCCCACCGUCGAUGAUGAGACUACACACCUUGUCGCCUAUCUUACAGCGGGUGUAGAAAAGGUUUUCGCGUUGUAGCUGUUCGUCCUCCUUAACGCGGGCGGUUAGCACUCGCCGUGCCACCAAGAAACCUACUUCUCCUCGUGUAGGCGAGCAAGCCUCCCUAGCUGACUCUUCUUCCAGGCAGUCGUCUUCGACCAGUUCGGGCAUCUCCUCACAUUCGUCAUCAUCAGACACGAUUUCGCCAUUGUGAGUGAUGAGCAUGACCCGUUGGUUUGGGCACUGAGAUUGAAUAUGUCCAAACCCUUGGCACUUGAAGCACUUGAUGUCCCUACUCCUAGUCUUAGGAGUCUCAUGCGCUGCCUUUGAAAUGGACCUGGAUGCAUCGGAAAUCUUGUUAGGGGUAGAAUAGGAAUGGCGGUUAGAGGUGUUACCUUGGAUUCGGUUAGAAGAGGUUGGUGCUGCCGCAUUUCCAACUUCGUGGGUCGCCCUUCGUGGUUGGUUGCCCCUCCAUGAAGUGGUGUUAGAAGUUUGGAACGUACGUACUCCGCAUCUUAGUUUCUUCCCCCGCUCGGCCUUAAUAGCGAGUUCUAGAAGGUCGUGCUUGUCCAAGUAAUGUUGGAGCUCCAAGGCUUCUUGAAGGUCAGGAUUGAGACCUCUAAGAAACCGAGCCAUCGUGGCCUCCUUGUCUUCUUGAAUGUUGGCCCUCAUCAUGGCCAUCUCAAUUUCUUUGUAGUAGUCCUCCACACUCAUGUUGCCUUGCGUGAGAGUUUGAAGCUUAGAGUGGAGAUCGCGAUUGUAAUAGUUAGGAACAAAUCGCUUGCGCAGCAGUACCUUGAGUUCGCGCCAAGUCCGGACACGUGGCUCUCCCAUCUUCCUCCUAUUGGUCCUUACUUGGUCCCACCAGACUAGUGCGUAGUCGGUAAACUCCACGGUGGCAACAUUAACCUUUUGUUCCUCACUGUAGUCGUAGCAGUCGAAGACCAUCUCGAUACGGCCUUCCCACUCCAAGUAAGCUUCAGGGUCACUUUUGCCUUUGAAUGCGGGGACUUGAAUCUUAAGCCCCUUGAGUUCGUUCUUGGGCGUGUCCCUUAUAGACCUCUCGGGUCGCCCCUCAUCCUCACUAGCGGAGUAGUCUUCGCCAUUUGCCUCUUUGGUGCUGUGGUUACUCCGAUAGUGGGAUCUAGAACGAGAGCCUCGUGUAAGACUCCUGGACAACUCGUCAAAACGAGUGUGUAACGUCUCCAUUUGUUGUUCACUGAUUCGCCUUAGCUCAUUCUUCAUUGCGGCAAACAACAAAGAGUGAUCGGUGGUUGCUUGUUGCUCCAUGUCUCGCUUGAUGCCCCUGCAAAGGUUAGUAACAAGCAAAGAAAGUGCAAAUAUAAUCCUCACUUUACUCCCUGAGUGUAUCUUUCUCUCUCGUGUAUAGUGCUCAAGUCGCUCUAUAAAACUUGCCAAGUACCUUACCUGUUGGUUUAGGUAGUUGAGAAAUGUUGCUCGAGUCCAACAAUUUGUCACCAACUUUUUCCCACAAGAGUAAACAAGAGUGAAGGAUGCAAGUGGAUGAAAUUUUGUGAAGGAAAUGACGGUUUUGGAAGGCUUGGGGACGGUGGACAGAUUUGGAAUUAAUGUCAAGAAAGGAAACUCCAAGAAUCCUAAGAUGCAGGAGUGGUUUCCUAAAGUGGAUGAGAGAAUAUAAGAGAAUAUCCUAAAAUGGAGGAGAAAAUAUAGAGAAGUGUCCAAGAGUUAUCCAAGUUUGUUUGCUUAGUCUCCUAAACCAAAAUGGAAAACAAGUUAGAGUUGGAAACUCCCCUGAAGAUCUUUCUUAAGCAACUUCCUAAUCCUUCUCCACAACAGAUUCGGUUCCUCCUCUCUCUUACCUGCAAACUUCCAGAAAUUCACCUCUUAAACCCAACCCAAGGUCGGUUAGUCUUGCCCUAAAAUCCCCCUCUCACAGCCGCACACUUCACAACUACACAAGCCGGAUUUGGUAGCUCGGGUUUCAACCGAAUUGGCCUUCAAAAAUUUCCAGAUUUCUGCCUUCUCAAAUCCUUCCCUAAGUUGGCUAACCUUCCUAUAAAACUCCCUCUCUCACAGCCACAACUGGCCCAAGCAAUUCGGCCCUCUUUCCUACAAGACAGGUUUGGUUCUUGUUGCUCAAGCAAUUCGGCUCCAAUGGACUCCCAAGGUAAAGCAAGUAUUGUUACUCAAGAAUCUCCCAAGAAAUUCACUCCUAAACCAAGGAAACCUCGUAUGGAUGCAAGAUCUUACAAAAAACUCUUUAUACGAAGGGAAGUGCAAGUCUUCAAACCCCAAGAUAAUCAAGACCCUCAAGAAACCCAAAAGGUGACACAAGUGAUCAAGAUCCAAGGUGAUCAAGAUUUCCAAGAAGAGGUUGGUCAAAACUUUUGAAUUCUUUUCUUUUCUCUUGCUGUAAUUUUCUGGUUUGGGUUGGAACAAGAAGUAACAAGACAGGUUUGACAAUAAUGAUACGGCUUCCUUCUUUGUUUCUUGUUGUCCGAAUUAUUUUUUUUUCGCUUUUCUCUUGCGUUUCUGUUUUUUUUUUUUUUUUUUUUUUUUACUUAAAGACAACACAAGUUCUUGUCCGAAUGAGUAAAAAUCCCAGAAAUAAGGUCAGCCCUCAACACGCAAGAACGCACCACCCAACUUCCUCAAACUAAAAAGGUUUCUCCAAGACUUUCAAGAAUUUCAAGAUAGCGGUCAAGAACUUUAAGAACCUUAGAAACCUUGUAGAUUUUCUUCAAGAUUCGCCAACCCAACAAGUUUUUGUAUCCCAAAUCAGUUUAGGCCAGCUAAGCAUACAACUUGGAUAACAAUAACUACUUGGACAGAUUUGACAACAAAGAAAAACCCUAGCCGCGAAAUUGAGGAAACCCUAGCCGUUUUUUUUUUUUGGCAGAUUCGGCUAUGACCCAAGGCUGGCAGAAUUAAUGCAAUUAAAAGCACAAAACCUAGUCAAAUUAGGCUAGCAACAAUAACGACCACUUUGGAUAGAAUUGGACAUCAAAUCAUGACAACACAACCGCGGCAGAAUUGAAGGAACAAACGACUCAAACAACAAGUGUCGAACAGAUUUGGUGAACACAAUACCGACCAGAAUUGAUGCAACCAAACGCAACUACACGACCAGAAUUUUUGACAACAAAAGAAAGAAAACGGCACAACACAGCAACAAAGCUAACGAACAGAAUUUUUUUUUUUUUGUUAAUACGGCACAAACGGACAGAUUUGGACUCGACUUCAACAACAAACAAUGACUAGAAAAUUUUUUUUUGAGACAAGUGCAGCGGAAAUAAGGAAAACUAAGACAAAACUACGGAUAUAACGGAAGAUACCUCCACCAAAGCUCUGAAACCAACUGAUACGUUCCUGUUUCGAGACACGUAGCACGUUUGCCCAAGAAUCUAGCGAGAAUGUCCAACGCUUGGAAUUGCGGGAUCUAGAACCAAAUGGACAACACGACUUGAUUCAAGACGGUAGGACGACGACUCCAAUGAAGGUGAUUACUCCAUGGGAUAGGUCGGUAGAACGAUUUAGGACAAGAUACAAGAUUGCUCAAAAACCCUUGCCAAAGCAAGUAAAGUGCUCGAACUCUCUUCUUAGAAGAAGGAACGAAUUAAACUAAUUUAUUGAUAAAACGACUACCCUAAAACCUUACAAAGCAAGCCUAUUUAUAGGCUAAAAUGACUAAGAAAACCUAAGGAAACAAUGGCAAAGAGUUCGGCCAUCUUGGUGUCCAAGAUGGGCCGGCCCGAUGAGCUAUGAAGACAAAUUAAUUCAAUCUAUCAAAUACUAAGGCUAAGGCCCUAUAGGGCCGGUCCUCUUGAAGGCCCACUUGAGUCUUCGUGGGCUUGGAUCAUGGUGCAAAUGGCUUGAUUGUCUCUCUCUAAGCCCUCAAUAUCUUUGUGAACUCCAUGUUGGUCUUGGACGACUCGAACCAGGGCUUGGAGUGAUUCUUUGAAGAGCUUGGCCCGUGCACGUGUGACUGGGCCCAAUGGAACUCGGACGGGGUCAUUGCGUGGGCCGAGACUCGUGCACACAUCACAAGGGCUAUCCGAUAUCCUAAAUAUGAUCCCCACAUCCAGUAAUUUCAAUAUUUCUUUCUUCACCACUUCCAUUAUGAGGGGGUUGAGCCUCCUUUGAACUUGCCGUACGGGUUUGGCAUUCUCUUCCAACUUAAUCUGGUGCAUACAGAUAAAGGGACUGAUUCCCUUAAUGUUGGCGAUGGUCCACCCUAUCGACUCUUUAUGUUCUCUCAAAACCCGGAUUAACUUCUCCUCCUAGGUAUCUGAUAGUGCAGCUGAGAUAAUCACCGGGAGUGUUUUGUUGUCGGCCAAAUACGCAUAUUUCAAGUGCUUCAGCAAGGGCUCCAACUCUAACACAGGUGCCUGUACCACAGAUGGUAGUACCCUCUGGUGAGGUUCGAGGAUGAAAAUGGGUGAAAUUUCAUACAUUUUCGUGGUGGUAGGCAGCGAGUGUAACUCGCCUACUGUACAUUUUAGAUCCUCACUCCAUUCCACCUCAGGCGUUGUCUCCAACUCGAAGUGCUUGGUCAGAGCAACCUCCAACUCAUCCCUGCCAACAGUUUCAAAUACUUCCUACACCAUAGGGUCAUUAGCACUCACAGAGAAAAUAGAGCUAAAAUUAGAGUUUGAGGGAUAUUUCAUAGUGUCAAAAAUAUUGAAAUGAACAAUCUCCCCAUCAAACUCCAUGGACAAGGUACCCUUAUUAACAUCAAUUUUGGUCUGUGCUGUUCUCAAGAAGGGUCUACCUAAUAGCAGAAGUGAGGGGUUAGAGGAAUGAUCAUCAUCCAUGUCAAGUACAUAAAAGUCAGUUGGGAAUAACAAAUCAUUAAUUUUGACCAACACAUCUUCAACCAACCCAUCAGAAUAUGCAUUAAUUCGGUCUACUAAUUGAAUAAUUACCUUAGUUUCUUUUAAUGGACCUAAGUUCAGAGAAGCAUAAAUAGAUUUUGGCGUCACAUUAAUUGACGCCUCUAAGUCCAACAUGGCCUUUCUAAUCAAAAUAUUUCCUAUUCUACAGGGGAUAGUAAAUAUACCUGGGUCCCUAUACUUCGGUGAGAGCUUCUUUUGCAGGACCGCGGACACGUUCUCUCCCACAAUGACCUUUUCAUCUCCCCUCAACCGCCUUCGGUUGACACACAAGUCCCUUAGAAACUUGGCAUACUUCAGCACUUGUUUGAUUGCGUCUAAGAGGGGGAUAUUAAUCUCUACCUUGCGGAACACCUUUAAGAUCUCCUUUUCCUUAUCUUGUUUUCUUGGUUUUUCUAACCUGCUAGAAAAGGGAAGCGGAUUAGUUUCAACUGUAAUGACUGGAUCUGGGAGUACCUUUGGAAUUGUGCCAUUGUUGCCCUCCUUCUCCAACUCAUUCUCAAUUUUUUCCUCAUCCUUGUCCUUUGAAAUCAUGAGUUCUGGUCCCUGAAUUUCCUUCCCGCUCCUCAAAGUCAUCGCACUUACGUUCUUCGAGUUCACUUCAGGUUGAGACGGCAAUUUGCCUGGACUUGGGAUUCUAGACGGUUAAUUGCUAUCACCAUUUGACUCAUCUGAGUCUGCAUGGCUUGCACCUGCCCCUAUUGAUUCCUCAUGUUUUGCAGGUCAGAAUCCGUCUUUUGUUGAUUAGCAAUCAAUUGCUUCAUCAACUCCUCUAUAGACGGACUUGAGUUUGAAGAGGGUGGUGGCGAACGAGGUUGAUACUGCUGGUGAUGCCCCUACAGUCUAUUAGGUGCAAAAUUGGGCUACCUAUUUCCCUCAUAACUCAAAUUUGGGUGAUCUUUCCAACCGGGAUUAUACAUAUUCGAGUACAUGUCAUAGGGUCCUCUUGGCGCGGGCGCGUGACCAGCUAUAUUCACUUGCUCUGCACUUUCUUCCUGAAUCAUUGGGCUUAGGUCUGUAGAAUGAUCCAUAUCAGUGCAAAUCCCACACACCUUGACCUAUGAUGCAUUUUCUACAGCCAAUUGCCUAACAAACGAGGUUAACUCCGUGAACUGCUACUGGAUAGAAGAUGUAUCCACCUUAUUUACCUUGCGUAAUGGGAUAUCCUCCCUCGUACCGAGCUGUUGUGAAUUCUCGGCCAUUCCCUCAAUUAGCUCCCACGUUGCCCGAGGGGUCUUGUUCACCAGUGUCCCUCCACUCGCAGCAUCAAUGAUAUUCCUGUCUCUGAAGAGUAGCCCCUCAUAAAAAUAUUGUAUGAGCAACUGCUCACUUAUUUGGUGUUGGGGGCACUUGAUGCAUAACUUCUUGAAUCGCUCCCAGUAAUCAUAAAGCAACUCCCCUGGGUGCUGCUUGAUAUAAAUCUUCUUUCUUAGACUUGCAGCUCGAGACGUGAGAAAAUACUUGUCGAAGAACUUUUUCUUCAGUUGAUCCCACGUGGUGAUACUACCUGGUGGUAGGUAGUACAGCCAGUCCUUUGCAGAGUCCUUCAAGGAAAAGGGGAAUGCUAUCAUUUUUAUUUGCUCUUCUGUAAUGCCCGGGGUUUCAUACUGUUGCAUACGACAUCAAACUCCUGCAAAUAUUUAUAGGGCUCCUCACCUGGUAACCCAUGAAAAGAUGGCAAAAAAUGAAUUAGUCCAAAUUUUAACUCAAAUGGCUUGGUAUAAUUUAAAUUUGGGAAAGUAAUGCAUAAAGGCUGCUGAGUUAAAUCGGGAGCAGCCAACUCUCUUAAUGUUCGUACAUUAGCCAUAGCGACUUCCUCUUGAUCAGAGUCACUCGAAGUGUCACCAAACGAAUCUGUUGGGUCAACUUCUGACUCGGGUCUCUGAGAUGCAGCACUGGAGUGCUCCUCUCGGAGCUGUAUGAUCUCUUUUCGUGUUCUCAGCGCGGUCUUCUCUACCUCAGGGUCAAAAAUUAAUUCACUUAUACGAGAAGAACAAGGCAUACACUAGAAGAAUACCAGAAAAUUAGAGCAAAAAUGAACUUAAAAAGAAACAAAUAAUAACGCCAGUCCCCGGCAACGGCGCCAAAAAUUGACAGGUUGUCGAAACCUGUGUAAUAAUAAAAUUAAACCUAAUUGCCAAAUAAAGUAACCACAACCCGAUUCCAAGUACUGGAGCAGGGACUCUAGGUAUGCAAUAGGUUACUUGAUUCACCCUAUUCCCGAAGAGUUUGCUUGAUCCAAUAUACCUGAAUGAGAUGGCUUUUCGCAAAUAAUUAUUAAUUUGUAAACAGGGCAAGUAGAGUCGUAUCCUUAGGGACUAGGAAUAUCUAUCUCUUUCGAAAUUCAAAAUAACACGGGGGGUAUUUUUGUGUAUAUGAUGACAAUCAAAGAAUUCAAAUAAAAAUAAAUAGCUAACUAGAAAUUAAAUGACAAUUCGUUGAAAUUAGAUUAAUAAUAAUUAAAGGUCUAGCCAAGAAAUAAUUUUAGCAAUGGUUCACCUAAUUGAUCAUUGAUGCACAAGCAAUUCUAAUUAUUUAUUAAUAAAUAGGUUAUAACUGCCAAACAAGCGAUGACAAUCAACCCCUCCUUACUGUGUCGGUGAUUAAGGUACGUCCGUUAAUCACUGCUCUAAUUGAGAAAUAAUCCUUGGUACGCCCAUAAGAUUUAAUUUCUCAAUUGCCUUACAUAUUAGAGGAUCUCUAUUCUAAUCAAAUAACGCACUACCAGGAUUAUUUCAGGUUAACUCACGUAUCCCCCUGACACAAAUCUAAUCAUGCCAGUUGUCACUAAUUCAAGGCAAUUAAACAAUUACAGAUUUAAUACCCUAAUUGACAAUAGAUUAUCAAGUUAACUAAUUAUCUGGAUCCAAGAUAAUCAAUUAAUUAAAUAAUCAUAAGUACUGCAAUCAAGGAAUAUGCGAAUACCAAUAAAUAAAAGAAAAAGAUAAAAUUAAAUCGAUCUCAAAAUUUUUAAGCGAAUCAAAGCAUCCGUUGCUCCUUGACUAGACAAAGGAGAUUUAGUUCAUCCCGGAUGCUAAAAACCCACGCGAAAUUGAAUCAACAGUGGCGACCAUUGUGCUCGCUCGCGGCAAUUCAAUCCGAUUGAAUGAAGAAGGAAAAGUAAGCUACAAUGAAAAGUUCAUUUGUUUCUGAUUGUCACUAGCGAAAAGUCAAACAGAGGAACUAAAGAGAAUGAUUCAAUGUUUUUCUCAUAGCCUCUGGCCUACAAUAAUUAAAGCUAAGCAAAAGCUCACAAAAGGAAAGUCAAAGAGCAAAAGCUCUCCAAAAGAUAGUGCUCAUUCUCUGCCCCUAAUUUCUGUCUAAGUCCUACUACCCUCUUCCUGUGCGGCGGCUCCCCAGCGAGAAUAGAAGACCUCAGCCGUCCUCGCCUUUGCAGCAAUUACCAAAAAUGGGCAUAAGCUUUCCUUUUCCAAAAAUGCCCCCGAGAUCAUCUCUGUUGCUUGGGCUCAUUUCUUGUCAAAUUGGCAUUUAUUAUCAUAUUUUCGUUCUACUCCCUGAAAUAAAUGCAAAAUACCAAAAAUGAGUAGAAAUUAAUAAUUAAUCCACAUCAGAUCAGAUAAUAGGGCAAAUUAAUAAUAAAAGGGUAAAAAAUAAAAAAGCCCCCUGUGGUAAGUCUAAUACACAGAAAAACCCCCUAUGGUUUCAAAAUAUACAACACGAUACCUCAUGCUUUGAACUAUAUUGUAAAGGUGACGGAAUCCGUUAAAUUUAACGGAAAUGACUUAUUGGAACCUAAAAAAAAAUUUUAUACUUAAUUUUUAUCAAAUAUACCUAUUCUACCCCUUAACCCUCAAUUCUCUCUAUUUAGAGAAUAAAACAAAUGAUUUUUUUGAGCUGUCUUUUGCUUAAUUAUAUCAGGGUAUUUUGGUCAUUUUGUCCAUUUCCGUUAAUUUUAACGGAUUCCGUCACCUUUACAAUUUAGUUCAAAGCAUGAGGGGUCGUGUUGUAUAUUUUGAAAUCAUGGAGGACUUUUCUGUGUAUUAGGUUUAUCACAGGGGGAUUUUUUGUUUUUUACCCAUAAUAAAAUAAAUGAUUAAAUUGCACCCUAUCAAUAAUGAAGCUUCUCAAGGGAGCUAAAUCUUUAGGCUUGUCAUCCUAGAUGUGCUAAGUACAUUUACUUUGCCGGUGUCAUUGUAAAUGUCUUUUUUUUAUUUUUUUAUUUUUUCAAAAUAAAUAAGAGUCAUUUUUUUUCAAAGUUAACAAAUGAUUUUAGUUGCUUUCAAAUUUGCCUUGUGAAAAAGUAACCUUUCAUGCAUGUUUAUCCGCUUAAUGAGUAAAUUAGUUUGAAUUAAUUGGUCACGUUUGUCAAACGUAUGAUUAUAUAUCUCCUUAGAAGUUAGAAUCCAUUAGUAAGACGCUAUUCUUUUAGGAACUGGGAACAAAAGAGUACAAUACAAAUAUCCCAUAUACAAUUGUAACACUAAAUGGCCAAUUUUAAAAGAUAUGUUUUUUAAUAAAAUAUCAUAAUUUCAUUAAAAUCUGUACUAAUGACAGAAAUUACAUCAUCAAACAUAUAUAGAUAUCAAAGAAUAGAUUUGAAAAAAUUAUACUUCAUACCUGAAAAAUAAUAAAAAUUAUAUUAUAAAACUCCAAAUUCAAAAAAUGAGAUAAAAUAAUUGUAACUCCACUGACAUCUAUGCAUGUUUUCAAUCGUCAGAUUUGACAAUUAACUAUUUCAAGUCCAGAUAUUAUGAUGAGAUUUGUCGAAUAUAUCCAAGAGAAUUUCGGAUAUGAUAACUCUCACUAGGAAUCCCUAGGAGAGAAUAAAACUCUCAUUAAAAAAUUUAGAAGAGAAAAAAACUCUCACUAGAUAACCCUACGGAGAGAAUAAACUCUCACUAGAAAAUCUUGGAAGAGUUUUUAUUUGCACAAAUAUAAAGAUAAACUAUAGACAGAACUUCUCCCAUAGGGAAAGAUUAGCAAAAUCUGAUCUCUCUCCCAUGAGAGGGUUGAAAGGAGUUUUAAUUAGAGAGUUUUUUCUAAAGAGAAGGAGGAGAGAAGGGUUUAUCAAAGUAAUUUUGUAUUUUAUGAGGGAUAAUUAUCACUUUAAUUGCCUAAAAAAAUUUUCAUUUCAUCUCGUACCAAUUAAUUGUCGGCCAAUAACGUUCAUUUUCACAGAACUGUUAUGAAACAACUAAAAUGUGGAUGUCCCUUUGUAUUCUCAAGAGGGUUAAUUCAUGAUUUAUGACUAUAUUAUGUAUAGAAGUUACAAUCCAUAAAUCUAUUCAUGUAGUGGAGAAACCGUUUCAUAGGUUUCUUCAUAUUCUUAUAGUAGUGGGUAUUUAAUAGAAUUGAUGUACUUUUAAUCUUGUAAUACCUAUAUAUAGAGGUACAUUGACACCCUUUGGGAUGACCUUUUGUAUUAGUUGGAAUCAUAAGAAUAUCACUCUCCAUUUCUCUAUAUCUUUCUCUAAUAUCUCCAUUUAUACUAUAGUAGUUUAUUAAUUUUACAACACGUUAUCAGCACGAGUUUUUACUUUUGAGCAAAAGGUGAAAACGGAGCCUCUACCGUGAACAAAAGUGAAACACAAGAUUUUGCCAAAAUUCUGCCCGUAUUUCUUCAAGUAACUUCUGAGGCAAAUCUCUGACUUUCAAUUUCUUAUGGCUAACAUUUGAAUGAUCGAAAAAUACAAGUGCCUAUUGCUGAGCAACCAUUAAAUACAAAUAUAUACUGUUUGACAUCUUUGAGGUAAUAUUUCUCUUUUUAAUUCUACUUAUUUAUCUUUAGAAUUAUUUGUUAUAAAUACUUAUAUUCUGAUGCAUUGAAUUUUGGAGAUGCUAUUAUAGAAAAUCAAUUAUAUUUGAGGAUCUACUUGUCAUUUAUAUUUAAAGAAAAAGAUUCGAUCACCUGAAGAUGGUUAUUCUUUAACGAAAAUAUUUGACCACUAGAAGAUGGUCAUUAUUUCAAAAGUUUGGUAUGAUAAAUUUACCUAUGGCUACAAGAACAUAAUUAUGCAAUUUUCAGAAUUACUUCUCAGUUGAAAUUGUGUCGAGAAAAUUUUACUCAUAAGAUAUAUUAAAAAUGAUAUUCUCCACAAUUAAUUUCUCGAAUAUGCUCCUGUAGUAGCAAUAUUAAGAGAAAUUUUGAGAAGUAUUUUGUACUUAUUGCAUGCUAAUUCUAGUCCAUUCCCAGAAGUGAAUACGACUAAAUUUCAAUUUAUUAGUUAUGAUUGUUGUCAUGACUAUGAUUUUGGUAAAUAUAUAUUUUACCAUGACAAGAGAAAAAGUUACCACUUAAAGUGGAAUAAUAAUGAUAAGGACAAGAAAAUAAAAAUUCUGAAGAUAAAUGUCCCGAAGUACAUUUGACGAAUCAAAAUUAUAAUAGCAUCUUCACACGACCAAUUUCUUUAAACACCCUGAAGGUGUAUGAUGCUUGAUUUAAUUUAUGAUAGUAAUUGAUUUUUCUUCCUGAAGAAGAAAUUGAUGUUAAAUAUUUGGGAUCAAAGGAUUAUGGUGAUGAUAUUUGUCCCAUAAGAAUUAUGGUGACAAUAAUAUAUGUCUCAUUAAUAAGUGCUACUAUAUACACUAUAUUCCAAUAAGAGAGACAAACACAAUCAGUUGUAGUGUUUAAGUGAUUGAAAGCUCCAGAAGAGCCACUACUAUAUUUCUCCCUGUAGGAGAAAUGUUUAUCAUAAAUAAAACACUACUUUUUACCAUGUCUCGAAAAAUUUGAAUACCCAUUGAAAUGGAUAUCAAAUUGAGACACUAAAUGAGACAAUAAUAGAGAUAAUGUUUAGAAAUCAAGUGAAAUAAAGGUUAAUUAUAUCAUAAUAACCAUUCGAGAGAGAAAUGGUUAUCGAUAUAGUUGUCUUCAUUCUCAUUUGAUUUAUAACUAUCACUUGCAGUAAACCAAAAGUUUACUGAUCCCAAUGGAUAUAUGAUUUAACAAAAGUGAAAAUAUUUAAGAGUCGACAAGUAUUUAUACAUACCCCCUUUAUAUUAUAUAUAGGUCUAAAAGAAAUUUAAAUUUAUAUUGGGUAUGAAUCACCUUUUACGAUUAAAUAUCGUAAAAUAUUGAUGGGUGAUCUAUUGAAUGAUUUAUUUAUUCUGAUGAACUACGAUUCCUGAAAUUAGGGGGAGGAAAAGAUCAACCGAAAGGAAAUCAUUUAAAAAAAUUGGAUUUCCUCGAUCCUCAUACAAAAUAACGUGAACUGGAAGAUCAAGAAAUUAUUCAUUUGCAGAAAACUGCAAACUAGUUGUCAGAUAUAUUAUCGACUCCAGAAGAGUCAUUACUAUUCCUGCAGGAAAUACCUUGAUUAAAAUUGAUGUCCCUGAAGGACAUGCACAAGUGCUACAAAUAAAUUUAAGGCCGACCUACCUAAAUAAGGUAUAAAUUGAUUUCAAAUAUCUCUGGAGAUUAAAUGUCAUGACAAAAUUCAAUCUCUUGAAGAGAUUCCUCCUGGAGAGCCAACUCCUGAAGAGAACGAAUCAUAGAAAAUUUAAUUGGAGCCAAAUAAAAUGUAGCACUUGAUAUUAUAAAAGUUGAUGAGGAUUAUGAAUCUAAAUCGAUUGAUGAAUGUCGGUAUAGAAAUGAUUGGCCAAAAUGAAAAGAUGCGACCCAAUCUGAAUUGGAUUAACUGGUUAAAAGAAAAGUUUUUGGACUUAUAGUCCAAACACCUGAAGGUGUAAAGCCAGUAGGAUAUAAAUGGGUAUUUGUGAGAAAAGAAAUGAGAAAAAUAAAAUUAUGAGGUAUAAAGCAACGCUUGUAACCCAAGGAUUUUCACAAAGGUCUGGAUUUGAUUAUGAUGAAACGUAUUCACCUGUAGUGGAUGCUAUCACAUUUAGAUAUCUUAUGAGUUUUGCAGUACAUGAAAAAUUAUAUAUACGUCUAAUAGACGUCGUUACUGCAUAUUUAUAUGGAAAUCUUGAAAAUGAUAUUUAUAUGAGAAUCCCCGAAGGAUUCAACAUGCCUGAAGCAUGCAAAUCAAAUCCUAAAGAUAUUUAUUCUAUUAAAUUACAAAGGUCUUUGUAUGGUCUCAAACAAUCUGGACGUAUGUGGUAUAACCGCUUCAACGAAUGUCUAACUAAAGAAGAUUAUACCAAUGAUCUAAUAUGUCCAUGUGUUUUUAUCAAGAAAAAUGGAUCAAAUUUUGUGAUAAUUGCUGUAUAUGUUGAUGAUCUAAAUUUGAUUGGAACUCCUGAAGAGAUUCAAAAUAAUGUUGAAUAUUUGAAGAAGGAUUUUGAGAUCAAGAAUUUUGGAAAAACAAAAUUCUAUCUUGGUUUACAAAUUGAGCAUUUGAAAAGUGAAAUUUUUGUCCACCAAACUGCUUAUACCGGGAAGGUAUUAAAGCGAUUUUAUAUGGAUAAGGCACAUACAUUAAGUACUCCAAUUGUUGUCAGAUCAUUAGAUCCUAAUAAGGAUCCUUUUAGACCGCGAGAGGAAGAUGAAGAGAUACUUGGUCCUGAAGUACCAUAUCUCAGUGUAAUUGGUGAAGCAUAUUGGAAUGCGACGAUUAAAAGAUCUCAAAUGAUAUUUGCAUCAGGAGGAGAAAUUAAUACACAGGAAUAGUGUAGUCUUUUUCCUUCACUAGGGUUUUUGUCCCGAUGGGUUUUUCCCUAGUAAGGUUUUAACGAGGCAUAUUUUUUGUGUAAUGGACAUUCAAGGGGGAGUGUUAUGAAACAACUAAAAUGUGGAUAUCCCUUUGUAUUCCCAAGAUGAUUAAUUCAUGAUUUAUGGCUAUAUUAUGUAUAGAAGUUACAAUCCAUAAAUCUAUUCAUGUAGUGGAGAAACCAUUUCAUAGGUUUCUUCAUAUUCUUGUAGUAGUGGAUAUUUAAUAGAAUUGAUGUACUUUUAAUCUUGUAAUACCUAUAUAUAGAGGUACAUUGACAUCCUUUGGGAUGACCUUUUGUAUUAGUUGGAAUCAUAAGAAUAUCACUCUCCAUUUCUCUAUAUCUUUCUCUAAUAUCUCCAUUUAUACUAUAGUAGUUUAUUAGUUUUACAAUAAGAACCUAUUUAUUUACUAAUUUUUACCAUUAUGAGAACAAGGUUAGCACAGUGGGCAAAUCACAAAUCUAGUCACUGAUGUUUGACUCUAUACUUUUUUGUCCCUCAAUUUUAAAAUAAUACAUUUUGGUCCCUUAAAUUUGAGGUUUUUUGACUUUAUAGUCCCUCAAUUCUAGCGAUGGCAAUGGGGGUGGACACCCACGAGAGGAGUAAUGGGACAGGGGAUAGGGCGGGGACAAGGACGGGGGAAUUUUUCUCUCCCUGUUUCAAAUAACCCCCGCCCCCCGCCCCGUCCCCCGUUUCAAUUUAUUAAUAUAAAUAAAUAUAAUAUAUUAUAUAAUCUAAUAAUAAUAAAUUUAGAAUAUUUGGCAACUAAAUAUAACUUUUACUCCAUUUCUAUCCAAAAUCCUAGUUGAUUUUUGGCACAAACAUGUUACAUGUUCUAUACGUAUUUCCAAAUGUUAUCUAUACAAUCCAAUUGAGUUUCUUAAUUUUCUUGGUAUUUUAUUUCGUCACUUUUCUUUUUUCAUUUUUUCAGCUUCGUAUUUUAUUUUUUUCUUUGAAUUUAACUUUGAUCUAUUGAAUAAAAGUUUCUAGAAAAAAAAAUUCAAAUUAUCACCCGCGGGCACCCGCGGAGGAAGUGGGGCGGGGGCAAGGGGAGUUUUUUGGCAAUAGGACGAGAGAGGGUGGAGGAUCCCCCGCCCCAAAUCUGCUUCAUUGCCAUCCCUACUCAAUUCUAAAAUAGUAAUGAGUUUGUCACUCAAUAACCAAAACAUUCCAAUAUAUCAUAUAUUGAGUAAUUGCUCAUCAUAUAUCAUAUGGCCCUCAUGAAUAGACUUUACAAAUGAUUUCUUUUGUCUAUUAUAGUUGUAUAUUUUUGAGCCUACAAAUAACCACAAUUCAACAACAAUUUCUUGAGCAAAGAAGCUUAAAGAUUAUAUAUUUCUGGAGCUAGAGGCAGGUAGUGUCGAGACUGUGAUGCGGUUAUAAUUUAUUGCAUAUCAUACAUGAUUUGACAUGUACUAAUGUUACUUUGUUAUACACAUGGAUUUUGUUCAUGUAAACCAAUGCAAUAUUAAAUCCAUACCAACCAAUUCAAUAUAUGAAUACAGCCACAUUCUUCAGCGUAUACCUACUUUUAAAAUGAAAUACAAUCACCAUAUCAAUUGUACUAAAAGUCAGUUAUACCUGUACCAAACCCGUAUUUCUCAAUUUUUUUUUUGUGUUGAAAAUGGAAUUAGUUUUGUUAAAGUAAAUAAUCAGUUCAAAGUCCAUCUGAUCAUAAGCAAGUCGCUCAACCAUUUCUGUUCUAAUUCGGGUAAAUUAUCAGACAGAUUAGUGGAGAUCUGGUCACGGCAUACUAGUUACAGCAGAUUGCUUCGGAUGACUAGAAAAAUUGCUUUACGAGCUCAGAAUGGAGGUUGGGCAGGUGCAAUGCUGCAAUGUAUGGCCGGCGAAUCCAAGAAAAAAGACAAAUCCAGUAAAUAGCAUGAACACCAAUCAAGUUUUGUCACACAGCAUCAGGGACUGGCGAGUAAAGCCACUUUUGUCCAUAAAUCCUCUCCUGGUGUACCAAAUGGGGUAACAAAUGCCAUUUGAGCUGAGGCGACUGUUAGCAAACUCCAAACAUUUCUUUCUCAAGUCGAAGCAUGUACGUAAUUAAAGGCAGAUAGGUCUUAUCAAACUUCCCAAAUCAAGAGAGGGAGUUAAAGACAAACUAUACUUCAUGAAUCCAAGGGUGUUUCACCUGUGAAAAAACCAUUUUUACUGUCAUAUGGAAUUACUACUAGAGUUAGGUACGCAACAUUGAAAAAUCCGUGCAGCCUGUCUGCAAUUAGCAAUUAACCACGAUGAUUACAAAUAUAUAACUCAGUCAAAUUUAAUCCAUAACAACUCAGUUAGCUUGAAUGAAUUGAAUGCAAAGAUUUAAGUAUAUAAGCGUUGACCACUUAUAUAUGUACUAAGUAAAUAUAGUGCUGCUUUACUAUGCAAACUACUUGAGCAUAACAUCUGCUUGCGCAAAAAGACCUGAUCCCUUCAAGUAAGAAAAAUCAACUACAAAUUAAGAUGGACAGGAUUUAGUCUUUUCAUCACACAGCCAAUGAAUUAACUUGCAAAGAAUUUCCUGGUGAAUCAACAAUUGCAGUUUCUGGCAUGACAGGAUAGCAGGGAAUGGCGCCCAGUUACUAACAGGAUCCGAAUUCAAUCGGAUUAUUGUUAAGUCAAAGUAUUAACUAUACAAAUUUAAAUUGUCUAAAUCCGGUUACCCACAGGUUGAGACACUAACCUAAUAAAAUUAGCUGUUUCGUGAUUACAAAUGAAAUUGUUUUCCCACUUGCGCUGCUUAGGUAGAUUAAAAAGGUUAAUAAAAAUAAACGCAUGUAAAUUUGGAUUAAAGAUUUUAGUUAUAAGCUUUGAAGGCUCAUAAGUUUUAUGCCUUAUUGUGUAAGCAAUAGAAUUUGUUUCUCUCAAAAACUUAAAGUAACGAAACUUGUUUCAUGGUUUCAAAAAUUAUUCUGUAUUAUGGAUUAGAAAAUUUUGAAAACUCUGAAAUAAAAGUUUGAAAACUCUAUGUUCUUGAUUUUUAUUAUUUAUUACAAUAUGGCUUCUUGUUUUUGUUGAAAACUCAACCCCUUGGAUUUUUGGACUCUGUUUUAUGCAUUCAAGACUUUAUUAUGUGUUUUGUCUUUCAAAACUCUUAAACAAUUAUAUUGAAUAUGUCACAUGAAUAAAUAGGUUCAAGUAUGUGCAUAACGGGUUUGGGGAUCUUUGAGUUCAUUUUAGGUUAACAAGUUAAUUAAUCUUGUAAAAAAAAUAAUUCAUGUUACAGUGGUCAUUCUCAUGCAAAAUGCUCCUUUGAUUAAGAUGGUCGUCUCAUAUUAAUCUAUUAAUAACACUUAGACCAUGACACAACACGAUAUGAAAGUCUUAACUGGUGGGUAAGUUCCAUUUGCAGGGUUGGGUACAUGCUGAAUUCAGAGUUGAAUUGUGUGUCUGUCAACGUUGAAAGAGAUGCAAGAAAGCCAGGUUUCCGUUGUUUACUUUUGUGAUGCUGUAGCAGCAAUUUUGACACUUGUGUUUGUUAAAGUUGUGUUAGAAAAUCUAGGAAAUAAGAAGGAAUAAAAUCCGAAUUCGGACACGAGUUAGAAAUUGAAUUAGCUUCAUUAAUAGAAAUUGCGAAAUCUGCAGGAAAACAAGCACAGUUGGACUUUAUGAUAAUUUUCACUUUGCACCCAGAUUUUUAACUGGGACAACUUUAAUUUAAGAGACUUAACAUCUUAAAAUUUUAGCUAUCUCACUUUGGUUCACUGAUCGAAGUGAGUUUAGAGUCCAAGCAAGGGGAUGGGGGCAGUUGCCUGCACAAAAUUUUCUGAAUACUAUAUUGGUAUUAUAAUCCCUUAGGCACCACAUUGAAGGAAAAGGAAGGAGACGAUUUUAGCAGAAAAGAAAAGAAAUGAGAGUCGAGGAAAGCGGAUUCCAUCCAAUCUUGUUUGGAUUAAAUACGAAAGGAAAAGGAAAGAAAUGUAAAAAAUGUUGUUUGGAUAAUGGAAGAAAAAGAAAAGGAAACUAUCAUAUGUUAGUUACGUUUUUAUUCAUAAUAAUUUAAAAUCUUAACUUAAAAAUAUAGGUUUUUAAGGAAAUUUUAAAACUUUCAUUUAUCUUAGUUUGCUUUCCUCUGUUUUCAUCCAUUUUUGGAUGGAAAGCAGAUUGAUGAAAAAAUAACUAGACUGUUUCCCUCCUUUUUCGUCCCUAUGCUUUCUUUUCUCUUCUCAAAAACCAAUCCAAACAUGACAGGUGCCGAACCUGUACAAUAAUAAAUACCUACUCGAGAAAAAUACAGAUUUUGUAUAUAGCGGUGAGUAGGGUCGAAUCCACAGGGACUGGGGAUAAUUUGUUUCUUCUAAAGUCCAAAGUAUGGGGGGUUUUGGAUUAAAUGCUAACUAAAUAAAUUAACUGCAGAAAAUAAUUAAUUAAAAGAAAUGAUUGGGGAAACUCUAGCCAAGGGUACACAUCAGAAAUGGUUCAUGCACUGAUCAUUGAUGCAGAAAUAAUUCCAACAUUUAGCAAUAGAUUAGUUAUAGUUGUCAUGCACGCGAUAAACAACCAACCCUUCCUUAAUUUCUCGAUAGCUAAGGUACGACCGUUAGCUAUUUCUCUAAUCCAAAAAUAACCCUAGGUACGACCGUAGGAUUCAAUUUCUAGAUUGCAUUAAGAAUUAGAAAGGCCCAAACCUAACUAACAAACACGCUAAGAGGGUUUGUUUAAGUUAGAUCGUAUGUUUCCCUGACAUAAACCCAAUUACGCCAGUUGCUACUGGGAUAGAGGUAACGAACAAUUACGGAUUCAAUUACCCCUAUUUAGCAAAAUAGCCUAUAUGAAUAAUUAAUUAUUGCGCACUAAUCAAUCAUACACAAGAGCUAUAACAAUUGAAAGCAGGAAUCAUAUAAAUACCAAUAAAUGAGAAAGCGAUUAAAAUAAAUUCGAUCUCACAGUAAUUGCAGAACCAAAUCUUCAAUUGUCCCUUGACUUGAAUUAAGAGGUUAGUUCUCCAUUAAUGGAGAACAACCAUGCGAAAAAACUAUCUGAACCUUACAAAAUUGCUCCUGGCCAAAUCGGCCAAGGAAGAAAAGUAAAAGUCGGCCACGGAGGAAAAGUCCCUGACCUCCGUACCUUCCCUCCAGCUUUCCAAGUCAAAACCAAUUUAAAGACAAGCCUUCACUAAGUCUCCUAAUCCUCUACGUUUUUGGGCCACUCAAUGGGAUGAAGGAAAUUCCUUUUCUUUUAGGCUAGGCCCACUAGAGAGAAUAAACAAAUCCCCAUCCGGAUUCCUCUCCUUCAAAAUUGGUACCCCAGUACCAAUUUUCCUAAACAAAGGAGUCCUAUUAUAGAUAGCUUUCUUUAGCUCUUGAAAUGGCCCCACUGCCUUUCAGCAUUGAAGUCCGCUGCUUCAUACAGCUUUGGAAACUUCACGUGUGCAAAUUAUCCCGAGAAUCCGUCCUUGAAAGCUGGAAUUAGGCGUGGGCACGCCAACCUAUCAGGGAGUCUGCUGGAAUGACGAUUUUCAGUACUUUUUCUUCACCACUUCCUGCAAUUAAUCCCAAAUACCAAAUAUAAGUAGAAUAUAUCAAUUAAGAUAAUAUUUGGCUAAAAUCAAAGGGAAAAAUAAUUAUAAAUUUAGCACAAAUUAUGACUUAUCAAUUUCCCCCACACCUAAACCAUGCUUGUCCUCAAGCAUGAGAACAUAAACCAAGUAAUCAAAUUCAAACAAUGGCUAUUGCUCAAAUCUUCUAUUGCCACGAUAUAAUUAAAACUUAUGUCAAGUAUUAGUGGCAAUUUUCAAGAAAUAUCUCUCCAACUAGCUUUCAAGAUCAAGGAUUCUUUCAAUUUAUGACUAACUAAUUUAAGAAUAUAAAAUAUUCAACCAGCAUCCAUAAGCAAAUGGUUCAACUAUUAAGCAAAAUCUCAACAUUAAAAUUCAGGGAUCAGCGGGUUAACAAUUCAUUCAAACACUUCCAUAUUUUUCACUAUUAGCACAUUUUUUUUUUCUAGAAUAUCCCCACACAUGAAUGAUGAAUUUUUUUUUUUUUUAGGGGGAACGCUUAGUUUUUAGCCAUUCAAGCAUUUCGACGCGAACUCCGACAUUGGCCAUAUGAAGGAGUCCGGUUACUCAGCCAUCAUCGCUUAAAAACCACAUACUCAUAGCUAUCGUCGCUUUUUGACGCGAAAGUCGACAUUUGUGGUGAAGACUCCCGGUUACAAGGCAACGAUACUAGCGGAGUAUAGCCUAAUACUAUUCAUAAAUAAGCACCAAAAAUAAAAUUAAAUACCACACAAACCCGCUUCAUUUCUUAAACAUGGAGAACUAAGAUUAAUAGCUGAACCAAUUUGCACAAAAAAUGCUAGACAAAUAUUUACAAUACUUAGAAAAGUUAACCAAAAAGUGCAAAAGUCACAAAAUCUCAAAUAUUCACCAAAGAGAUACCCUUAAAAUCAACCAUGUCAUACUCAACACCUUAAAGUGUAAAAUCUUAGUAAUAGAAAAAUUUGAGACAUUUAACCAUCGUUUAUUAGGAAUAAUCACAAAUAAGCACAAAGAUAGGCAAAAAUUGGACAAAAUUCGACAAAGUCAAACAAAAAAUUCCAACAAAAAUGCCUACACUUGCACUUUUUCAAUAAAAAGCCAAUAUACUACCCCCCCACACCUAAAUCUUGCAUUGCCCUCAAUGUAAGCAAAGAAAGAGCAAAACAGAGAUAUUGGGGCAACGACACUUCCCUUAAAACGGAGGAGGGCAGAACUGAACUACGGCUGGAGAGGGAAAGGCGGGCGGAAACCCACGUGAUGGAGUUACUGUGCUAAAUUCUGGGCCAUCCCACCCAUUUGACGCUCCAUCCGAUCCAUUCGAGUGUCCAUUUGCUCUUGCCCUUAUUUUUGGGUUUAGUCAUUGGAAAUCAGAGGGCAAGGUGGAGGCAAGGAAAUGGGAUUCCAAAGAGGUCAACAAACAGCCAACAAAGCAAAUGAUAACUAAAUACAGCUUCCAAUCACAGACAAGUGCAGAAACGGCCGAUGAACACACCCCAAGAAUUAAUUAAACCUGUCAGCAGCAAAAUCUUUUUUCCAAAUACUACCAAUUCAACCCAAAAAUCAAUUAAUUAGAUAAACAUAGCAAAAUUCCCCCAAAAACUAAUUAAACAGACAACUAGAGUAAAAACUUUCCCCAAAUAUCACUGGUUGGGCACAACGUUAACCAAAUAAUCAACAAUCAAUCCACAGAUAUGCCACAGCACCCAAACAAGCACAAAUUUUCUGUCCUCAGCUAGCAAAUCAAAAAUCUGGCCUCAGCUAAGAAAUUAAAAUCUGGCAUUAGCUAAUAAAAGCUAGUAAUCUGGCCUCAGCUACUUAGAGACAGAAAAAUAAAGAAAGAAUUCACCGGAGAGGUUUUGGCAACAACAACAGGUACAGUGGAAGAGGCAGAAGCGACGCGUGUGGGGCUCACGCCGGUGGCUAACGCGCACAAGGGCGCUCGGCUGCUGCUGCUGGUACUUGCUAAGCUCGGCUGGUGAAGUCCUUGAGAAGGGGCAAAGGAGGUCGCGCGCCUGCUGGGCUCGGUUGGAGGCACGGCGGCGAGGGUCGCUCGUGUGGGUAGCCGCUGGUGGAUGGCGGCUAGUCAGCAGUUGCCGCGGGCUGGAGGUGGCGAUGGAGCUGCUGGAGUGGAGCUUGAGCUGCGCGAGGUGGAGGUGCACGUGAGCUGGGGCUAGGCGGCGGCGGCGCUGCUUCGGCGGCGCGCACUGGUGGUUGUCGCGAAGCUUGGAGGCUCGGUGAGCUGUGGAUGGCCUGGAGGCGCGACUUGGCCGCGGGUAUGACGCGCGCGCGAGGUGGCCUGGCUGGUGGAGGUUGAUGGCAGAGGCACGCGGAGGCGACGGAGGCCUGGUUGCCGAUGGAGGCAGCGGCGUCCGUGAGGCUGAUCGUACGGCACAGGGGGAGCAGCGGCGGGCGGAGGCGACUGUCACGCGAGGGAGCGCGGCGACUGUGUCGCGCCCGUGGGUCUUCGACGGCGGUGGCUGUCGCGGCUACUCAGGCUGCUCGCUGGCGGAGUGACAAGGGAGAAGGGAGAGCGCGAGUGCGAAAGGAAAGAAGGAAAGGGGGAAAAACAGGGGAAGCGGCGGAGAAGAAGAAGAAAAGGAAAGGAAAGAAAGAAAAGAAAGAAAGAAAAGAGAGAAAAAGAAGAAAAGAGAAAAGGGAAAUGUUUUUUUUUUCUUUUUUUCUUUUUUUUGGGUAAACAAAGAACCCCAGUCUUAGGCCUGGGCACGCCUAACUGCCCCUAGUAUUUUGAGCAUCCGUCAAAAAUUUUUGAUCCUUUAGCGUGACCACCUAGCGUGGGCACGCCUAACUGCUAUAGAGUCCGCAGAUCCUGAACGAAGGCGUGGGCACGUCUAACUGCCACUUUCCUGCCACCAAGCAACAAAUCACUAAAUGCAACUGACACUUAACAAAAAUUCCAAAAACAUAAGAAAAUUAAAACAAAAGCCUUGGGUUGCCUCCCAAGCAGCGCCUUUCUUUAAUGUCUUUGGCUAGACAUUGUCAUGUUUAUUCAUGGAGGAUAAAAUCGCGUAGCUCGCUUCAGUGCUUCAUCUUCUAUGUAAUCCUGAUAGCCCUCGUAAAUAGAGUAAUUCUUGAACACACGAGCUACGGGCUUCCAUGGACUAGUAAAUGGCACCAAACAACCAAGUAAUGACCUUAAAUCUUCAUUCACUCCUCCAUCACAAGCACUUGCUGGUUUGAGAUAUUUUGCCAUCGUGACUCUUAAAUUGUUCCUGUCAUGAAACUCAAAAUUUUCUGGUAUAGUAAAAUCAAUCUCACUAACAGGAAUUAAAGAAUAAGAGUCAGGAAAAUAUUGAUUAAGGAAUGGAGGAGAUGUCACCGCAUUUGGAGAUUGUUCACUGGAUUCAUUCACUUGAACCAUUUGAUGUUGGGGUCUCAAUUCUUGUGCUUCAACUUUCUUUUCAUCUGCAUCUUUAGAUUCUUCUUCUUGAGACCCUUGCAGUACCAUGUCAUUUAUCAGAAUAAUUGCACUCUCAUCUUCCUCAUGGUCGAUAAUAGUCGGUGAGGGCAAUUCUUCAUAAACUGGAGAAAUCAAUUUGCUCAUUUUAGAUGCCCAUUCACGCCUUCCUUCUUUCAUCUCUUCACUCAUCUUCUGUGUCUCCUGUUGAAGUUGAUGUACCUCCUGUUGAAUUUGAUAUGUCUCCUGUUGAAUCAGAUAUGUGUUAGUAGCUAGUGAUUCAACUAUUUUUUCAAGAGACAUACCUGACAUGGAUGACGGUUCUUGAAACUCUAGCUGUUGAAAAUCUUUUGGCCUUUGUUCAUAAUUAAAAUUGGAAUCAUCCCACCAUCCUUGAUCAUACCCGUUUGAAAUAGGGUCAUACCAUGUUUGAUAUUGAGGCGAAAAAUUUCCAAAAGUAUCUAUUGGAGCACUUAGACCAUCUUGAAAUGCAUGGCAUAUGUCGAUUGAAUGAUCUGAGGCAAAAUAAGUACCACAAUUUGCAGCAGCCCAUUGAUCAUUAGAAAAAACACAAGCUUCAUAACCCUUUCUAGAAAUAAAAUCCAGUCUAUCACCAAAAUACGGAAUGUUAGCAGCCAUAAACUAUAUAUAUAUAUAUAAAAAAAUAAUAAUAAUAAUAAUAAAAAUGAACUCAAAAGAAACAAAUUAAUCAGGCACCAGUCCCCGGCAACGGCGCCAAAAAUUGACAGGUGCCAAACCUGUACAAUAAUAAAUACCUACUCGAGAAAAAUACAGAUUUUGUAUAUAGCGGUGAGUAGGGUCGAAUCCACAGGGACUGGGGAUAAUUUGUUUCUUCUAAAGUCCAAAGUAUGGGGGGUUUUGGAUUAAAUGCUAACUAAAUAAAUUAACUGCAGAAAAUAAUUAAUUAAAAGAAAUGAUUGGGGAAACUCUAGCCAAGGGUACACAUCAGAAAUGGUUCAUGCACUGAUCAUUGAUGCAGAAAUAAUUCCAACAUUUAGCAAUAGAUUAGUUAUAGUUGUCAUGCACGCGAUAAACAACCAACCCUUCCUUAAUUUCUCGAUAGCUAAGGUACGACCGUUAGCUAUUUCUCUAAUCCAAAAAUAACCCUAGGUACGACCGUAGGAUUCAAUUUCUAGAUUGCAUUAAGAAUUAGAAAGGCCCAAACCUAACUAACAAACACGCUAAGAGGGUUUGUUUAAGUUAGAUCGUAUGUUUCCCUGACAUAAACCCAAUUACGCCAGUUGCUACUGGGAUAGAGGUAACGAACAAUUACGGAUUCAAUUACCCCUAUUUAGCAAAAUAGCCUAUAUGAAUAAUUAAUUAUUGCGCACUAAUCAAUCAUACACAAGAGCUAUAACAAUUGAAAGCAGGAAUCAUAUAAAUACCAAUAAAUGAGAAAGCGAUUAAAAUAAAUUCGAUCUCACAGUAAUUGCAGAACCAAAUCUUCAAUUGUCCCUUGACUUGAAUUAAGAGGUUAGUUCUCCAUUAAUGGAGAACAACCAUGCAAAAAAACUAUCUGAACCUUACAAAAUUGCUCCUGGCCAAAUCGGCCAAAGAAGAAAAGUAAAAGUCGGCCACGGAGGAAAAGUCCCUGACCUCCGUACCUUCCCUCCAGCUUUCCAAGUCAAAACCAAUUUAAAGACAAGCCUUCACUAAGUCUCCUAAUCCUCUACGUUUUUGGGCCACUCAAUGGGAUGAAGGAAAUUCCUUUUCUUUUAGGCUAGGCCCACUAGAGAGAAUAAACAAAUCCCCAUCCGGAUUCCUCUCCUUCAAAAUUGGUACCCCAGUACCAAUUUUCCUAAACAAAGGAGUCCUAUUAUAGAUAGCUUUCUUUAGCUCUUGAAAUGGCCCCACUGCCUUUCAGCAUUGAAGUCCGCUGCUUCAUACAGCUUUGGAAACUUCACGUGUGCAAAUUAUCCCGAGAAUCCGUCCUUGAAAGCUGGAAUUAGGCCUGGGCACGCCAACCUAUCAGGGAGUCUGCUGGAAUGACGAUUUUCAGUACUUUUUCUUCACCACUUCCUGCAAUUAAUCCCAAAUACCAAAUAUAAGUAGAAUAUAUCAAUUAAGAUAAUAUUUGGCUAAAAUCAAAGGGAAAAAUAAUUAUAAAUUUAGCACAAAUUAUGACUUAUCAAAACAUCAAAAUCCUUAUCUCUGUAUUUCUUUCCUUUGCCUCCUAUUUCCACAAUAGAAGUAGUGCCUUCACUAAAAUUGUAUUACGUUGCCCUCCAACGUAUUUAACUUAUUUAUUUCUUGUCCCUUUUAAUUACAUUUAAACAACUCUCCCAUAUUAAAUCAACUAUUACCUCGUUGUAUUAAACACUUACCUUUAUUAGCAUGUACAAUGAAUAUCACUGUAUAAUUACAACUAAGGAGACACUAUACAAAUGGAAACAAAAGAUAACCAAUAGCAAAUCUCAAGCAUGCCAGAUUGAGUUGAAUAAAAAAAAAAAAGGAGUACCAAAUAAACACCAAAACUCACGAAUUUUUUAUCUGCCUUCCUAAGUGUUGAUGCUUCCCUAAACUCCAUUUGUGUAUUUUCUAGUAUUGGCGCUUCCCCAAAUUUCAUUGUUCCAAGAUAACUUUUUUUUUUUUAACUAUAUAUUAACUCUUAGUUAUUAAGCAUGUAAAUAGCUAUUUUUGUUGUAACAGUGGCAGAGCCAAGAUUUGACAAUAGGGAUCAAAUUCGGAGAUAAAGAGCAAAAUAUUUGAUGUUCUAAAACAUAAAAUUUUUUAAUUCUUUGUACUUAAAAAUGUUAAUUAAGAAGUAAAAGCUUUAACCUUUAAUAAUAAUGAGUGAUGGAUGCAAACUCAUUAAUGGCACAAAAGGGAAAAGAAUACAAAGAUUAUACACUAUGGUACAAUGCUACACAUGGAAGUACAAAAUUUAUGCCUAUGGUAGAAUAGCGUAUGAUCAAAGAAGAAAUUAAUCCUCUCUGGAUAAAUUAAUAAUAUGAAAAAACCAUAGAAAACAUUCAAUGAUGGACCGAAAGAGGUGAAAUAACUGUAAUAUCUUUGAGGAAAAUGUCAGGCGAAGGCGGGCAAGAAUGUUUAAUAAAAUUUUUGUGGGGGCUAAAUGAGGAGCAAAAAUAGAAUUUUAUAAACUGUUAUAGGUAAAAGUAGAAUUUCUGAGAAGUUAGGGGACCAGCCUGUUGGUCACCCUUUUGUAAAUUUAUUAUUGUAAAGGUUAUUGUCCAUAUUAACGUAGAAGAAAGCUAAACCAGACAAGAUAUAGUAAUCACUUAGCUAUUAGUUUGUGGGCACGGGAUAAUAGGUGUCCAGUGGGGACUCGUUAGGAGUGUUCAAUUUUUGUAAAAGUGUAGUUAAUUUUAAAAAAUUUCUAAAUAUAGGGAUAUAAUAAAUAUGAAUGUGUGCAUUUACAUGAUAAGUUAGGUGCAUUUUAAGUAUACUAACCCGUGCUCGCUAUACAUUUAUUAGAAAAAAAAAUUGUAGUUUAUGAAGUAGUUGGUCAAAAUAAAUGUGUAUACUUUUAAGUGAUUCAUGACUGCAUUGUUUGUUUUUAAUGAUUGGUAAGUACAAUUGCUAGUUAAUUGCAAUGCCCAAUUUGGGGGCGGAAUACUUAACUGCCCGAAGAACUGAAGCAAUUUGUAGAAUGCCAUUACUCCAGUUCAUUAGUUGAAGUUUCUUAGAAGCUAAUUAGUUCGAUCAGUAUUUAAUUUCAUAAGAACUCAAUUACUCAGCAAAAUAUAAUUCUUUUUUGAAACUCUUAACAGAAAUCAAGAAAAUCAUAAAAUUGCCAUCCUUGGGCUGGGUACCUCCACAUUCGAACGUAUUUCGUUCUAACUUCUAUAAGUCUCUGGCAAAUAUAGAUUCAAUUACCACAAUGAAAUUUCUGUAAUCAGAUGGAGUAACAUCCUUCCAAGAGGGAACGUGUUAGAGUUUAAAAUGUAGCAAGGGAAGCUAGAAAGCUUAUUAAGCCUACUUCAUUAGUCCCACAUGGAAGCAACAAGAAGGAAAAGGUGGUGCCCCGAGGCUAUAAUAAACAAUGUCAAGCCAACACAAAACAUAAUUACCUGAACUUGGUCAAUGGGCUCUUUUGAUCUUAGAAUGCUCAGGACUAUAAAUUCUGUUUUGAUCUUAGAGUAAUGGAGCUAGGAGAUUGGGAUAUUCUCUUUUGUCCACUCACUUUUGAUUUUCACCAAUUAAAAAUUUCCAUGUUUCAUCAGGAAGAAGUUGGUACUUUGCAUGGUGCAUUAAAUGAGGCCAAGUUGGUUCUAGAUAGGAAAAAGGAUCUCAAAGGAUUUCUUCAAGCAAAAAAGGAGAUGUUGUCACAUUUCACUCUAGAUUGGAGGAUCAACUAAAUUAGGACAAGAAAUACCAGAACAAAUUGUUGUAGCGUUGAAUCAACAAUAUUCAGAAGUAUUUCAGGAACCUACUCAGCUACCUCCUAAUAGGACUUUAGAUCAUCAAAUGCCAUUGAAACCAAGAGCACACCCAUUCAAAAUGAAACCAUAUCGAUAUCCCCGCUCUCAGAAGGCAGAAAUUGAAAAACAGAUUGCUGACAUGCUGAAAUUUGGAAUCAUCAAAUAGAGCAAUAGUCCGUAUGCUUCUCCAGUAUUAUUGGUCAAGAAGAAAGACAAGAUAUGGCGCUUUUGUGUGAACUAUAGGCAUUUAAAUGAUUUGACAAUCAAGGAUAGGUAUCCAAUACCCAUUAUUGAUGAACUACUGGAUGAACUGUAUGGUGCUAAAAUCUUUUCCAAGAUUGAUCUGAGAUCAAGAUAUUAUCAAAUCAGGGUUAAAAUGGAGGAUACAUACAAGACUACCUUUCAAACUCAUAAAGGCCAUUAUGAAUUUAUGGUAAUGCCAUUUGGAUUGACAAAUGCCCUUGCAACAUUUCAAGCAUUUAUGAAUCAGGUGUUCAAACUAUUCCUGAGGAAGUUCGUUUUGGUUUUUUUUUUUUUUUUUUGAUGAUAUUCUGAUCUACAGUCCAACUUUAGAACUUCAUGCGAAACAUUUAAAUCAAGUGUUGGAAGCACUUAAGAGCAAUCAGUUGCAUGCCAAAGUUUCUAAGUGUUCUUUUGCUCAGAACAAGGUAGAAUAUUCAGGCCAUGUAGUAUCCGAGAUAGGAGUUAGUAUGGACAUAAGCAAAGUGGAAUGCAUUCUUUCAUGGCCAGUUCCCAGAUCUGUCAAGGAGCUCAGAAGUUUUUUGGGGCUUACAAGAUAUUAAAUCCCUGUUAUUGGUGCACAGACUCUCAGAAUGGUUUUGAUCAACUUAAAUAGGCCAUCAGCAGUGCAUCAGCAGUUCUGGGUCCGGCUUGGUUAUUUGUCAAGUUUCUUCAGAUGAACAUACUUCCCAAAUUGCUUUGUCAAUUUUUUGGGAAGAUAUUUGGGCCAAUGGGUACCCAAGUAUUUCCUAACAUUUUCCAUCAAUUAAUGGGUACAAUUGGAAUAUGUCCCAUUUUAAACCCAAUAUCAAAUUACAAUACCUAUUCCGCCCAAAGUUCCUUUGGGCAUGAGUAACUCAUUGGGACUUGAGACAAAUUGCCACCUCUACAUCAGUGCUAAGGUUGCCAAAUUUGGAUAUCCUUUUUAUAGUAGAAAUAGAUGCUAGUGGCCAGGGUAUGGAUGCAAUACUAUUACAAUAACACCAUCCUAUAGGAUUUUUUAGUAAGACAUUCUCUUCUAAAAACAUGGGAUUGUCUGUUUAUGAGAAAGAACUUUUGGCAUUAGUCUUUGUAGUAACCAAAUGGAGGCAUUAUCUGGUUGGAAAUCACUUUAUUAUCAGAAAAAAUCACAAGUAACUUAAAUUCCUGUUGGAACAAAGAUUGACAAUUACUGCUCAGUACAAAUCGUUGACAAAAUUGCUAUGACUAGACUAUGAAACCCAACAUAAGAAAGGAUCAAAAAAUACAGUGGCUGAUGUCCAAUCCAGAAGAACUGUUGAAGGACUUCAAUCUAUACCCCAACGGAUAAUGGCAUUAACUAGUGUUCAACCUGUUUGGAUGGAGGAAUUGCAAAAUAGGUAUCUUGAAGACAAACAAUUCCAGAAACUGAUAAGCUAACAACUUCUGGAUCCUUCACCACAAACCUCUAAAUUUCAGUUGAAUCAGGGAUUUACUUGAGUACAAAGACAAUUUAUUUAUGGGAAAUGGCAAUGGAAAAAGGCAGAAGUUAAUCAAAACCUUACAUGAAUCAUCCACUGGGGGACAUUCUGGACAAAGGGCCUGUCUACAAAGAAUCAGGAAUAUGUUCUACUGUCUAGGAAUUAAAAAAGAGAUUGUCCAGUUCAUACAACAAUGUGAAGUAUGUCAGCGGAAUAAAAGUGAACAUCUACCCUAUCCAAGUUUGUUGCAACCUCUCCCUAUUCCAACUCAAGAAAGGGCACAUGUCACAAUAGGUUUCAUAGAAAAAUUACCCUGCUCCAGGGGGUUUGAUACAAUCCUAGUGGCCUUAGACAGUUGACCAAAUUUGGUCAGUUCAUACCUCUUACUCAUCCAGUUUCAGCUACACAGGUGGCACAGGCAUUUCUAGACAACAUCUACAAACUCUAUGGCAUGCUAGAAUCCAUUGUUACUGAUGGAGACAAAGUGUUCAUCACUAAAUUCUGGCAGGAGUUAUUUAGAUUGGUCAGAACUAAAUUGCAUUAGAGCUCUUCUAAUCACCCAGAAAAUGCUGUGCAGAGUGAACGUUUAAAUUAGUGUUUGGAAGCCUAUUUGACGUGCAUGACAAGUGAGCUGCCAACUCAGUGGAGUCAGUGGCUUAGCUUAGCAGAAUUAUGGUACAACACAUCUUACCAUACCAGUUUGGGAGUUUCCUCUUUUGAAGUUCUAUAUGGAUAUAACCCCUAUCCCUGCCUAUGGGGCCUUAUCAUGACACCAUUAUCUUAGCAGCAAACAACUUACUACAAGAAAAGAUUCAUAUGCUGCAAAGGAUCAAGGAACACCUGCAGCAAGCUUAGAAUAGAAUAAAGACAUUUGCGGACAAACACAAGACCGAAAAGCAAUUUGAGAUAGGUGAUUGGGUGUUCCUGAAGUUGCAACCAUAUAGACAGCAACCAGUUGCUAUCAGAAAGAAUCUAAAAUUGGCUGCUAAAUUCUAUGGACCCUUUCAAAUCAUGGAGAAGAUCAGUGGAGUGGCAUAUAGGCUUAAACUACUAGCAGAAGCUAAAAUCCAUCCAGUCUUCCAUGUCUCCUUACUUAAGGAAAAGAUAGGACCUCAUCAAAACACUACUUCAACACUGCCAGACUUUGAUUGCCAUGAUCAGUGCCUUCUACAACCAACUGAAGUUUUGAAGAGACGAGUAAUUUUGAGGAAUAUGUUCCUGUUAUACAGUAUCUAACAAAUGGCAUCAGUUAGGAGAAGAGGAAACUUCAAGGGAAGAUCAAUCCUUCAUUACAAGCCAAUUUCCAGAGUUCCAGCCUUAAGGACAAGGUUAUCCUCAAUCAGAGGAGGUAUUGUCAGGAUUAUGGGUAUCAAUGAAAAAAAGCAAAAGUAUUAAGGGUCGCAAUCGUAAAUAUUAGAAGUAGUUAAAGGUAUUUAGAAGUCGUUGCAACUGAAGAUGCAGAAUUUGGUACUGGAGUUAGAAACUAGCAAAGUCUCAACAAUUGUGUAUAAAUUCUAAAAUGUACUGGGAUUGAAACAAGAAAUGAUAAUUGAAUUUUUCCCUCCUCUCUCGUUCUCUCUCUGGAAUCUUCCUUUUUUUUUCCUUUUCUCAUUUACUUUCUAAUUUCAUUCUCUCUCUUUCUUCUUUUCUUCUUCCUGUUCAUCUAAUUCUACUAAUCCUUGAAGAUCCUGACAAAUUGCACGUAGGAGGGGUGCCUUCCUAUGGUCUCCCUCCCCCCAAGUGGAAGAGCCGACAUUAUAAUUAGUGAUAGUGGUAGCCGGUGUUCGCGUCGCCCCUGCCCAUCUCUAGUGAAGGUUUUUGAAUAUUUUUACCAUGUAAGUGAUUAUGGUUCUUUACCUGCCCAUCUCUAGUUCUUAAUCUUUCUCUCUUUUGAAGUGAUUAUGGUUUCUUCUUAAAUAAAUUUUAUAUACAUUUAUAGUAUAUAUACUAUCAUUGAUAUAUUCAUGACACAUGUGCAAAAUGGGUUUCAAAUUUAAAUUAUACAUAGUUGUCAUUUAUCCAAAACUGUACAUUGUCAGUGCAGAAAAGAUUAAUCUUUUCUUUAAACAAGGAGAUUUUGUAUAACAAUUUAGAAAGACUACGUUUACACAGAAGAUCAAUUCAUGGUCAAUCUCCACCUUUAUUAUGUUUAGACAAGAAAAGUCUGUACCAAUUCAUAUUGUGUGCAUCAAAUUUGAUAGAGAAUGCGGUGACGUAGAGAGAGAGAGAGUUUUCUUUUUGUGAUAAAAUAGGAAAGUUAGAGACAUAUCUAACGUUUAAGAAAAAACAAACUAGGAAAUUAAAUUUAGUUCAGUUUGUCUUUAUAAGAAUUAUCAUGUUGAUGGAAUACGAAUAGCAAUACCAGCUUUUUAUGUGAUUAAUGCACUUUCUUUCUUGGACAUAUACAUAAAAAGGAUAGCCUACGUGUUAUUUUGAACUGUUAAGAAUCUAACUCGAGGAUAUGAUUUAAUCUUGUUGCUAAAUAGGUAACUACCAUAAGAAGUCAAGAAAUUUUUAAAAUGCCAAUCUUUGCUAGUUGUUGAGUUCUUGGAAGUUGGAAGCUAAUAAAUUUUUUCCCCUACGUUCAUAAAAAUUGAUUUACUCAACAAAAUAUAAAGUUCCUCUGGAAAAACUCAGAUGGUGUCAACUCAAUCAUACUAUACGACUAUACUUGGGUACCUUCACACUCAUUGUAUAACUUCUUAUCUAUGUGGCUCUUGAAUGGUAAUUCUAGAUGUAGAUACCAUAUUCAGAUGGGCAAGCAAUACCGUCAGAACAAUUAAUUAUCUUCCUGCCAGAGUAUAUUUUACUUAAAUGUCAAAAUUACUCUCAAUCAAUCAACUUUAGAUAUGUUCAUUAAUUACUCCUUUUUGCUCUCUAAUUAAGUAAUUUCUGUUAGAUUUCUCACUCUUCUUCCUAUUAUUUUCAUUUCUCUCUUUUUCACCCACACACUAAUGUAUCUAUUAUUUUAUAAUUAAAUAUGUAGUUUUUGCCAAAAUCUUUUCUUAUAUCUUUUUGGUUCUAUGCGAUCUUGCUUUUUGAUUCGAUUCUAAAAAUUUUAUUUAUUCUUUUUUUUUUUUGCAAAUAGAACUUCAUUUAACUCCAACAAAUUUCAGUUUAAAAUAAUAAUUAUUAUUAAGAUGUCAUUGUAACUCAAUACUUUAGCAUAAAAUUUUUUUUGACAUGCAACAUGCAUUUUUCUUUUGAAUUUUGCUCGUUUAUCAUGCCUCUGAGCAACUAAUAGCAUUAAAACUUUGCCAUCUUUUUCUCUUUUAUACUUGUCAUAUAAAUCUUGAAUUUUUAUCUUUUAUCAGGUAUAAGACUUGAUUUCUAUCAACUAUUCAUAGUAUCUAAUAAUUAGAUGAAAAUAAGUUUAAAUUAUAUUACAUUAUAUAUCUUAUGAAUAUUGAAGAGAAAAACUAUUUUUUGGGACUAUUUUCAUUUUAAACUAUUAAUUAUUUUGACUUAAACUACAUUGUGCUUGAAAAAAGAACCAUUUGAGUGAAAUUUUAAAAAUUAAAAAAUUAUAAGGGCAUAUAGAAGUAAUAUACAAGAAAUUAUUAAAACCAAGACCAAUUUAGUAAAUCAUGAAAAUAAUUGAUGAAUUAGUGUGUGUGUGUGUGUGUGAGAGAGAGAGAGAGAGAGAGAGAGGUGUGAGUAAGUGAGUAGGAAAAAACUUUAAUUAGAGAAAGAAGAAGAGAAGUAAUUAGCGCUUAAUGAAUCUAAUAUAUAUAUAUAUAUAUAUAUAUGGAGUUGAUUGAUUAAAGAUAAUAGUGGCAUUUGAAAAAAAAUUUUCUCUGACAGGAACAUUGUUGCUCUAAAAAUAACCCCAGCCUACCCAAAUGACAAGGAAACAUGUUACGGUUUUAAAUGUAGCAAGCGGAAGAUUGGUUAAAACCCACCCUGGUGCACUCCCACAUUGACCAACAAGGAGACAAAGAAUGGUGCUGCAAGCCUAUAAGAGCUUGGAACGAUCAUCUUGCUGGGAUACCUUUAUCGUAGGAACCUGCCCAUGGUAGGAAGGCCGGCAGAGAGCGACACGUGUUGGGGUUGCAUACAGUCCAAACGGAGACGUUAAAUUGUUGCAGAGCGCGUGGAGAGGAAAUAUACGAGAACCGUCUGCGGAUGCAACCAAAAAGCACACUGACUUCCGUACGAUCUCAUAGGUUGGGCCAGGAAGUGUUAUUGCAGGUUAAAACCAGAGGCAUUUAUGUAUUUGCAGAUGUACCCAUUACCAAUGGAAAAAUGCUGCAAAUGCCUUGGACAAAAAAUGUGCGUAAAGAAGGUACCGAAAUUUUAAGAAAUAAUAAAUAAUUAUCGCACACGCGUGGGGGAUAAUAAUUUGGAAGAAGAAAAAGUGGAGGUGAAUGAAAGGAUUCAAGCCUUCAUUAUAUUUAUAUACAUAUAUAAAUUGAGUACCAAGUGUUGAGCUUAUGCAUGUGUGAAAAUGGAGUAGUAACUGUCGUUAUGGUAAAAAAAUAGUUUUAGACAUGAUAUAAUAGGUUAUAAUAAUUUAGCAAUCAUUUGAUUACUUGUUGAACUUAUCCACUUGAAUAAGAUUAUGCGUAAAAAUAAGGAAGUAAGUUUGUCAUCUAAAAUAGUAAGUUACCGUAAUAAACUAGUAACUUUUGCAACCCAAAAGGUGAAUUGAAAGUAUUAUGAAACAUACUUUUUAAAGAGAUAAAUUACAAUUUUUAUCAUCAAUAUACUUUUGAGGGAGUAAGUUUAUUCAAAGUAAUAGUAUGUUUUUAUACAUAAAUAAUCAUUUUUGCUUAUAACAUAGUAAAUUUGAUUAAUGACAAAAACAUGCUAAUUUAUGGCAAAAAUAUUCUAUUAUGCUUAAAAAACUUAUGCCAAGCCCAUAUUUUAUUGUUAUUUGAAAUAACACUAAAAUGUUUUAUUUAAAACUGAGUACCUUACUUAGUAAGUACUAUUAAUAUACUUGUAUAAAUACUUGAUCGUAUGUGAAUAAAUUAGCAUUUUUGAAAUUUCUACAUAAUUAAAUUUUUUCUGUUGCAAUUUAAAAAAAAAAGUAAGCAAAAAUUUUUUUGCGCAGAGCACAAAAAUCCACAAGUCAAAAUAGUUGGUCUGAAAGGGAAAGAUACAGUUGAAUAUCAUUGUUUAAAGUACUAAAUAAAUAGAUGUAAGAUGCUGGUUAAAAGCUGGUACUUUGACAUAUAAUAAAGGAAAGUCAUAAAAAACAGGCCAUUUAUGGAAAAAAAUUUCAUUAAUAAAAAUACCAACUCUUCACGGCUUUUUUAUCAGUCCUCCAAAGUAUGAGCAAAGUGCAAAUAAUUGAAAUAGUAAUUUUUUCGAUUUAUAUAGAAUUAAUUUGUUUUUUGCAUUUUAAAACAGAUAAUGAAAAUUUUUUAUCAGAAAGCACAUAAGUCAAAAGGAUUGGUCAAAAGGGAAAGGAAUGGCAGAUAUGUACAGUACUUGUAUUUCACGUUCGAAGGACUAUAGUGCUAUUUUUGAAAAAUACCCCAAAAAAUAUGUAAUCCAAACGGAACCGAUUCUUCAUUAUUUAAAAUACCAAAUCUGUGAUUGUGUUUUAACUGUUAUCCAUUGGUAUUCAUUUUUUCAUCAAAUACCACCUCUUUAACACCCAUUUUCCCUUAAAAAAUUUAUUUAUUGGAUAAAAUAAAAAUAAACCGGUUUUGCAAUAAAACACUAGCUCUUUAUAGCUUUCCUCCAUUAUAAGAACAGAGUACCCAUUUUUCCAUAAAAGAAUUUAUUUAUCAGAUAAAAUAAAAAUAAACCCGUUUUUCAAUAAAACACUAGCCCUUUAUGGCUUUCCUCCAUUAUAAGAACAGAGUACCCAUUUUUCCAUAGAAAAAUUUAUUUAUCGGAUAAAAUAAAAAUAAACCCGUGUUCCAAUAAAAUUCUAGUUCUUUAUGGCUUUCCUCCAUUAUAAGAAUAGAGUACCCAUUUCCCAUAAAAAAAUUUAUUUAUCGAAUAAAAUAAAAAUAAACCCAUUUUCCAAUAAAACACUAGUUCUUUUGGCUUUCCUCCAUUAUAAGAACAGAGUACCCAUUUUUUCAUAAAAGAAUUUAUUUAUCGGAUAAAAUAAAAAUAUUUCAAUAAAACAGUAGCUCUUUAUGAGUUUUCUCCAUUAUAAGAACAAAGUACCCAUUUUCUCAUAAAUAAAUUUAUUUAUCGGAGAAAAUAAAAAUAAACACAUUUUUCAAUAAAACACUAGCUCUUUAUGAUUUUCCUCCAUUAUAAGAAUAGAGUACCCAUUUUUCCAAAAAAAAAUUUAUUUAUCGGAUAAAAUAAAAAUAAAUCCGCUUUCCAAUAAAACACUAGAUUUUUAUGGCUUUCCUCCAUUAUAAGAACAGAGUACCCAUUUUUCAUAAACAAAUUUAUUUAUUGGAUAAAAUAAAAAUAAAUCCAUUUUUUUCAAUAAAGCACCAACUACUUAUGGCUUUCCUACAUGAAUUAUCUAUUUUCAUAAGUUAAUUUAUUAGUUGGAUAAAAUCAGAAUAAAAUAAGGUUGAACAGCAAAUUACCCUUUAGGAUAAAAUUGAAAUACAGGAAAGUAACGUAUAGCAAGUUUUAACUCCAUUUCCAAUACAAAAAUAUGCUAGAAAUUCUUUUUGCAAACGCAAGACACCUAAUUCAUAAAGUCUCAAGAAACCUUUACAACCGUUAUGCAAAAGCAACUUAUUCAUUCUAAAUUUUUAGCAUCAAUUUGAUUAUCUGUUGGACGUAUCCACCUGAAUAGGAUAAUAUGUAUUUUUUGGGACACAAGACAUAAUAAGAAUUAAACUUGUAUUAAUGUAGACCUAACAAAAUGAGAGAAAUAACGUAACAAUUAAUACAAUAAUAAGAAUAACAGAGUUGGUAUAACAAAAUUAGUAUAGUCUAGAAUUUUAUUUUUUUCUGCAGAUAGUUCACGAAUAUGAGAUUCAACCACUAAAAAAAAUACAUCUAUAUCAAUCUAUAUGUAUUGUAGAGGGAAUUUUGGAUAAGGAGCUUUCCAAAUUGUCAAAACUCUAAAUACUAUUUUAUUUAGAAUUUUACAUUUCUAAAAUUAAGAAAUGUUUAUCUCACAACUAAUCCUAUAACUGCUCGUACAAAUCCUAUAAUCAUGCUCAUGUUUUUCCCACAUUUCCCUCACGUUUUCCCCACUAACCCAUAAAAUUAAAACUCCUAAAUUUUAACUAAUAGAUAGUAACCACCCAUGUAAAAUGAUAUCUGAAAAUUCCAAUUAAUGUCUCACAUUUACGGCUGACUUUACUGAUAGUAAUAACUAACAGUUAUUAUUGACAUUCACAUCUCACACUUACCACAUUACUCAUAGUAAUAACUAACUGUUAAUUUAAGAAAUUCGCAACUACGAAAGUCACAUAUUCAAAAUUUAGGAGCAUGUUUAAAUUAUAAUUUUCACAAUUCAAUGUAUUUUAUUGUCAUAAUAUAGUUUACUCUCAUAAUCAUUCACCAAACCGAUGCUCACUAAUCCAACUGAUGCUCACGUUUUUCAAUAAAACGGGUUUGAUUUUUAUUUUAUCCGAUAAACAAAUUUGUCAAACGCAUCCAAAAUGGGUACUCUUUUGUUAUAAUGGAGGAAAGCCAUAAAGAGCUGGCGUUUUGUUAGAAAACACCAUUUUUUUUAAUUGUAUCCAAUAUAUAAAUUUGUUUUUCGCCUCCAAAAUGGGUACUAUUUUGUUGUAGUGGAGGAAAGCUGUAAAGAGUUGGCGUUUUAUUCGAAAAUGGGUUCGAUUUUUAUUUUAUCCCAUAAACAAAUUUGUUUUUUGCCUUUUUUGUUAUAAUGGAGGAAAGCCAUAAAGACCUGAAAUUUUUGCCCAAAAAAGGUUUCAUUUCUAUUUUAUCCGAUCAACAAAUUUGUUUUUUGCCUACAAAUGGGUACUCUUUUGUUAUAAUGGAGGAUAGCCAUAAAGAGCUAGUGUUUUAUUGGAAAACGGGUUUAUUUUUAUUUUAUCUGAUAAAUAAAUUUGUUUAUGGAAAAAUGGGUACUCUGUUCUUAUAAUGGAGGAAAGCUAUAAAGAGCUAGUGUUUUAUUGGAAAAUGGAUUUUUAUGUAUUUUAUCCGAUAAAUAAAUUUGUUUAUGGGAAAAUAGGUGUUAAAGAGGUGGUAUUUGAUGGAAAAAUGAUACUUUAGAAUACCAAUGGAUAACAGUUAAAACACAAUCACAUAUUUGGUAUUUUAAAUAAUGAAGAAUCGGUUCCGUUUGGAUUAGAUAUUUUUCGGGGUAUUUUUCAAAAAUAGCACUGUAGUCCUUCAAACGUGAACUACGAGUACUGUACGUAUCUGCUAUUCUUUCCCUUUUAGACCAUUCCUUUUGACUUAUGUGCUUUUUGAUAAAAGAUUUUCAUUAAUUUUUUUUAAAAUGCAAAAAAAAAAAAUUAAUGAAAAUAUGUAUAAAUCGAAAAAAAUACUAUUUUAAUUAUUGCCACUUUGCUCAUACAUUGGACGACUGGUAAGAAAACCGUGAAGAGCUGCUAUUUUUAUGAAUUAUAACUUUUCCCGUAAAUGGCCUGCUCUUUAUGGCUUUCCUUUAUUAUAUGUCAAGGUACCUGCUUUUAACGAGCAUUUUACAUCUAAUUUAUUUGGUACUUUAAACAAUGAUAUUCAGAUGUUUCUUUCCCUUUUAGACCAACUAUUUUGACUUGUGGAUUUUUGUGCUCUGGGAAAAAUGAUUUUCGCUUACUUUUUUUUUUAACUGCAAAAGAAAAAAUUUAUUUCCCUAUAAAUUUCAAAAAUACUUAUUUAUUCACAUAGGAUCAAGUAUGUAUACAAGUAUAUUAACAGUACUUACUAAGUAAGGUACUCGAUUUUAAUCAUUAAUAAUACAUUUUAGUGUUAUUUCAAAUAACACAAAAAAAUAUGGGCUUGGUAUAAGUUUUUUUUAGCAUAAUAGAAUAUUUUUACCAUAAAUUAGCAUGUUUUUGUCAUUAAUCAAAUUUACUAUGUUAUAAGUAAAAAUCACUACUUAUGUAUAAAAACAUACUUUUACUUCAAAUAAACUUACUCCCUCAAAAGUAUAUUUGGGAUAUAAAAUUGUAAUUUAUCUCUUUAAAAAGUAUGUUUCAUAUUACUUUCAAUUUACCUUUUCGAUUGCAAAAGUUACUAAUUUAUUACGUUAACUUACUAUUUUAGAUGAGAAACUUACUUCCUUAUUUUUAUCCAUAAUCCUAUUCAAGCGGAUAGGUCCAACGAGUAAUCAAAUGGUACCUAAAAUUUUUAUAACCUAUUACAUCAUGUCUAAAACUGUUUUGUUUACCAUAACGAUAGUUAUGGCACCAUUUUCCCGGGAUGCUUAAGCUGAACACUUGGGUACUAAAUUUAUAUAUGUAUAUAAAUAUAAUGAAGCCUUCAAUCCCUUUGUGUUUCGCGUUGCCACAGAACUACUACGUUUACCUCUACUCCGCUUUUCCUUCUUUCUUCCAAGUUAUUAUCCCCCCACACUUGUGAGAUUUACAUUUAUUAUUUGUUAAAAGUUCGGUACCUUCUUUACGCACAUUUUUUUGUCGCAUGCAUUUGCAGCAUUUUUCCAUUGCUAAUGGGUAGAUUUGCAAAUGCAUAAAUGCCAGUGGUUCUGACCUGCAAUUACCCUUUCCUGACCCAACCUACUACAUUAGAAAACGGAAGUCCGAACGUGUGCUUUUUCGCUUGCAGCUGCAGGCAAAAAAUUAAUGUUUGCUCUCCACGCGAUCUUCCACAGCUUAACGUCUCCGUUUACACUCCAUCCAACUCCAACAUGUGUUGUUCUCUGCAGGCCUUCCUACCAUAGGCACGGUCAAAACGUUCCUACCAUAAAGGUUUCCCAUCUUGCAGAGGUAAUUGAUGGUCCAAAUCAGGUCCAAUAAACUGAAUUUGAUUUUGAUCAUUGAUUACGAAAAAACAAAAGAGAGAAUAUAUUGAACGGAUCAGAUUGAUUUAUAUGGUGGUUUUCGCUCAAAGAGUUUCGGGUUAACUCACCACCCAUGAUGUUACAAUUGUUAUAUAAAGCCUUGCACUUGAGUGCUUUGUGGUGCUAAAUUCUAACUUACUAAGAACGACAACCACCUUUAAAACUCGAUAAACAAGUAUAAAAAUAUUAUUUAGUAAAUAAUACAUUUGGUAAUAAACUACUAACAAUUUGGAUUAAUCAUUAAAAUCGUAAUUCUUACAUAUGAUCUUGACCACAAAUAGAAGAGACAAUGUCAUAAUUUAGAACUGCUACCCAAUUUACUAAUAACUACGAGGUAUACACUGCGCUCUGCGCGAUAGAAAUAAAAUUUUGCAUGUCCAGUUCAUGAUUAAUAGAUAGAGAUAAAAUUUUGCUUGUCCAGUUCAUGAUUAAUAGCUAGGAAUACUGUAUGAGAAAAAUGCCUAUUCAUUUAAAACUCAAGAUUGAUAGCUGAAAAUAAUAUAUAAAAAAAAUGCCUAUAUACUUAAGGACCAUAUUUAUUUUGCAUGUAUUUGACACCCAGCCCUUCUGCACAUUUUUUUUUUUAUUUCCUUCUAUUUGGUCUUAUAAUGAAGGUUAUGGAGCCGUACAAAUUUGAGCAUGACUCUGAGGCAGCAAGAAGUUGGAGCAUACCCAAAAUUUUGGAGCGAUGCGAUGAAUGGUUACUUUUUUGCUUUUUGGAUAACAACUUUUACCGGAUGUUAUUUUGGGAAACCUCUAACAUGUAGCCUUUGCUAAUUUUAAGGUGAUGAAAAUAAUUCUUUUGAUUGCUAGGGUAGCUGGUUGAACCUUUUCUUAAAUUAUUUAAUUGAUGAAAUUGGCAUUAUUAAAUUGAUUAGCAAAUGAAGAGAGAAAACGAAAACACAGUGGGGAAGCUCACGGGCAUCAAAGCAAUCCUAGGCGAUAUCAAUAUAUUUUUAGACCACGCAAUCUUAUAUAGGCAUUGUCUGAAAAAAAGGUUUCGGAUUCUAUCCCAUGUCCUCGAUGUUUUUUCCUUGGAGAUCAAUGAAUUAGUACUUAUCAACCAUUGAAUUCCUAAUUUGGUAUAAGCAAAUUCAAGCCUGGAUCGCACUAUUUAAUGCAAUAUUAAGCAAAAAAAUAUUCGCCAAACAGAUCAACACGCAAUGAGUUAGUGAAUUCAAUGGUUGAUAAGCGCUAAUCCAUCUGAACUAUAAGAGAAUUCUGUUUUUUUCGUUUUGUUCAUCCGAACUGUAAUAAUUAGGAUUCUUGGUCUGAAUUCUAUCUUAUUUAUUUAUCACCUUCUUCUACUACCAAAAAAGGCAAAAAAAAAACCAUUAUUUCCCGGGACGAGGGAAAAGAAUUCAAGGAUAUUAUUAGUUGAAGAAAGGGAGGUUCACCUUCCAUCAGAAUGCCUAAUAAAUAUGUCACCUUUCAAAAGAUCAAUAUAACAUUCUAGCUUGCUAUGACUUAGCAAACAAUCCAUGAUUUAAAGUCCAGAAGGGAAAAGUGCCAAGAAAAAAAUGACAGCACAGAGACACCUGUAACACAACAGCCUAACACAAAUUAACUAAGGAACCAUGAAUAUGCAUAGAAACAGAUCUCACAAUUAUCAGGCUUCACUCUGUGUCUAAUACCAAUAAUAACUGGAUUGGACUCAACAUACCCCACUGCAUCUACUAUGGUCCGCCCCACUUCAGUCUCAAAAAUCAUAGAACAAUGUCAGAAGAACAGGUUUCUUACCAUAGCAACAAACAUAAACAACAAGGUGUCAGCAAUCUAAAAAAUGCAGGGGCUAACAAAAGCAACACGGAAGGAUCCAAGCACCGGAAAUCACCUUUGAUCAAUGACAUAAUCUCUAGCAAUAACAGAAACACCGUCUAAAAGCGCGCCUUACUCACUGGUAAAGCAUAUAAAACAACUCCUAUCAUAUCUAUUACAAAUCAGUCGACCAAAAGACAGAGUUAGUUUGUCACAACAUCAGCUCCGAAACAAAACGACUACUCGUAUGAAAAAAGGAAACCAGUGAGAAAAAAGAAGGGAAAGAAGUAAAGUAAUAGCACAUAGAGAGGCCAGAACAGAAAACAAGGAUACUCAAUACAUUGAAGCAACUGCAUUCAAUACAACCAAACAUGAACAACGGUAACAAUGUUAGCCUUUUCCCCCCAAAAAAAUGGAAAAAAAGACUUCACAGCUCACACAAAUGAAAAAAAAAGAUAAACCAGACGCUCAAAUUCACUAUACAACAUGUACAGUUGGCUAAAAAAUAGUAUAACUUUUUCAUUCCAAAUCCCCGAGGCAUUAACACAGAAUAUAUUACUGAAAUCAUAUAAAACAUAUCUAUAACAAAUCAGUCAACCAAAAGACGAGUUAGUUUGUCACAAUAUCAGCUCAGAAACAAAACGACUACUCGUAUGAAAAAAGGAAAUCAGUGAGAAAAAAGAAGGGAAAAAAGUAAAGCAAUAGCAAAUAGAGAGGCCAGAACAGAAAACAAGGAUACUCAAUACAUUGAAGAAACUGCAUUCAAUACAACCAAACAUGAACAAUGGUAACAAUGUUAGCCUUUUCCCCCCAAAAAAAUGGAAAAAAAGACUUCACAGCUCACACAAAUGGAAAAAAAGAUAAACCAGACGCUCAAAUUCACUAUACAACAUGUACAGUAGGCUAAAAAAUAGUAUAACUUUUUCAUUCCAAACCCCCAAGGCAUUAACACGGAAUAUAUUACUGAAAUCAUAACUAAUACUUCAAGUAAGCAAAAGGACCACAGAGUAAACUAUGACAACACAAAAGGGGCAAAAAGCUAAACCUACAUGCGCAUCGUCAAAGACGAAGCGACAAUACACUUUUGUGGCACAUUCUGCAUCAGUAGUUGUGAGAUGUGAGCCCUCAAUAACUUAGAUAAUAGUCCGUCGUAGCAAAGAACUGUGGACCUCAACUAUACUCAAUGCCUUUACAUCCAUCUAACAACUAAAGGAAAGAGAAAACAGGUCAAGAAAUGAAAAUGGGGAAAAAAAGGUGAAGCCAUGUGGACUAUAAAUGCAUAGAGAAUUCAAGAAAGAGGGAAAAAUAAUAGCAAAAUUAAGGGUUCAUUUGGGAGUUGAGGAUUUGGACAGAAAAGAAAGGAAAAGAAGAGAAAGUUCUUUUGUUUGUAAGCUUUUAGUAAGAGAGAAAAGAAAGGAAAUGAGAGGAUGAAUAGUAAGCAAAAUUUUCCUCCCAAAUUGGAGAGAAAUGGAGAGAAAGUUGGAGGAAGCUUGUGAAAAUUUUUUAAAAUACCUAUUUUAUCCUUAAAAAUGUCUUGAACAAAUAUUUAAUGACUUUCAUAUCCAAAAUCAUUCCACUAAUUCUCAAAACUCCCAAACAACAUAACAAUCCCUUCUCUUCUCUCCUCUUCUUUCAUAACGUUCCCCCCCCCCCUCCUCUUUUCCUAAACUCCCAAACGAACGCCUAAAGUAAUAUCAAAUAGAGGCCAGAACAGGAAAAAAAGAAUACUCAAUAAUACAUUGAAGAGACUGCAUUCAAUACAACCAAACAUGAACAAAGGUAACAAUGUUAACCUUUUUCCCCCAGAAAAAAAAUGCAAAAAAGACCUCACAGCAUACACAGAUGAAUAAGUCCGGUGGAAGGAAAAAAAGGACAAGCAGGCGUACACAAUGAAUUGGAUGGUAAGAGCAAACCAAAGCAGAGAACUAUGGACCUCAGAUAUGCACAAUAAGUUUACACACAUCUAAUAUCAAAAGCAAAUAAGAAACGGGGCAAGACAGAAAAAUAAGGAGAAAAAAAAAAAAGAAAAGAAAACCAUGAGGAAUAUACACAUAUGCAGAAUCCAAGGAAAAGGGAAGAAAAGUUCAAAGGAAAAGGAAGGGAAAUGACAGCAGAAGUAAAGAAAGGGCAACUCACCAAAGAAAGGGCAAAUAGAUAACACAAUGGGAAAAAACAUAACCAAAACCAAAGCGCACUAAUUACAGAAUAAAAGCAACCAAAGCACAAGGGUUAAAGUGUAAAAUUAAGAGAUAAAUAGCAUUAAAAAAAGAAUAAAAAAGGGCAGAGGGUAUUCUAGUUCUAGAAAAUUCACCAAGAUUGAUGGAGUAUGAACAAGCUCCCUGCAAAAAAAAAUAAAUAAAUAAAUAAAUGAGAAGAAUGCAAGAAAGGAAAGAAAUAUUUGGCUGGAUACAAAGAAAUCAAAGACAAACCUCUACAGACGAGAGUAGAACAAAGAAGAGAGAAAGAAAUUCAAUCUUUCUAUUCUGGAGAACAGGAAUCCAUUCAGAGCAUUUAAGAUAAAAUAGUUCAAGAAAGGGUUAAAAAUUAAACCAUAAAAAGGAAAUUAAACGGGAAAGUUAUGGAAUUACCGCAGCAAGUUGUUCUGUCUUAACCAAUUGUAGUGGUGGUGGACCGAUAAAUGGAGGGAGAGGAAGAGGGUGAGGAGAAGGAGAAGGGGAAGAAAGAGAGGGGCAAGCAGCAGAAAUUUGAGAGACCCUAUAGAGCAAGUCUAUGUAGAUGUCUGAUGUAUCAAUCCCAGCGCAUUUCACAAAGGGGGUUAGCGUUCUUAAGAAAAAGGCGGGCGACCCACGUGUGCGGCACGUGGGAGGACGAAAGAAUUGUGCUGAAUCCAAUUGCCAUUUUAUCUACUUAUGUUGAAAAGUCUCUUCUCUCUUCCAUAUGUUAUUAAAUUGUCAAACUUCCCUUGUUGGUGUUUCCUUAAGGCUUAAUGCAAGUAAACCAAACUGUGUCAAGAAUUGUGUGGCUCAACUUAUUUUUUUAUUUUUAUUACAUUCAAAAUAAAAACUGAAGGCAGUCACAAUCAUUUGUCAACCUCUUAUGGCAGAACCAAUAACCAUAGCAGGUAUAUGACUAUGUCCCUUCUCAAACCCUCUCCUUCGCCUGGUAGAGGAGUUGUUGAAGUGAAAUCUCACAAAAAAAUUAGUCACACUCAGUUGUACCCAGUUCCAGAGAUCUUCAAGAAUAGAAUGCUCUGCCUCAGAGGUCUAAGAAAGAAAUACGUACUAGACUGCUUCGGACAAGAAAAUAUGUAUACCAACAAGAAAGUUCCAUAAGGUAUAACAUAUAAGCUGUAAUUGAUCGGAAAUAGAAAUUAAAAAUGCAACAAAGGGAUGAAACAAACGAUAGUGAAGAAACUUGUCAAUUCUUUAAUCGAACAUGUAAGUUGGUACAGAAGAAGAUCUCCACAGAACUUUUGUCAUACUUCAGUCUGCUAUAGUAAUAUCUCAUUCUUAUAUAGAAAAUAUACAAUGGAAAUUGGCUAUUCUCAAAAUGCUUGCUACAAAAUCUUGGGCUCUGAAGCAUCCAGCAGAAAAGGUAAUUAAAUGCACCCAUCCAACAGAACCAUACAAUACUAGUCCUUUUGAUCUGAAGAAGGCAAGAGUUUAAUUGUACCUCUCGAAAUGAGAACACUGCAUGCGUCAUGCUUGCAACUGAUUGGAUAAAAUUUGACUUCCACUAAUUGUGCAAGAUUCUUGCUUUCAAGUUAAAGCUCAUCUUUUGUUGGAGGUAUCAGGUAACACUCUUCAUCCCAAUAAUAAGGGAACUUCAAUUUGGCUGCAGUAUGCGGCAUAUGCCAGUCAUCAUAUAUAAACCUGAAAGUAAGAACACAGAGCAUAAUUGUCAUUUCCUAACCAUAAAAUGCAAGUAUACGAAGGGAUACAUCUACUUAUGUAUAUUAAUCUACUAAGUCUCACGAUAAUCGGAUAUAUGAAAGUAUAACAAAAAGAAUCCAUCAAUUGCUUCAAAUAAAGAACUCAAUCCAUCAAAAACAUCUAUCUUAUUCUCCACUACAAGGUCCAAAAAAAAAGAUCGAUUUGAAAAAGAUAAUUGGCACCUAGCAUUCCCCUUGUUCUCCCUGUCCUUUUAAUAUAUGUUUCUCUUCAUCCCUCUAGUCUUCACUAUCCCCAAAACCCAGCAAAUUGAAAUUUUCUAUUUGGAAAGAAUCACACUUUUGGCUCCUCUAGUACCUUAAAUCCAUCCAUUUUCCCAAAAUAUGUCCAUCUUUUCUUCUCAAUUUAAUCCUAGCACUAGCUUCAUCACCAACUAAACUAUCAUGUUUCCAUAUGACCUAAAGAAGAAUUCUAGUUCAUCACUAACACACAGCUUACUCCAGCUACAACAUCUCUGAAGUCAUCUUUGAAGUAAAAUUUCUGCACAAUGCUUUUUGGGUCAUCGAACAAUUGACUUUUCUAUAUAUGUGAGUGUGUGUGUAUUGAUGAAAAUUGAAACUUGUUUCCCUCCAAAGUAACUUCCAUAAAUCAGAUAUUUACUUGAGAUACUAGUAUUACAGAUCUAACAUGGAAUAAUGUAAAUUGAUGAGAUACAAGGCAACUAGAAAUGACUGAAGUGCAGAACAUGCUUACACUUUAACUGGAGGACGAGUGACAAUAACCAAGAACUGUAAAUCCUCCUCUUUGUUUGUGUUCCAUAUCUGCAACAAAAAUAAAUGAACAAAAAGUUUUGUGCAUAUCUCAGGAUACUUUAGCAUGAGCACUGCAAACUCAUAAUUAGUAAAUAUAUACCGUACUAGCAACAGCAAUUCCACAAAUCAUGGAGAACAGGAAGGACCAAAAAAGGAAUGUAAACUGAGAUUAAAAAUAGAAAAAGAAAAAAAAAUGGAACAAUAAACUUUAAACAUAGUCAAUUUCAUUAACAUGGGAUGGGGCUUCAUCCUGUAACACUUAAUAGACACUUUUCUGGUGAGCUUUCCCUUCCAUUCAGUCGGAUUUCUUCCUUUCAUGUUGUGAAACCCACUCCUCCACUCGAUAAGGGAAAAAAACAAUAGCAAGAAUGAUUUUCAAUUUGCUUUCUAUGCAGAUAUUGCUGAAUUGAAUACAGAUAUAUUUGCAAAAGUUCUGCAUCAAACAAAGAAAAGCAAAAGUCGAAACAAUUCACCUGAUGAGCAUCAUUAACAGGGAUAUGAAACGUGCUAUUAGAGAAGAUAGGAAACUCUUGUGGGUUGCCAGGGUACUUGGAGUGUGAAUUAGAAGCAAGAUAAAGAGUCCCACUCCCUUUUAGUACCACGAACACUUCCUCGCAUGAAUGCCUAUGAAUUGGAGUGUGAGAUCCAGAAGCAAAUGUUUGCAGCCACACCUCAACCUAUUGAAAGGGCAUUCAUAGAAUUUAGGGCUAAGAGACGCAAGAAAGCUACCUCCUAAUAUUCAAUUUAACAGUUUAACACCAGAGAAUUGGUAUUGGAUUAGCUUACCUCUUUCAUCCCAUGUAAAAGCGAACCGGCUACGGUCAUGUGAGACAAACCGGGUCUACCAUAACUAUUCUGCGUAAGCUCACUGAUAUUCCUCACCAAUGGAAGCCCUAGAUUAUAAUUGAGAAACUUUCUUCAUAUUGAAUUCUUCAAUACUGUGCUAAAAAAAUCAAUACACUAUACUAACAAAAUCACUUCUUUCACCCCAAAAAAAAAAAAAUCACUUCGAAAGCCAAAAGACAUAAAAGGAGAAACAGAGAAUGAAUCUUGUAAAGCGAAAAUGACAUCAGUUAUACUCAUUGAUUGGGGAUGAGAAGAAAUGCAAAAACUUGCCUUCGGUGGAAGAGCAGGGAUAGCCGUCGGCAUUGGAGCUAAGAUAGAGGGCUGUAAAUAAAAGGGCCACCAGCACUAGCCGCCGGGACAUAUUCUCGGCCAGGACUGCACAGGCCACUGAGGUCUACGAUUAUGAAAGAUGAUUGGAAAAUCUAAACGAGUAUUGUGUCACGUGACAUCAUGUGAUACAGGAGAGCAGUGAAAUCGGGGCUUAAAACAAUUAUGGAAUUGGCUCCUGCAAGGAUUAGCCCCUUCUUUUAGUUUGUAUGCUUUUGGCCCACAUCACUAUUCAAUAUUUCUUGGUCUAUAUAUAAAAUCUGAAAUUCAAAGUCUAAAUCUAUUAAAUCUAUUAAAUUAUUUAACUAUUAAAUCAAAUAUAUUUGAAUGUAUAUCACAUACAUUGAUAAGUAAAUAAUUUAUGACUUAUUUCAGAGAGUAAGUUUUGUCUAAAAAAUUCAAUGCCACUCAAUUAAUUUAAAUACUCAAUUUUUUGUUAUCAAACGUAAUUAAACAUAUUAAAAUCUGAGUUCAGUAACUUUAAAUGCUGAAUUGGGUUAUCAAAUAGGAUUUAACCACGCUUAAUAAUUGGAAAAACGAGCACCGUUGAAAUACAUGCCGCUCAGCCAAAGAAAGAUGAUGGAUUUAUAUAAUUACCUUUCUUGAUGUUCUAAUUUGUGUUUCCAUUGAGAUUUUAAAAUUUCUAAUAGCAAGCAAUAUAUGUGCAAUAUAGAAUUUACUAAUAGUAGCCUCAAUUGAUUCUCAUUAUUUAUUAGCUUUAACACAUUCUGAUCAUUCUCUGUCAUCACUUUUCAAAAUCAUCUCAAAAUCUAAAGCAAUUGAGUGUGGACAUCUCUCCUAAUUAACCACUUAAUUUAAGCGAAUGAACAGAGAGGUACCUGAUUAGCAGAGAUGAUUGUGGACACUUAAUUUAAGUGAAUGAACACAUAAUGGUAAAAAAGAAAAUGGUAGCAAAUUACUAAACGGCUGAAACGUAUUUUUAACAUUUAAAUUAAACGCCUGAAACAAAACGGGAAAAGGGGUUAAAAAAAACCUAGAAUAUGAAGGUAUUGAUGGCGGUGUUUGGCCUCUGGCUUGAGAAUUGACCAGCGGGAGUUUGAAGAGAAGGCUUGGAAGGAAGAUGACAGAGGAGGAAGGUUGCGGAAGUGGUGGUGCAAAAAUGCAGAGACUCAAAUGUAGAAGGCAGACACCGGAAAGGUGGAGUUUCCGAUAGGCGGUGCAAAAGCGGCAGCAACACUUUGGACUGGGCCAAUGCCAAUUGACUAAUAAACCAUGAGACUUCAUCAUAAUUACACUAUAACCAAAUCUGCACUGUAGACAUUGGACACUUUUUUAUACUGUUCGGCAUUGCUAUAACUUAUUGAAAAGUAUUUUUUCUAUAAAAUUUUUAAUAAAAAUAUUUAUUAAAUGCUUAAAUGCAUUUAAGUGUAGUGUUUGGAAAUAUAGUUUCACAAGUAUUUGUUAUAUUAGAUAAUGUGUAAUUUGAAAAUUUUUAAAUGAAUUUAUCUCUUUAUUUGGUUGAUAAUAUAUGAAAAAAUAAUUAACUUUAAUAUUCUAUUUUUUAAAUCAUAAAAGUUACUCCAAAAGUAUCAAAUUUGACUUUUUACUAAAAAUGUUUUUAACACUAAAACCUUCACUCUUAAUUUUAUUGGAUGAUAUUCACUAAACAUUUCAAAAGUACUUUUAAUACUUAAAAAUGCUUUUUUAUCAAAAGUAUUGCAAUCCCAAACAGGACCUUAAUCCACUAACAGAAAAGGAUUUUUGUCAUUAUGCAAUUUACCACAUUGUCCCCGCAUCCGAGUUGCAAUAACAACUUAUUGUGGAGUUAAUGUACAUAUUUUCCUCUUGGAAGCCUACAUCUAAAGCAAAUGGUGUUAUUUUGGACUGUUAAGAAGGUCACUCAAGGAAAUGACUCGAUGUUGCCCUACUGAGUAGGUAACUGUCGCAAUUUGUAGAAUGCUAUAUUUGCUGAUUUACUUGUUGAGUUCCUCGAAAGCCAAUAAGUUCCUUUUUUCUGGCUUUCAAUGUGCCCCUGCUUCUCUCGUGGGUAUUUCUUUUGUUUUUCCCCUCCUUUUUUUGUCAAUUGGCACUUUGUACAAUUAUUACUGACACUAGAGAAGGAAAGCCCACAUAUCAUGUGGGAGUUUGGUACCUGUGACUUAAGAAAAGUUAGUAGUUUUUGUUUGGUGUAAUAGUAUAGAAGUGUAAUUUGUAAUAAUAAAAAGAGAGGUGUUGAAAGGUUAACUAUAUGUCAAACUAUAUAAGAUUGAAAGAUUAGGUAAAAGCAGAAUUUAUAAGUUUUCUUGAUAGUCUCUCGUAUUUGCAUGAAACUAAAGUAGUGGUAUGUCGGAUAUAGUUUUUUCUUGUAGAUGGUAGUAGUUUUUGUUGCAGUUGUGUCUUUCCUUGUGUUGUCUCUAUUAUCUUGUCGAUCGGUUGAAAGCUGCAAAGAGUGUAAUAGUUCCUCUUGAAUAUUUGUAAUAAAUACUUACUGUGGUAGGAUGCUUGCAUGGGGCAGAAGCAAUGUUAGCUAUUGAUUAGUUCUUGUUGUUGUCAUAUUCACACCAAAGAGUUAGGACAGUGGUUGACAGCUUUGGAAUAUUGUUAAUGAGAAUAUAUUUAUGGUGCAUUUUUAUUGAUUGGAUAGGUGUUAGUCGAACCAUUGAUCAACAACGAUGACUUGUCCAGUACGUGGAUCUGCUGCUACAAACUUUGGUUGAAUAUGAAUAGCAAUUGCAGAAAGGUCUGACCAUUUGAAUUUUUUUGAUAGAGUGUUAUUUAAGAGGCAUAUUUACUUCAUUUGAAAUUUGGAUCAAAGUUCAUAAAUCCAACCUUCAACACUUAAAAGAAUUUUUUAUCAUAUCUGCUUUGUAAUUUCUAUUAAGGUGGGAGAUAGAGACAUUGAAAUAAGUGGCCUGCCAAUUUCUUGCAAUUGUUGGACAGCAGCUAUGGUGUUGAUGAUCCAUGAAUAUUCUUUUUUUUUUUUUUUGUGCGAAACUUAUGGUUAAAAUGGGUUGAACUUUUGUAUUGGAGAUAUAGUAAUUUUUAUGGGUGUCAAAAAAUUUGUUGAAAAAUUUUAUAUUUGUGCCAUAAAUUAGCGCUUCAACCUUUUGUCCCUAUAUAUAUAGUGAAAAUGUAUUAGAAGAAAAUGUUAGGUAGAAAAAUUGACUAGACAACUCAUUGGCUAAACCUUCCUUAAUUAACACAUAAUAUUUAUUACAUAUAAUAAAAAUAAAUGAGUUUUCCAUGGUAUAAUCACAUAUUCGUUAAUGAUAUUGAAUGAAUUUAAAAAAUUAUGGAUAAAUCCAUGAAUAAAGCAAAUGAAGAAAGAAUUAAUUAAAAAAUCAAAAUAUAAUUUACUCUAUUUCAGCUAUAAAGUAAAUUGAUGUAUUUUUUUGUGAUUUAUCCUACUUGUUAGAAACAUAUGCAUUUAUAAAUUAUUAUGAAUUCAAGUUUGUGAAGUUUGUAAUAAUCGCAGUAAGUGGGAUAAGAUAGUGGAGUAAAGACCAGAGAGUUUUAGAUGUGAUAAAAACACUUUAAUAAAAGAAAAUAUAUACUAUUCACAGUUCACAAUAAUCGAAGGGAGUAAGUGGGGUAGGAUAGCGUUUACCUGCUAACAACAAUUGUGAGAAUCAGCAAGUAAGACAUUAGCCUCUUCUAGCUUUCCUACCAGCAGGUCAAAUCUGGAAGGUGAAGUGAAUUUAAAGGAAAAUGUGAGAAUGAGGUAAAUUUGUUAGGGGUUUUCCACUAUGAAUAACAAGUCCAUUUUGGAGCUCAAACUUGGGCUGUGAAUAACGUAGGGUAGUAUAGCAUUUACUUAAUAGUAAUGAUCACGAGAAUUGGCAAGUGAGACAUUAUCCUUUUGGGCCGCCAGGUCAAAUCUGGAAGGUGAAGUGAGGUUAAAUGGAAAUGUGGGGAUAAGAUAAAUUUGUUAGGGUUUUGCACUAUGAAUAAUUUGUCCACUUUGGAGCUCAAUCCUAGUCUAAAAUUUCAUUAGACUGCCGAUAAUAUUUUAUUGUGGAGUGAUGGACAAGUUUUUGGGCAUGAUCAAAUAUUGGAUAGUUAUGGUGUACCGUGAUCGUCUUUGACCUCCUCUUCUACUGUUUAGAUUUAGCAGAAACUUUCUUCGACAAAUUUUUAGAUUUAGUAGGAACUUCAUCCGGCAUCACAAUAGAGGACUUCUUAGGUUAGGUAGAGACUUUCCUUUCUCCAGCAUUAUGCUCAAACAUUUUCACUGGAGACUCACCAUUGGUGUUGCUCAACAUAUUAAGAUAUAUUAAAACACUAAAAAUAAAAUAAAAUAAAAUAAAAUAAUAGAGCAGAGACUUCUAGACACCUUUAGAUCAGUAAGUAAAAAAACUUUAAUAAAUAGAUUCAAAGCUUUCUUUUAUUGGAUAAAAAACAUAUUAGAAGAGAGUUCUAAAUCCUUAAAAAUACUUAUAAUAAAUGCUAGGUGGGAUAAGAUAAUGGAGUAGAGCCUAGAGAGUCCUAGAUAGUCAAAACACUUUAAUAAAAGAAGAUAAAUGCUCUUCACAGUUCACAAUAAUCGAAGGGCAUAAGUGGUGUAGGAUAGCAUUUACUUGUUAGUAACAUCCACGAAAAUCCACAAGCGAUACAUUGGCCCCAUCUUCCAUUCUUGUGAGACAUACACACCUUUAGAUUAGUAAGUUAAAAAAACUUUAAUAAAAAGAUUAAAAGCUUUCCUUUUUAUUUUUGGAUAAAAAUCAUAUUAGAAGAGAGUUCUAGAUUACUAUAAAUACUAUUAAUAAAAUAUCUUCUCAAUAAUUGGAGUAGGUGGGACAAGAUAUUGGAGUAGAAACUAGACAGUUCUAAAUAGAUCAAAACACUGUAAUAAAAGAAUAUAAAUGCCCUUCACAAGUCACAAUAAUCAAAAUGAGUAAGUAGAGUAGGCUAGCAUUUACCUGAUAGUAACAAUUACGAGAAUCUGCAGGUUAGACAUUGGUGUUGUCUUCCUUUCCUGCCGCCAGGUCAAAUCUGCAAUGUCUAAAGUUAAAGGAAAACAUGGGGAUGAGGUAAAUUUGUUAAGCUUUUGCACUGUGAAUAAUGUGUUUGUUUUGGAGCUCAAACCUAGGCUGGAAUUUCAUUGGACGACUGAUAGUAUUUGAUUGUGGAGUGACAGCCAAGUUCUUAGAUAUGAUCAGAUAUCAAAUUGUUAUGUUAUACCGUGGUCCUCUCUGACCUCCUCGUCCAGCUUUACAAAUUGAGCAGAAACAUUCUCCUACAACUUUUUAGAUUUAGUAGGAACUUCCUCUUGCAGCACGGUAGAGUAAUUGUCAAGUUUGGUAGAUACUUCUCCUCCCUUGGUAUUAGGUUCAAACAUUUCCAUCGAAGACUCGCCAUUAGCAUCACUCAUCUUUUCUCCAGUCUCUUCAUUCUCAUUUUUCUUGCUAUUUGUGAUGGAAUUUUUACAUCUUUAGCCAAUAGGUUCGAGAGUUGGCAUACGGCGGCUCGAACUCAUUGACGAGCACGGGGUAUACAUAUAAUAAUUAAUUUAUUCUACAGUCAAGUUUUACAUUUAUAACAUUCUAAAUACCUCACACAUGAUUUUUUGCAAGUAUAUGAGUCGAGAGUGAGUACAGGGUAUUAAAGGUCGAACCCACAAGGAAGAUUGUCAAUUACCGGCACUGCUAAAACUUCUCUAUUAUUUAGAUGACCAACAAAUUAAAGGAAAUAAAAAUAUGCUAAACUUAUGCAAGACAAUAGCAAAUAAAAACUCCUUAAGUUAUGGUAUUCCUAACUACUCAUACACUUGCUAUUUUUGGAUCAUUGUGUACUACUAUCUUGGCUAGUUAUGGCGUCAUUUCCUCAUACAUGUGAAACCUACUUUCGUAGUAAAUCAACUAUACUUAUAACUAAUCCAUACCUACUCUCGUGGUAAUGAAAUUAGUUACAAGUUAAUUACGUCUAUGAAAUUACAUGAAAUGAAUCACUAAAGCCACAAAGGCGCAUCUCUGUUCUCAUGAGUAUACUACCUAGGUUUAGCACUUUUUGAACUAGUGUUAAAUCCCAAUUUUCAUUAGAAAAAUACCACUUUUAAAUAAUCACAAUUAAUGGUACCAAGUUAGUCAUAAUUUAGGAGAGCAAAAGUGCUAAAUAACUUGUUCAAAAUAAAAGCAUCAAAUAGCUAAAAAAUUAACACAAUACAAUCAUAGGAAGUUCAACCAAAAUCCAAGGCAUAAACUUUAGAAAGACAUGAUAAAUAUAAAAUCCAAACUUGUAUAAUAACUAAAUAAUAGAAUCAAAUACAAAAGUUAAAUAGUUUGGAAAGAAAUGUAACUCUUGUCACAUGAGUUCAUCUCCUCCAUCUUCAUCUUUGCCUAGCUAAUAACCAAGAAAGAUAAACUAACUAGUUAAACUAUCAUAUACCCUACUAACCUAACACUAAGAAAAUGUAAGAGCUACAUUUUAGUAGUAUUUCUUGCACUCUCCAAGCUCUCUUGAUUCUUACAACUCCAUGGCUAUUUAUAGACAAAUUUAGUCAAAAAAUGAGGCUUCAAACGUCACUUUUACAAUUGCAAAAUAAUUGUCAAACAUCCAUCAAUAGCUGUGAAUUAUUGGAGGAGAAAAUAAGUUGUGCAAGUAGAGAGCCAUAAUUUCAGACCAAAACCCGGCCAAAUAUCCAUCCAAAAACUGGCUAGAUUGUUAGCCGGAUUGCUCCCCUACUUUGGUUCUCAAUUUCUGUUCAAUCUUCAAUGUUGUUCCAAUUUUACAUCAAAUUCAACUGAAAGUUUCUUGAUGAUAGAGGCCGAAUUACUGUUGACCAAAACAUAGGGCUUGUAUCCCUUUGAGUUAGCUUUCCAAUGCAUCAAGAAUCACCUCAUUUGGAUUUGUGUAGGCUGCAAAAUGACUGAAAUACCCUUAACUGCUCAAUGCCUUGUUGACUACUGUAAUUCGGUUUUUUGUCCUAGAAAACCUUUAAAUUGGAUUUCGAUGUCUUUACAGGAAUUGUAGAUCUAUCUCUUAUCUUCAAAAUGGUUCAAUAGUCAUCUCAAUCCGAUUAUUGUAGCUCAAGUUAUAGCCAAGAUUCAAAAAUGUAUCAAAGCUGUCAACUUUUCUUUUUCAUCCAAAUGAAGUCUAUUUCUAACUCCUAUAAAAAAUUACGGACAAAAUGCAAGUGAAAUGUGAUAUAAACCUCAUUUAAACACUUAAGAGCAUUUUAAACUAAUUAUAGGCAAAAUAAUCCAUUUCCUUCUUAUAGCAUUGCAAAAGGGACUGAAAAUAACAUAAAAUGUCAUUUUAAUAUAGUUCAAAAUAGUCACUUAUCACUCAUGGUCUUAUUUGAUAAGAAAACAUAUUAGCAUAUAUUAAAAAUCCUUAAAAUAAAAUAAAAUAAAACAAUGGAGUAGAGACUUCUAGACACCAUUAGAUUAGUAACUAGAAAACUUUAAUAAAAAGAUACAAAGAUUCUUUUCUAGAUAAAAAAGCAUAUUAGAAUAGAGUUCUAGAUCCUAAAAAUACUUAUAAUAAAAGGUUUUCUCAAUAAUUGGAUUAGGUGGGAUAUGGUAAUGGAGUAGACACUAGAGAGUCCUAGAUAGGUCAAAACACUUUAAUAGAAGAAGAUAAAUGCUCUUCAUAGUUCACAAUAAUCGAAGGGAGUAAGUGGGGUAGGAUAGCAUUUACCUGAUAGCAACAAUCGUUAGAAUCGGCAGGUGAGAGAUAUGCCCCUUCUUCCUUUCCUACUAGUAGGUCAAAUCUAGAAGGUGAGAUGUGGUUAAAGAGAAAUGUAGGGAUCAGUAAAUUUGUUAGGGCUUUAUGCUAUGAAUAACUGCCCAUUUUGGAGCUCAAACCUGGGUUGAAAUUUCAAUGGACGGCCGAUAAUAUUUUAUUAUGGAUUGAUGGACAAGUUUUUGGGUAUGAUCAGAUCUCGGACGGUUAUUGUACACCAUGUCAUCUCCGACCUCCUCCUCCAGUUUUUUAGAUUGAGCAGAAAAUUUCUUCUCUGACUUUUUAGAUUUAGUAGGGACUUUCUCUAUCAAUAAUAUUGAGGACUUCUCAGGUUUGGUAGAGACUUACCUCCGCGGCAUUAGGCUUGGAUAUUCCCAGAAGACUCGCCAUUAGUGUUGCUCGUCUUUUCUCCUAUCUCCUCGUCACAUUUCUUGUUGUCUACGAUGGAAUUUAUGCAUCUUUUGCAGGUAGACUUGAGAAUGGGCAUGCGGUUGCUCGAGCUUAGGAUCCUAUUUGGUAAGAAAACAUAUUAAGAUAUAUUAGAAACCUUUAAAAUAAAAUAAAAUAAAACAAUGGAGCAAAGACUUCUAGGCACAUUUAGAUCAAAAAGUAAAAAAAAAAAAAAACUUUGAUAAAAAUAUUAAAAGCUUUCUUUCUUUCUUUUUGGUAAAAAACAUAUUAAAAGAGAGUUCUAGGUUCUCAAAAAUACUAUUGAUGCGACUGCCGAAGUGAAGGUCCGACCUGACCGGGUGCCUAGGGAGCGAGCGGAGUCGUCCGACCUGCGCGCGGGCGAGCUGCGGGGCUGGGUCCCCUGUAGCAACUCCGACGAUCAAGUCAGAGGAAGAUUUGUAAGUGAAAGAGUAGAGAUUGUGCUAUGAAUAGCGUACCUUGUGUUUUCCCCACGCAUGGUAUUUAUAGAGUCACAGGUAGUAGUCUCCUAGUAGAACAGGGAGUCCUUAUGGGAGCAUAACUCUCCCUAGGGCUCCAUAGCUUAGUUAGGGCGUGCUUGGGCUCUGCAGCCCGCGCGGCCCAUCCAAGCCGACCUGCUGGGCCGGGAACCUCCUACCAGCCGAGCUUAUGGGCCAGGCCGACGUGUUCGUGGGCCCCACUACACUAGCCCCCCCUCAAGUCUAGAGUCAUCGAUCGUGCGCGUGAAUCUAGGCCGAAUUCUAGGAGGUCAUGUCAGCUCCUUGUGGGACCCGCCGUCAGAGAGUGGUGCAAGCAACCGUCGCGUCAGUUCGCGUCGGUCACCUCAAUCGUCGCCUCGGCCAAUUAUGGCGGUUAGGAACGGUUCCCCAUAACUGCUUUAAUAAAUGCGCGCCUCUUCGUUUUCCCGCGCUGUCGCUGCCUAUAAAUAGGGUCCUCCAAGCGUCAUUUUCACUCUCCUCCUCUCAUUUCUUCAGUUCGCUCCUUCACUCCCCAGUUCGCUGCUUCAUUCCUUUCUCUUCAAGAACACAUCGGGUCGCCCCGCCUUAAGAGCCCAGAGUCAGCCCGGGCAAUCCUUAGAUCAUCCUUUCACCAGUAAGUCCCCCUUUCCUUUUAUGUCUUCUUACAGUUCGGAUAGUUCUGACGUUACCAGUUCAGCCCAUAGGCACAGAGCAGCCAGCCCCAUACUCUUAGACAGCAGCUCUUCCGAUUCCUUUAGCUCUUCUCCUUCUAUUUCAUUUGGACCGAGACCAGUAGCCUCGCCUAACCUGUCCCCAGUUAGAGUAAUGAGCCCAGCUGAGCGACCUGCCCAGCCUAUAGUAGGAGCAGCCGAACAGGCUGCUCCGGAUCAGAUGGCAGCAGGGACCUCAGGGGCGCUGAGGGGCGACUUUGGAGAGGUCGACACUAUUCCCCCAGCCCUGGCUCAAAAAGAUGUUGACGAGCUGGCGGAAAAAUACGAAAUUCCGGCCCAGUUCGAGCCCAGGGCCGCCCGUCCAGGGGAGGUCGCCAGCCGACCUCCCCCUGGCUUCGUGGCGAUCUACAGGGACCAACUGAUGGCUGGCCUCCGUCUGCCCAUCCCCAACUUCCUCUUCUUCAUUCUUACCUUCUGGGGUAUUCGCAUAACCCAGGUCAUCCCCAACGCUGUUCGCUCUAUCAUAGGCUUUUUCAUCCUCUGCCGAGCACUCGAAAUCCCUUUUUCUCUUGACCUAUUUCGAGCCUUCUUCCAGAUGAAGGUCAGCGGGAAGGUGCCUGGGUGGUUCUACUUCGCCCGACGAAGUGGAACGAAAACCCCCACCCGCGAGGUGUUUACGGGGGCACCUUCCUCCAUCAAGGACUGGAAGCCUCAGUUCUUCUUUGUGAAGAACCUAGGUUUUCCUCCCCUUACCUGGAGAGCAGAGACUCAAGUCUCAGAUCCCAUUCCGUCCCCGCUCCCCGUGUCCGAGCUAAGCCGCCUACUCAGCUCGGACACGAAGCUGGACGUGAAGGAGUUCAGCAAUGGCCAGCUUUGGGCGGCGGGGCUGAUCCGAGCUAGCUCCUCGGAUCCUUCCUUAGAGGAUAGGCCACUCUCGACAGACGAGCUGGACGCCUGUAACUAUCCUGCCCCUCCAUCAUCAUCAUUAUAUAUUUUUUUUUUCUUUUUUUUUUUUUUUGAACCGCUGACCUCUUGGCCUUCUGUUUGUGCAGUGAAACGGUUUUCCUCACUUCUAUCCAUUGGCGGUAGCAGCAACCCGGGCGCCGCUACUCAGACUCCGUCGGCCAUCCCAGCCAGCUCGGUGCCUGCUCCCGUACCUCAGCCAGCUCCCGCCCAAUCCUCCAAGGCGGUUGAGGCUGGGAAGAAAAAGAAAAAGAAGACCACUGCUAAGAGAGUCAGGGUGGAAACGCCCUCGUCCCCAGCUCGGGAGGAGAGGCCAACACCCGAGCCCGCCCAAAGCGGCCACUACGGCGUGAACACCGUCGAAGAGCAAGCCCGCGCUGAAGCUCCUCCAAACCUGUGGCAACGCCAAAGCUCCCUGCUCUUCGACCCCCAGACGCAGCUGACGACGCACCAACACCCUAUGCACUUCUGCCCCCAGUGGAAGCUAUCCAUAAACGACCGAGCUCAGUUCCCAGACGCAGCUCGGGAGCUUAUCCAGGGCGCCAUCCUUCCACGCGACUUCAACCUAGUCAAGACCAUGGAUUCGUCCGAUCUCCUCAAUUACUAUUACACGGGAGCAGCACAGGUCGGUAUUCUCCCAUUUCUUUGCUAUAGGUAGGAGGUUACUCUUGUCAUGAUUUUGACGCCUCCACACUUGUCCUGACAGAUGAACGUGGUCGGGCCCGAACUGGCUAAGCGUUACGAGGGCCUGCUCCCCCUGCUGACUGAAACGAAGGCGGCCAACGAGAAGUUGCUCAGCCAGAACGCAGCAGCUGUGGCCGAAGCUGAAGGCCUGAAGAAGCAGCUCGCGCAAGUCCACACAAACUUCGAGCUAGAACUGAAGAAAAACGCCGAUCUAACCUCACAGCUGAAAGAGGAACAGCAAAAGGCAGCUGGGUUGUCUGCUCAGGCAGAGGCAGCUAGGGCUGAGGGAAGCCAGGAGGGUGUGCGGACCUUCCUGAGGUCCGAGGAGUUCAGGGGCGACCUGGCCAUCCUGAAUACCCCCGUUCUGCAGCACGGGUAUUCCCAGGCCCUGCAGGAAGUGCAGGGGCUAGGGCUACCCGGGUUUGACCUGGGAAACUUUCCCAGCUACAAUCCCCUAGCUGUGGAGCAGCUCGACCGCCUGGUGGAGGGCUAUACGCACGGGCGGAAGCUGGUCGACCUGGUUGCCGACCCCCUGCUGCCAGUGACCACUCCUGAAUCCGAGCAGGAGGAGGAGGAGGGUGAAAACUAGAAUAGGGCUUAGGGUAGAACCCGAACUAUCGGUAGUUCGUUUUGUAUGAACUCUGCUCUUCAUUGUACAGUUUUUAUUGAAUGAAAUGAACAGCCUUCCUUUUGUCUUAUACUUAAUCGCAUUUGCAAAGUUUCUCACAACAAGACAUAUCAGUUCGGCCUUAUGCCGACAUAAGUGAGCUAUUCCCUAAGAUGAAAACAGCUUAUUAGUCAAAUACACUAGCAUUAAUCAAAGUCUUGACCUUGAGACGAACUGUCGUGUGCGAGCCUAACGAAAAAUCCUCAGGUUGGAAUUGUGCCAAGUACGAGGGACCUCUUCCCCGCUGAGGUGAGCUAACCUGCAGUAUCCAGCACGGUCUGCUUCUUUCACCACAUAGGGUCCUUCCCAAUUUGGACCCAGCUUACCAGUGCCCUGAAGCCGACUUACGCUGUUCUUCCUCGGGACCAGGUCCCCUUGCUUAAAAGCCAGAGGCUUUACCCUAGCAUUGUAGUGUCGCGCGAUCUGUCCCUUAUACUUGGCCAUGCGUAUAGCUGCUUCUUCUCUCCUCCCUUCCAGCAAGUCCAGGUUAAGACGCAGCUCCUCUUCAUUGUCCCGAGCUAUGAAGUUCUGAACUCUGUUCGAAGGAACACCUAUCUCCGCCGGGAUCACCGCCUCCGCUCCAUAGGUCAGCACGAAAGGAGUCUCCUGCGUAGCAGUUCGGGGAGUGGUUCGGUAAGCCCACAAUAUGGUCGGCAGUUCGUCCAACCACCCAGUUCGGGCGGACUCCAUCCGUGUCUUUAAGCCGUGCAGUAUGGUCCUGUUGACGUUUUCGACCUGGCCGUUUGCCUGAGGGUGGCCUACCGAGAUGAAGUGCUGCCGGAUUCCGAGCUCCGUGCACCAACCUUGAAGAGCAACGUCAGCGAACUGGCGUCCAUUGUCCGACACCAGGACAUGGGGUAUACCAAAUCGGCAAACGAUGUUUUUCCAGAGGAACUUCUGCACCGACCUGCUGCUAAUGGUGAUAAGGGGCUCGGCCUCCACCCAUUUGGUGAAAUAGUCUACAGCCACAACCACAUGCUCAUAGCCCCCUGGAGCUCGGGGAAAUGGACCCAACAGGUCGAUUCCCCAUUGGAAAAAAGGCCAAGGGCUCUGAAGAGGGAUCAUCUCCUGAGUCGGGGCGUGAUGGAUCGGCGCAUGCAGCUGGCAGGACUUGCACCGAGUUACCAGCUCAGUCGAAUCCAAGAAUAUGGUCGGCCAGUAGUAACCAGACAGCAUUCCUUUCUUGGCCAAAACCCUCGGGCCGACGUGGUUUCCGCAGAUGCCCUCGUGCAACUCACGCAGGAUGUAGUUUCCCUCCUCCGGAGUAAUGCACCUCAGCCACGGGCGUAGGUAGGAUUUCUUGUAAAGCACCCCAUUUGAGAGCUCGUAUCCCCGCGACCUGAGGAGGACCCUUCGCGCCUCCACCCGGUCUUGAGGGAGCUCUCCAUUAGCUAAAUACCGUAUAAUGGGAUCCAUCCAUGAGCUCACUACUUGAAUAACAGACAAGUCCACCUGGUCAUACGCCCGAUUUCUGACGACUUCCACCAAGACUUCUUUGUUCAGCGUGCCGACCGAGGUGGAAGCUAGCUUGGACAGAGCAUCCGCCCUCUUAUUUUGGCUCCGAGGGACCUGCUUGAGCGCGAAUACUUUGAACUGGGCCCUUAGCUCAUGCACUUUGGCGACGUACCUUCUUAGGGGCUCCUCCUUAACUUCGUAGCUUCCCCCUACCUGGUUGACUAUCAGGUGUGAGUCGCUGUAGACUUCUAUUGACUCGGCCCUCAACUUCCGAGCUAUCACCAUCCCUGCGACCAGGGCCUCAUAUUCGGACUCGUUGUUAGAGGCCCUGAAAUCAAACCUCAGGGCGUAGGCCAACUCAUCCCCCAGAGGGCUAGUCAGGAGGAGCCCGGCUCCGCAUCCUUCCUUGCUUGACGAUCCAUCUACGAACAGGGUCCAGACUGGAAUGAUCUGAUCAACUUCGCCAGUGGCCUGUUCGAUCUCGACAGCCUCUUCGGCGUGUUCAGCCUCCGCUGCGUCUCCGAUCUGUCCGGCCUGAGCUCCCUUUGUGGCCUGCCCGACCUUGACAUGCCCCUCCGCCUGCUCGGCCUUGAAAGCCUUGGCGGCUCGCUCGACCUGGGCAGCUUUUUCGGCCUGCCUGGCCUCUGCCGUGCCUUGGGUCGUCCGGGAUCGGGUCGUCUGCGCGGCCUCGACAGCUUCUCCGACCUGCUGGGCCUCGGCUGUGUCUCUGGUCCGCUUGGCCUGCGGCUCCGGUUGUCCGAAGGAGACCCCUUCGGCUAUAAAAUCUGCCAAUGCUUGGGCCUUAAUGGCCGUGCGAGGUUGGUAGCUGAGGUCGUAUCCGGACAGCUCCACGGCCCACCUCACCAUUCUACCUGAGGCGUCAGGCCUUGAAAGAAUUUGCUUGAGUGGCUGGUCGGUCAUAACCACCACUGAGUGAGCUUGGAAAUAUGACCUGAGCUUCCGAACCGCGUGAACUAACGCCAAGACAUAUCGCUCAAUCGAGGUGUACCUUGUCUCCGCGCCCUGCAGAGCUCGGCUGACAUAGUAUACAGGCUUCUGGACUUUUCCUUCGUCCCGAACUAGUACCGCACUGAUCGCCUCCUCCCCUACUGCUAGAUAGAUAAAUAAGGUUUCUCCAAGCGCAGGAGAGGUCAAGGACGGCAAUCGUGCGAUGUGGGCUUUCAGCUCGUCAAACGCUUGCUGACACUCGGGGGUCCACUCGAACUGAGGGCCUCUUCGCAGGGCCCUGAAGAAAGGAAAACCCCGAACUGCAGAUUUCGACAAGAACCUGUUCAAGGCCGCCAUCCUGCCAGCCAGCCUUUGAACCUCUUUUAUGCUUCGGGGAGGAGCCAUGUCCAUGAUGGCUUUUACCUUGUCGGGGUUAGCCCUUACUCCGUCUUUUGAUAUCAUGUAUCCAAGGAACUUGCCCGACCUGACCCCGAAGGUGCACUUCUUGGGAUUUAGCCGCAUCCGCGAGCUCCGUAGGACGUCAAAGAUCUCCCUGAGGUCGUCGACGAACUGCUCCUGAGUUCGGCUUUUCACCAGCAUGUCAUCCACGUAUACCUCCAUGUUUCGGCCGAUCUGGUUCUUGAACAGCUUGUUGACCAGCCGCUGAUAGGUCGCGCCUGCAUUUUUCAAGCCAAACGGCAUGGUGGUAUAACAAUACGUACCGUAUUCGGUGAUGAAGGCAGUCUUCUCUUGAUCCUCCUCAUCCAGAGCUAUCUGGUGAUACCCUUUGAAAGCAUCCAGGAAGCAGAAGAUCUCGUACCCAGUUGUUGAGUCGACCAGCAGGUCGAUGCGAGGGAGAGGGUAGCAAUCCUUUGGGCAAGCCUUAUUCAGGUCGGUGAAAUCCACGCACAUCCGCCAAGCCUUGUCCUCCUUUUUGACCAGCACCGGGUUGGCCAGCCAGGUCGGAUAGUGGAUCUCCUUCACAAUUCUAGCCUCCAACAGCUUGCCCACCUCUUCUUUAACGACCUUGUUGCGUUCAGGUGCAAAGUUUCUCUUCUUCUGCUUCACUGGCCGGAUGCUCGGAUCCACAUGCAGCUUGUGGACUGCCAGUUCGGGAGGAACUCCUGGCAUGUCAUCGGCACUCCAAGCAAAGAUCUCGGCGUACUCCUCCAGGAGGGACUCCAGGGCCCUCCUUACCUGCUCGUUUAGUCCAGAUCCCGCCUUAACCACCCGAUCAGGUCGCUCGGGGUUGACAAGCAAUUCAAGCAGAUUUUCGUCCGUCUCCAACCUCUCCUCCUUCUCAGUAGGCUCCCAGGGCUCCAGAAGGGCUGUCUGCGCCACCAGCUUCUCCUUACCCUUGAGGGUUGCAAUAUAGCAGGCUCGAGCUACCUCCGGGUCCCCCUGCACCUCGGCCACUCCCUCGUGUGUGGGAAAUUUCAUGCUGAGGUGUAAGGUCGAACAGACAGCUCGGAGUGCGUUUAGGGUUGGACGUCCCAAUAUCAUGUUGUAGGAGGACGGCUCCUUUACCACCGCGAAAUUUACCUGAACAGUUCGGCACCUUGGUGACUCCCCUAUGGUGACCUGGAGGGUUAUCAUUCCCUCAGGCCUUACCGGCGGACCUGCAAACCCUAUCAAGGGGGUACGAACUGGAAUGAGCUGUUUAUCUUCUAGUUGUAGUUCUCUGAAGGCCUUGUAGAACAACACAUCGAUGGCGCUCCCAUUGUCAAUGUAUACCUUUUUGACCUUAUAGUUACAUGUGACGACCUCUAUCACAAUUGCCUCGUGGUUAUUGGAAGCUAGAGGUACCGCAUCCUCCGGCCCGUAGAUGAUCUCCUCGUACAUCUUUAAACGCUUGUUUGAGCUCUCCCCACUGGGGGGAGGCCUGUUAUUUCGCCGAGCCGAAUGGCUAUCCCCUCCAGCAGGUCCCCCUGCAAUAGUGUUGAUCACUCCCGCCAGAGCCUGCUCCCCGCGUACCGGAGUCCGCUCCCGAGGACCCCGAGGUCGGUCGUGCGAGCUGGGCGCCCGAUCUCGCUUGAAUCCUCCUUGCUUCUGAUCAGUUCGCCCUUCGCGGACGAACUGGCCAAGAUGACCCCUCCGGAUCAGCUUUUCAAUUUCCUUCUUAAGGUGGCGACAGUCUUCAGUGUCGUGGCCCACAUCCCUGUGGUACGCACAGUACAGGUCCUGAUCUCUCCUGCUUCUAUCCCCGGCCAAGGGCCGGGGAGGUCGGGAUAGCCCUUCCUGCUCCAUCACCGUGAGGACCCGAGCUCGGGGGGCAGUGAGGGAAGUCCAAGGCUUGUCUGCCCCUAAGGGUCGGCUCCUAGACGGGUGGUCAUAGGUAUUUUUCCGCCCUUGGUCACGUCGCACGUCCCCCUGGUCGGUUGUCCUUCUUCGCUUGUCAUCCCUCUGCCUCUCCUGGGCGCCCUUCAGGCGAUUAGCCUCCUCAGCAUUGGCCUUCUCAUGAGCUCGAUCCAACAUCUCCCGAACUGACUUGGGUGGCCGCUCCACGAGCUCGGUGUAUAACUUCUGCUUCCGUAGCCCGUUAAUGAAGGCAGCCAUGACCACCUUGUCAUCUCGGUCGCGGACCUGGAGGGAUUCGUUAUUGAACCGCACCAUGUAUUCACGCAGUGAUUCCUCGACCCUUUGUUGAAUGGUCAUAAGGUGAGCGGUGCUUUUGGAGAAGGCUCGCGAAGAAACGAACUGUGCUGAGAACAGUCGCGCGAGCUGAGUGAAAGAACUAAUCGAUCUGGGGGGAAGUCCCUGGAACCACUGCCGAGCCCUUCCUUCUAGGAACAUCGGGAAGGUCUUGCACCUGACCGCAUCUGCAGCCGUUUGUAAGCGCAUCUGCGUCAUGAACACGAACAGGUGGUCUUCCGGAUCCGUGGUAGCGUCGUAAGGUUUCAUGGUUGGAAUCUUGAACUUCGCGGGCAGUUGGUAUUCCUCGACGUCAAGCGCAAAGGGGGAGGCAAUGUACCUGUCCGCCUCCGGGUCGAGCAUCAGGUCUAGCUCGUCCCUUACCUGUUGUCGCUCCCUCCGGGGGGAGAGCCCCCGGACGGGCUCCGGAUGCUCAGUUCGGGAGUUCUUGUGAGAUGGCUCCACGACCUCGACCUGCUCUCGCGUGAGUUCCCGACGUGCCCGCUUGGCCCCGUGAUUGGGGCUCCCAGUUCGGGACUCUGACAGGUCGGCUCCUUGGACCUUAGGCUCCUUGUCGAACUGACCUCCCGACUGCCCUUUGAGGUAGUCCACGAUCGCUUCGAAGGUGGGCAGGUUUGCCGCCACCGUUUGCACCAGCUGUUCAGGCGGAAUCCGUGAAGGCCCCGCCCCUGCUCCUUCAGGUGUCGGAUCCCGAUGAGAAUUUAGGGGGGCGCUUCGCUCCUUCCCCUUAGAUGCACCAGCGUUCCUCUGAGACCUUGUUUUCGGCAUGAUUCGCGAAGAAAAGUAACGUGUUCCCACAGACGGCGCCAAUUGAUGCGACUGCCGAAGUGAAGGUCCGACCUGACCGGGUGCCUAGGGAGCGAGCGGAGUCGUCCGACCUGCGCGCGGGCGAGCUGCGGGGCUGGGUCCCCUGUAGCAACUCCGACGAUCAAGUCAGAGGAAGAUUUGUAAGUGAAAGAGUAGAGAUUGUGCUAUGAAUAGCGUACCUUGUGUUUUCCCCACGCAUGGUAUUUAUAGAGUCACAGGUAGUAGUCUCCUAGUAGAACAGGGAGUCCUUAUGGGAGCAUAACUCUCCCUAGGGCUCCAUAGCUUAGUUAGGGCGUGCUUGGGCUCUGCAGCCCGCGCGGCCCAUCCAAGCCGACCUGCUGGGCCGGGAACCUCCUACCAGCCGAGCUUAUGGGCCAGGCCGACGUGUUCGUGGGCCCCACUACAACUAUUAACCAAAUCUCUUCUGAUCGGAGUAGGUGGGAUAAGAAAAUGGAAUAGAGACUAAAGAGUUUCUAGAUGGAAUAAAACACUUUAAUAAAAGAAGAUAAAUGUUUUCACAAUUCACAAUAAUCAAAAGGAAUAAGUGGGGUAGGAUAGCAUCUACCUGAUAUCGCGAGAGGACAAGACAUUGGUCCCUUUUUUCUUUCCUACCGGCUGGUCAAAUCUAGAAGGUAAUGUGUGGUUGAAGGGAAAUGUGGUGAUGAGGUAAAUUUGUUAGGGUUUUGGACCUCGGACCUCGGCAUGGUGGCACGCCUAGGCGCUGACUAGCUAUGCUUCAGUCUUUGAAUUCUCAAUGACCGAUGUUGAUGGAGUUGUUUCAUCGGAAUAGCUUCUUUAUUGAUCACACCUACGGUCCCACCAAGCAUGCCACUAUAUUUGUGCCGAUUUUUACCGAUCUAGAAACUGUUGCUCAUUAAGUGAUGGUUGCUAGCAUGUCACUUAAUUUGUGCAAGGAAAACCUUAUGAGUAAAUCAAUUUGGUGGAAAUAACAUUGCAUCGAUUAUGCUAACUUCUAGGACAAUUGCUAUUUGUCCCACCUUGAGCAACCUCAAGGACUUAAAAAUUCGUGCUAAGAGUAACCAACUAAGAAGGAAAGAAUACGUUGACAAUGACCGAUGGCUAAAGCUGAUGAAUUAUAAAACACAAAAUGUGCUAGAAAACUCAUGAAGAAUGCUUGGAAAUGGAAAGAACUUUCAAACUGGUCUUGCUGAUUUGUACAAAGACAAACAUGAAACUGUUGGAAAUAUGAACUAAGAACAAAAUGAUUAGAUGAAAAUUCGGAAAUCCUAGAAAUUAGCCUAAUACUUCUAAGAAAGUUUUGGAAAUCCUAAUUCCAGCCUAUGAUUUCUAAGAAAGCUGUUUAAAAGUAGAUAAACAUCAUAUUUGUCAUGUCUUUGUGGAGUGAAAAGAUUGUUCCCAAUCUAAUAUAUAUGAGUAUUUAUGGUUGUAUAAUUUCCCUCCAAAAUCAGCAGUUUAACUCCCUUAAUGCCCAUGUUAUGCUCCAUGCUAGCCAUAUUGGUUUCCAAACGUGUGUAGUGGUAGCUUGUCCGCUCCUAUAUCUUGGAGAUCAUGCAACUACCUCAUGUCUAAUUUGUCGGGACAUAAGCUAAUGCACACAUCGUUUCCCUGACCAAUUGCCAUCGUUGCCUCUACCUUUAUCGAUACAUGAUCUACUGUAUCAGCUCCUUUUGCAUCGGCACUCACUCGCAUCAAUGAACAUGGGCCAAUAUGCCUUUGCACGCAUCGAUUAGUAUGUAAAUAUUGGUCUUCAUUAUCGAUCUCUCAUGGAACCUUUAAUACUCACACCGGCCAGCUUUAAAUUGGUGUCACUACCGAUGCAUUCCUAAUUGUCGAUUUUCAAAGAUCAAUUGCCAAUCAAACCACUAUGUGACCUUCAUUGGCCGCAGUGGAUUAACUCCUUGUGAUAUAGCAGAUUAUUUCCAUGUUAAUUAUUGAUGAAUUGUCAGCCUUGAAUAGAUUUGCUAGCAUAAUCGGCUUCGUUUCUUUCUUUUAUAUCUGAACAAAUCAGCAUAUCUUUGUACAAACUGAUAGGUGCAUGAAUAUCAGUCAUCAUGCCAAUUAUCCAUUGGCUCCAAAUAGGUGCCAUCGAUAAGUUCUUAGCAGCUGAUUACGAUUAAUCAAUAUCGGGUGAAUAUCAGUCAUCAUGCCAAUUAUUGAUCGGCUUCAAAUGAAUGCUGCCGAUAAGUUGUAAAUAUUGCACUAAUAAUUACGACUAAAACCAUAAAAUUACAUACCUUAUAAUAUAUAUAUAUAUAGUAACGCUAAGCUUAGAUGAUGAUCCAACCCAUUUCAGAAAUAAACCAAGAGAACAGCAAUUAAAUUAAAGAUUUUUUUAAAGAAAAGAAUACCACUGCAAUACUAUAUCAAAAAAGAGACCACCUAUAUAAAGCGAUUGAAAGUCACAACAUUUUUAAGCAAUAAAGACAAACAAAGGAAUCUCUAACAUUAGGGAGAUAGAUUAUCCUUUAGUUUUUGUCAUUUGGAGAAAAUGUAAUUUCAAAGGUACAAAAAUCUUGAUGUAUACAAGUGGUAGUAUACUUCAGUCGUGAAAUUGCUUGAUUUGUAAUGGGAUUAUUCUUGAGCAUGAACCGGAAUUUCAUACUUUGGUGUACACCAGUUCGUCUCACUCGAUUUUAUUAUAAAAUUUUAUUGUUGCUAACAGAAACCCAAAAAGAAAAAGGAAUCAAAAUUCAAAAUUUUCGAUAAAGUCAAGCAGACGUAUAAUUCCCGAAAAGACCCAGAUAAUGAUUUUAUAUUUUUUAGGCAAACUGUAUAUCUUUUUUGAUAAUGCAAGAGAAAAUACAAAAGCAGAAGGUUUGCAUAACAAGUGCAAUAUGCACAGUAGCACAAAAGUCGACAACCUAUUAUUUCGCAAUAAUAAAAUGAGUAAAACCCCAACUAAGAUUAUAUUAUUGCUUUAAAGCAUAGAUAUAAUCUUUGGAUGCCAAAAUUUGUUUUUCUCCAUCUCCUUCUGAAAGUUUUCCAUGGCUGCAACAGGCAAGCACACUGGAACGACCAAACUAUCAUCUCCUUGGGUAUUUCGAAGUCGCGAAUAAACUGCCAUAUUAAAAGUUGGUCCUCCAUCCAUAGUUCCGCCAUAAAUUGGCUUUCCCCAGCCAAAAUCUACCUCGUCAAUUCCAGUUCUUGAUGCAUCCGAAACAAUCCAAUCCUUUAACGACGUAGAAUACCCUGGUUUUCCAUGCAAGACACUAUAGUCAAUGGCUGACUUGAUGAAGUCCUCAGUUACUUGAUGUUUUGCUUUCUUCACUAGCUCUAAUGCAUAGACAAAUGAAUUGUUGCACAACUGGUUGACCUUUGAGACUGCAGUGGAAGAGACAAAUCCAUUGCCAUAAUAACCACUAGGCAACUUUGGUGUAUUUUUACCAUGAACAUUGACUGCAUAGGUAAGAGUAACAAUUUCUUCAGGAUCCAAUUGUAAGGCUAUUGUUCUUGAUCUCCAUACAAGCGCAGUUACGAGAUCAAAUCUUGAUGCCUGACGAAUGUUUGGUGGUAGGUAUUUCUUGAUGGCUUUUAUCUCUUGUGGUCCGAAAAAAAAGCCUUUACGUACAAGGUUAGGAGGGAAGUCCAAUAUUGUAGGCUCAGUGCUACUAUUACUGUUUUUCUCCACCUCGAACUCGUUAUGCACACAUGUGACGUAUGGUGGAUUUCUUGCACUUAAGAGCCAUCUUUGCCACACAGGUAAUGGAGAAGGUGCUGAUGAUGGAUCUUUGGAUAUUUGGCUUACUGCAUUCAGAAACUGGACUAAGCCAAUUGCACCACUAAUUGCAUGGUUUAUGCGAAUAGCAAGGACAAGUCCACCACAGAUCAAGCGAGUCACCUGAAUUUUGACCCCAAAAGAAAUGAAAAUGAUAAUAAGAAAGUUUUCAAGUAAAGUUUGUAAAUAAGUAGCAAUUUUAGAAAGUAUAAUUGGAUCUUUCAAGUAAAAAUUCUUGGAUAUUGUGAGAAACUUCAUUUUAAUGAUAACUUUAUCUACCUACCAUUUUGCAGCUAAUUCUAUUAGGAUUAACAGCAAACUACACAGAAUAACCACUAGUAUAGCGACUUUGUGCGUUCAGUGCCAUUUUGAAAUUAAAAAAUAGUUGAAUGACUAAUGUAUAAGAUUUCAAUAAUACAAUGGUCAGUGGAGUUUUUUGUCCUAAUAAGAAAAAAAAAUGCUAUAGCUCCACGUAUUUAGAUUGUUUCCUUAUAUUUACUCAAUUAAUCUUCCGACAGAUUCACAUAGUCCUCCAUAACUACUUAACUACCACUAUUUUAGAGUUUAAAUUACUAAUAACCCCAUAGUCUCUUAUGCUAUCAUGUAACUCCUUUAAAGUUUCAAAAUAUCUAUAAACUUCCUUGUGUUUUGAUAUAGAGUGAAAAUUUGGCAGCAAAAAAUCUUCUGUUAUUAAAAGAAAUAGUAGUAUUGUCGGUGUUUAAAUAUUAAAUGGAAAAAGAUCCAUCCAUCUAUACAGUCAUAGACGGAUUUUUUAAAUAGAUGCAAAAUUAUAAAGGGGCCAAGACUCAAGUGAACAUUUAUGUAAAAAUACUAGAAGACAUUAUGCUCACACCUUUUUAGAGUAUGUUUGGAAAUAUAUCUCCGCAAUUGGAAGUACUUUCAUCUAUUUUCUACUUUUCGUAGAACCACUUGUAAAGCGUAGAUGGUCAUAUAGCAAUUUGUAGAUAACCAAACAAAGGUAUACAGUUUGGCUGGAAGAUGAAGAGGCCAGAGUUAGCCUGAAUGUUUUGCUCACCUGAAUCAACAUCAAUGGACUGUCCAAGAUCUCUGUAGAGUCAGAAGCAUCCACUAAGAACUCCUUUGAGUAAGGAAAUGGUGGCUGCAUGAAGUUACGAAGUUGAUCGAGCCCAACCUCUGCAAUGGCUUCUCUAAACACCACCCCUUCAGCUGUGCAGUUGACAAGAAUCUUAUCUGAAGGCCCUUCAAUGAGCCUGCCGGCAUAGGGAUAGUAAUAAACAAGUGCUUUAGCUACUGCAUCCCUAAUCACCCCAACAGGGUUCUUUUCGUCCAAGAAUUGAUUAUAGCUAAAAAACAUAAUCAUGGGUACAUGAAAUCUGAGGCCCUUUUGAUCGUCUAUAUCAGAAAGUGGUCUUAUUUCAUGGGGAGUAGGUUUUGCAGGGACAAUCAACUCUGCUUCCUUAUGUCUCACUAAAAAUUGCAUGGCCAUUUCUUUUUCUUUCUUGUUUUUUUUGGGGGGGGGGGGAAGUGUAGGGGUGCUACUACAAAAUAAUUGAAACUUUUAAAAGUUUAGUACCGACUAAGUCUCGUUAUAUGUUCUCAUAUUUAUAGAAUUUUUGAGCGAGAGAAGGAAAAUGUGCUAUGAAUUCUCUAUCUCAUUUCUUGUUUCAAUGUCUAUCUCACUCUUGAUUUUGUUGGUAUGUGUGAGUGUUUUAUGUGAUAUACCCAAUAUACUAAAAUAGUGUUGCAAGGAAAAAAACAUGAUGAAAAAAAAUUAAAAAGAUGAUAAAGAUUGAAAAAAAAAAUCGAACGAUGAAAAAAAAAACCAUGAAAUUGGAACGGUUAUGUAUUUUGGGAACAAAAAGAAAGAAGAAAAAGUAUAAGGCAAACAAACAGUCUUUCUUUUUUAUGUGCCACAUCAACAAAUAUAAUAAGUGGAACUACGUAAUUUUGUAUUAGACAAGAAAGUAGACACAAAAUAUUGGACAGAGGAUGCCGUCUGAUUAGCCACAGACUUGGGAGAUGUAUAAUUGAGCAUGGAAAAUUAACUUCACAAGUACAUGCACCUGGCCGGUGUAACAUCUUUGUUUGGUAAAAAACAUAUUAAAAGAGAGUUCUAGGUUCUCAAAAAUACUAUUAACCAAAUCUCUUCUGAUCGGAGUAGGUGGGAUAAGAAAAUGGAAUAGAGACUAAAGAGUUUCUAGAUGGAAUAAAACACUUUAAUAAAAGAAGAUAAAUGUUUUCACAAUUCACAAUAAUCAAAAGGAAUAAGUGGGGUAGGAUAGCAUCUACCUGAUAUCGCGAGAGGACAAGACAUUGGUCCCUUUUUUCUUUCCUACCGGCUGGUCAAAUCUAGAAGGUAAUGUGUGGUUGAAGGGAAAUGUGGUGAUGAGGUAAAUUUGUUAGGGUUUUGGACCUCGGACCUCGGCAUGGUGGCACGCCUAGGCGCUGACUAGCUAUGCUUCAGUCUUUGAAUUCUCAAUGACCGAUGUUGAUGGAGUUGUUUCAUCGGAAUAGCUUCUUUAUUGAUCACACCUACGGUCCCACCAAGCAUGCCACUAUAUUUGUGCCGAUUUUUACCGAUCUAGAAACUGUUGCUCAUUAAGUGAUGGUUGCUAGCAUGUCACUUAAUUUGUGCAAGGAAAACCUUAUGAGUAAAUCAAUUUGGUGGAAAUAACAUUGCAUCGAUUAUGCUAACUUCUAGGACAAUUGCUAUUUGUCCCACCUUGAGCAACCUCAAGGACUUAAAAAUUCGUGCUAAGAGUAACCAACUAAGAAGGAAAGAAUACGUUGACAAUGACCGAUGGCUAAAGCUGAUGAAUUAUAAAACACAAAAUGUGCUAGAAAACUCAUGAAGAAUGCUUGGAAAUGGAAAGAACUUUCAAACUGGUCUUGCUGAUUUGUACAAAGACAAACAUGAAACUGUUGGAAAUAUGAACUAAGAACAAAAUGAUUAGAUGAAAAUUCGGAAAUCCUAGAAAUUAGCCUAAUACUUCUAAGAAAGUUUUGGAAAUCCUAAUUCCAGCCUAUGAUUUCUAAGAAAGCUGUUUAAAAGUAGAUAAACAUCAUAUUUGUCAUGUCUUUGUGGAGUGAAAAGAUUGUUCCCAAUCUAAUAUAUAUGAGUAUUUAUGGUUGUAUAAUUUCCCUCCAAAAUCAGCAGUUUAACUCCCUUAAUGCCCAUGUUAUGCUCCAUGCUAGCCAUAUUGGUUUCCAAACGUGUGUAGUGGUAGCUUGUCCGCUCCUAUAUCUUGGAGAUCAUGCAACUACCUCAUGUCUAAUUUGUCGGGACAUAAGCUAAUGCACACAUCGUUUCCCUGACCAAUUGCCAUCGUUGCCUCUACCUUUAUCGAUACAUGAUCUACUGUAUCAGCUCCUUUUGCAUCGGCACUCACUCGCAUCAAUGAACAUGGGCCAAUAUGCCUUUGCACGCAUCGAUUAGUAUGUAAAUAUUGGUCUUCAUUAUCGAUCUCUCAUGGAACCUUUAAUACUCACACCGGCCAGCUUUAAAUUGGUGUCACUACCGAUGCAUUCCUAAUUGUCGAUUUUCAAAGAUCAAUUGCCAAUCAAACCACUAUGUGACCUUCAUUGGCCGCAGUGGAUUAACUCCUUGUGAUAUAGCAGAUUAUUUCCAUGUUAAUUAUUGAUGAAUUGUCAGCCUUGAAUAGAUUUGCUAGCAUAAUCGGCUUCGUUUCUUUCUUUUAUAUCUGAACAAAUCAGCAUAUCUUUGUACAAACUGAUAGGUGCAUGAAUAUCAGUCAUCAUGCCAAUUAUCCAUUGGCUCCAAAUAGGUGCCAUCGAUAAGUUCUUAGCAGCUGAUUACGAUUAAUCAAUAUCGGGUGAAUAUCAGUCAUCAUGCCAAUUAUUGAUCGGCUUCAAAUGAAUGCUGCCGAUAAGUUGUAAAUAUUGCACUAAUAAUUACGACUAAAACCAUAAAAUUACAUACCUUAUAAUAUAUAUAUAUAUAGUAACGCUAAGCUUAGAUGAUGAUCCAACCCAUUUCAGAAAUAAACCAAGAGAACAGCAAUUAAAUUAAAGAUUUUUUUAAAGAAAAGAAUACCACUGCAAUACUAUAUCAAAAAAGAGACCACCUAUAUAAAGCGAUUGAAAGUCACAACAUUUUUAAGCAAUAAAGACAAACAAAGGAAUCUCUAACAUUAGGGAGAUAGAUUAUCCUUUAGUUUUUGUCAUUUGGAGAAAAUGUAAUUUCAAAGGUACAAAAAUCUUGAUGUAUACAAGUGGUAGUAUACUUCAGUCGUGAAAUUGCUUGAUUUGUAAUGGGAUUAUUCUUGAGCAUGAACCGGAAUUUCAUACUUUGGUGUACACCAGUUCGUCUCACUCGAUUUUAUUAUAAAAUUUUAUUGUUGCUAACAGAAACCCAAAAAGAAAAAGGAAUCAAAAUUCAAAAUUUUCGAUAAAGUCAAGCAGACGUAUAAUUCCCGAAAAGACCCAGAUAAUGAUUUUAUAUUUUUUAGGCAAACUGUAUAUCUUUUUUGAUAAUGCAAGAGAAAAUACAAAAGCAGAAGGUUUGCAUAACAAGUGCAAUAUGCACAGUAGCACAAAAGUCGACAACCUAUUAUUUCGCAAUAAUAAAAUGAGUAAAACCCCAACUAAGAUUAUAUUAUUGCUUUAAAGCAUAGAUAUAAUCUUUGGAUGCCAAAAUUUGUUUUUCUCCAUCUCCUUCUGAAAGUUUUCCAUGGCUGCAACAGGCAAGCACACUGGAACGACCAAACUAUCAUCUCCUUGGGUAUUUCGAAGUCGCGAAUAAACUGCCAUAUUAAAAGUUGGUCCUCCAUCCAUAGUUCCGCCAUAAAUUGGCUUUCCCCAGCCAAAAUCUACCUCGUCAAUUCCAGUUCUUGAUGCAUCCGAAACAAUCCAAUCCUUUAACGACGUAGAAUACCCUGGUUUUCCAUGCAAGACACUAUAGUCAAUGGCUGACUUGAUGAAGUCCUCAGUUACUUGAUGUUUUGCUUUCUUCACUAGCUCUAAUGCAUAGACAAAUGAAUUGUUGCACAACUGGUUGACCUUUGAGACUGCAGUGGAAGAGACAAAUCCAUUGCCAUAAUAACCACUAGGCAACUUUGGUGUAUUUUUACCAUGAACAUUGACUGCAUAGGUAAGAGUAACAAUUUCUUCAGGAUCCAAUUGUAAGGCUAUUGUUCUUGAUCUCCAUACAAGCGCAGUUACGAGAUCAAAUCUUGAUGCCUGACGAAUGUUUGGUGGUAGGUAUUUCUUGAUGGCUUUUAUCUCUUGUGGUCCGAAAAAAAAGCCUUUACGUACAAGGUUAGGAGGGAAGUCCAAUAUUGUAGGCUCAGUGCUACUAUUACUGUUUUUCUCCACCUCGAACUCGUUAUGCACACAUGUGACGUAUGGUGGAUUUCUUGCACUUAAGAGCCAUCUUUGCCACACAGGUAAUGGAGAAGGUGCUGAUGAUGGAUCUUUGGAUAUUUGGCUUACUGCAUUCAGAAACUGGACUAAGCCAAUUGCACCACUAAUUGCAUGGUUUAUGCGAAUAGCAAGGACAAGUCCACCACAGAUCAAGCGAGUCACCUGAAUUUUGACCCCAAAAGAAAUGAAAAUGAUAAUAAGAAAGUUUUCAAGUAAAGUUUGUAAAUAAGUAGCAAUUUUAGAAAGUAUAAUUGGAUCUUUCAAGUAAAAAUUCUUGGAUAUUGUGAGAAACUUCAUUUUAAUGAUAACUUUAUCUACCUACCAUUUUGCAGCUAAUUCUAUUAGGAUUAACAGCAAACUACACAGAAUAACCACUAGUAUAGCGACUUUGUGCGUUCAGUGCCAUUUUGAAAUUAAAAAAUAGUUGAAUGACUAAUGUAUAAGAUUUCAAUAAUACAAUGGUCAGUGGAGUUUUUUGUCCUAAUAAGAAAAAAAAAUGCUAUAGCUCCACGUAUUUAGAUUGUUUCCUUAUAUUUACUCAAUUAAUCUUCCGACAGAUUCACAUAGUCCUCCAUAACUACUUAACUACCACUAUUUUAGAGUUUAAAUUACUAAUAACCCCAUAGUCUCUUAUGCUAUCAUGUAACUCCUUUAAAGUUUCAAAAUAUCUAUAAACUUCCUUGUGUUUUGAUAUAGAGUGAAAAUUUGGCAGCAAAAAAUCUUCUGUUAUUAAAAGAAAUAGUAGUAUUGUCGGUGUUUAAAUAUUAAAUGGAAAAAGAUCCAUCCAUCUAUACAGUCAUAGACGGAUUUUUUAAAUAGAUGCAAAAUUAUAAAGGGGCCAAGACUCAAGUGAACAUUUAUGUAAAAAUACUAGAAGACAUUAUGCUCACACCUUUUUAGAGUAUGUUUGGAAAUAUAUCUCCGCAAUUGGAAGUACUUUCAUCUAUUUUCUACUUUUCGUAGAACCACUUGUAAAGCGUAGAUGGUCAUAUAGCAAUUUGUAGAUAACCAAACAAAGGUAUACAGUUUGGCUGGAAGAUGAAGAGGCCAGAGUUAGCCUGAAUGUUUUGCUCACCUGAAUCAACAUCAAUGGACUGUCCAAGAUCUCUGUAGAGUCAGAAGCAUCCACUAAGAACUCCUUUGAGUAAGGAAAUGGUGGCUGCAUGAAGUUACGAAGUUGAUCGAGCCCAACCUCUGCAAUGGCUUCUCUAAACACCACCCCUUCAGCUGUGCAGUUGACAAGAAUCUUAUCUGAAGGCCCUUCAAUGAGCCUGCCGGCAUAGGGAUAGUAAUAAACAAGUGCUUUAGCUACUGCAUCCCUAAUCACCCCAACAGGGUUCUUUUCGUCCAAGAAUUGAUUAUAGCUAAAAAACAUAAUCAUGGGUACAUGAAAUCUGAGGCCCUUUUGAUCGUCUAUAUCAGAAAGUGGUCUUAUUUCAUGGGGAGUAGGUUUUGCAGGGACAAUCAACUCUGCUUCCUUAUGUCUCACUAAAAAUUGCAUGGCCAUUUCUUUUUCUUUCUUGUUUUUUUUGGGGGGGGGGGGAAGUGUAGGGGUGCUACUACAAAAUAAUUGAAACUUUUAAAAGUUUAGUACCGACUAAGUCUCGUUAUAUGUUCUCAUAUUUAUAGAAUUUUUGAGCGAGAGAAGGAAAAUGUGCUAUGAAUUCUCUAUCUCAUUUCUUGUUUCAAUGUCUAUCUCACUCUUGAUUUUGUUGGUAUGUGUGAGUGUUUUAUGUGAUAUACCCAAUAUACUAAAAUAGUGUUGCAAGGAAAAAAACAUGAUGAAAAAAAAUUAAAAAGAUGAUAAAGAUUGAAAAAAAAAAUCGAACGAUGAAAAAAAAAACCAUGAAAUUGGAACGGUUAUGUAUUUUGGGAACAAAAAGAAAGAAGAAAAAGUAUAAGGCAAACAAACAGUCUUUCUUUUUUAUGUGCCACAUCAACAAAUAUAAUAAGUGGAACUACGUAAUUUUGUAUUAGACAAGAAAGUAGACACAAAAUAUUGGACAGAGGAUGCCGUCUGAUUAGCCACAGACUUGGGAGAUGUAUAAUUGAGCAUGGAAAAUUAACUUCACAAGUACAUGCACCUGGCCGGUGUAACAUCUUUGUUUGGUAAAAAACAUAUUAAAAGAGAGUUCUAGGUUCUCAAAAAUACUAUUAACCAAAUCUCUUCUGAUCGGAGUAGGUGGGAUAAGAAAAUGGAAUAGAGACUAAAGAGUUUCUAGAUGGAAUAAAACACUUUAAUAAAAGAAGAUAAAUGUUUUCACAAUUCACAAUAAUCAAAAGGAAUAAGUGGGGUAGGAUAGCAUCUACCUGAUAUCGCGAGAGGACAAGACAUUGGUCCCUUUUUUCUUUCCUACCGGCUGGUCAAAUCUAGAAGGUAAUGUGUGGUUGAAGGGAAAUGUGGUGAUGAGGUAAAUUUGUUAGGGUUUUGGACCUCGGACCUCGGCAUGGUGGCACGCCUAGGCGCUGACUAGCUAUGCUUCAGUCUUUGAAUUCUCAAUGACCGAUGUUGAUGGAGUUGUUUCAUCGGAAUAGCUUCUUUAUUGAUCACACCUACGGUCCCACCAAGCAUGCCACUAUAUUUGUGCCGAUUUUUACCGAUCUAGAAACUGUUGCUCAUUAAGUGAUGGUUGCUAGCAUGUCACUUAAUUUGUGCAAGGAAAACCUUAUGAGUAAAUCAAUUUGGUGGAAAUAACAUUGCAUCGAUUAUGCUAACUUCUAGGACAAUUGCUAUUUGUCCCACCUUGAGCAACCUCAAGGACUUAAAAAUUCGUGCUAAGAGUAACCAACUAAGAAGGAAAGAAUACGUUGACAAUGACCGAUGGCUAAAGCUGAUGAAUUAUAAAACACAAAAUGUGCUAGAAAACUCAUGAAGAAUGCUUGGAAAUGGAAAGAACUUUCAAACUGGUCUUGCUGAUUUGUACAAAGACAAACAUGAAACUGUUGGAAAUAUGAACUAAGAACAAAAUGAUUAGAUGAAAAUUCGGAAAUCCUAGAAAUUAGCCUAAUACUUCUAAGAAAGUUUUGGAAAUCCUAAUUCUAGCAUAUGAUUUCUAAGAAAGCUGUUUAAAAGUAGAUAAACAUCAUAUUUGUCAUGUCUUUGUGGAGUGAAAAGAUUGUUCCCAAUGUAAUAUGACGUGCGCGGAGUAUACAUAUACAAUUAAGCUCAUCCUAAUCAAGUUUUACAUUUAUAAACUCCUAAAUACCCCACACGCGAUUUAUCGCAAGUAUACGAAUCGUGAGCGAGUAUAGGGUAUUAAGGGUCGAUCCCACAAGGAAGAUUGCAAUUACCGGUACUACUAAAGCUUCUCUAUUAUUUAGACUAUCAAUGAAUUAUAACAAAUUAAAACCUACUGAAAUUAUACAAGAAAAUAACAAAUGAAAGCUCCUUAGGUUGUGGUAUCCCUAACUACUCAUGCAAGUGCUAUAUUUGGAUCAUUAAAUACUACAUCUAGGCUAGUUAUAGUGUAAUUUCCUUAAACAUGUGAAACCUACUUUCGUAGUGAAUCAACUAUACUCAUAACUAAUCCAUACCUAUUUUCAUGGUUAUGAAAUUAGCUACAAGUUCAUUUCUUCAAUGAAAUUACAUGAAAUGAAUCACUAAAAACCACAUAAGUGCACCUCUACUUUCGUGAGUGUACUCCCUAUGUUUAGCACUUCUUGAACUAGUGUUAAAUCUCAAUUUUCAUUGCAGAAACAACACCUUAGAUAAUCACAAUUAAUGGUACCAGAUUAAUCAUGAUUUCAAGAGCUAAAGUGCUAAAUAACUUGCUCAAAUCAUAGCAGUCAAAUAACCAAAUAAUAAACACUAACAAUUAUAGAAAGUUCAACCAAACCCAAGGUAUAAACUUUAGAAACACAUAAUGAACACAAAAUCCAGAACUUGUAUAUUAACUAAACUUGGAAUCAAAUACAAAAGAUAAAGAGUUUGGAAGGAAUACAACCCUUGUCACAUGAGCUUUCUUCCUUGCCUUCUUCAUCCUCCAUCUUCAUCCUAAUCUAGAUAAUAAACAAGAAUGGAAAAGCUACACUACUCUAUACUAAGCUAAACUAACACUAGGGAGAUGAAAGAGCUACAUUUCUGCAGCUUCAAGCUUUCUCCCGUAGCUCUCUCUAUUUUUCUGCUAUGAACUCCCCCCUCUAUUUUUGCAAUGCAUUUUGGCUCUUUUAUGAUGAAAGGUGGUCAAGAAAUGAGGAUUACAUCUCCCUUUUACAGCUGGGAAUGUUUCUCACAUGUCUAGCAUCCAAUGUGAGUUGGUGGAGGUGAAAUUGAUUUUUUACGCGUACAGAGCAGCCUUUUCUGACCAGUGAUCCGAGCUGCUACAGUACCUCGGAUCCGUAUGGAUCCGAGUGUGGAUCACUUGCUCUGUUUUUGGCCCAACUUCAACCAAUCUUUUCUUGAUGUUAGAGGCUGAACCAGCUCUUGACCAAAACAUAAAACUUGUAGCCCUUUGAGUUAGCUUUCCAAUGCAUCAAGAAUCACCUCAUUUGGAUCUGUGUAGGCUGAGAAAUGACCGAAAUACCCUUGCCUGCUCAUUGCCCUGUUCCAGUUUCGACCAGUAGAAAUUUGCUAUUGUAAUUCGGCAUUUUGACCUGGAAAACCUUCAAACUGGAUUUAGAUGUCUUCACCAAAGUUGUAGAUCUAUCUCUUAUCUUCAAAUGGGUUCAAGAAUCAUCCCAAUCCGAUCAUUGUAACUCAAGUUAUAGCCGAAAUACGAAAAUAUGUCAAAACUGUCAAAAUACACAAAAUCCAAGUAAAAAGUGAUAAAAACCUCAUUUAAUCACUUAAAAGCAUUUUUCACCAAUUAUAGCCAAAAUGAUUCAUAUUCUUCCAAUAAUAUAACCAAAGUGACUAAAAAUAAUAUAAAAUGUCAUACAAUUAUUACGUAAAUUAGUCACUUAUCAUAAUAUAUAUAUGAGUAUUUAUGGUUGUGUAAUUUCCCUCCAAAAUCAGCAGUUUAACUCCCUUAAUGCCCAUGUUAUGCUCCAUGCUAGCCAUAUUGGUUUCCAAACGUGUGUAGUGGCUGUCCGCUCCUAUAUCUUGGAGAUCAUGCAACUACCUCAUGUCUAAUUUGUAGGGACAUAAGCUAAUGCACACAUCGUUUCCCUGACCAAUUGCCAUCGUUGCCUCUACCUUUAUCGAUACAUGAUCUACUGUAUCAGCUCCUUUUGUAUCGACACUCGCACCAAUGAACAUGUGCCAAUAUGCCUUUGCAUGCAUCGAUUAGUAUGUAAAUAUUGGUCUUCAUUACCAAUCUCUCAUGGAACCUUUACUACUCAUACCUAUCAGUUUUAAAUCGGUGUCGCUCAGUGGCGGAGCCAGAAAAAAAAAUUUUAGUGGGGGCAAAAGUAACACUAAAAUUUUUUACCUGCUCUUUUUCUAGUUUUUUAAGCAAAAAAAAAAAAAAAUCACCAACAAGCACAGAUGAUGCAUAUAUUCCAUGAAAAACAUAAAAAAAUAAAUUCAAAAUUAUUAAUGUAAUAAUAAUUUUAUUUCAAAAAUAAACUAAACUAUUUACAAUUGCUCACGCGAAUUUUUAUAUUUUGAUAACUAACUUGGUUGUGGAAAUAAGAAUGGCUCUUAGUUGUGGAGGGAAAAUGGGGGGACCAGUGGAGGGAAGGGAAAUUGGGAAGUGGAGACAAAGGAAGUGAAUGAUAUGAUUGGAUGAAUUGAUCAAGAGAAAGAGUAGUUAGCGGCUUGGUUUGUGGAAGGUAGUGGCUCUCGGUUGUGGGGUGAAUUCUUAGUUUAUGAUGAAAAAAAAAAAGAAUUCUACAACGAGGGCGUUUCCUGGAGGGGUUUCUCUAAAUGGGGGUCUUCGCAUUUUGAGAAUGCGAGCUCAGUGAUUUGUGUCUGCUUUAUUCAGUAUGCUGAGUUUCAAAUGAUUAAGAAUGAUCCAGGAUGGGAGGAGGAUUUUGGAGGAGAGGAGGCGAAACACCUUCAGCUGUUAAAUGGGAGGACAGGAUCAUAGAGAUUCGUGAAGGUUCUUGGUCCUACGUUUCUAGUUCGAUCGGCAAAGCCCCUGGUAUGUGCUUUAAUGUAGCUCUUUUUCACUGCUUCCACCUGUUUUGAUUCUUCAGUUAUGCUGUUUCCUUCUCAACCUCCGUGCUUAUUUUACAUGCAAUUGUCAUCUAGUGCAGAGAAAGUUGUAGGCACUGCAACACCUCAAGAACCACCUGAGGAGUGGCAAGCUUCAUGGAACAUCUCAACAGGAAAUGAACUAUUAAUACGUUGGGCGUCUCCGACAUCCAGUUCAGGCUUGAAUUUUGUCAUAAGAAACAAGGAACCUACUGACAGGAUGGUACAGCCCAUUUCCGGAAUCACUGAUUGUCAAAAUCACUGAUUGUCAAAAUCCUUUUUUGUUUUAAUACAAAAAUAUAAAUCUCUGCCUCCAAAAAAAAAAAAAAGCAAAAAAAUUUGCAUCUCUGUAAUGCGAGCUCUGUUGAGCUCGCAUUUGAGGAGAGCUCGCAUUCCAACAGAGCUCGCAUUUGAGGAGAGCUCGCAUUCCAGGAAUGCGAGCUCUCAACAGAGCUCGCAUUCGUGAAAUGCGAGCUCUCCUGAGCUCGCAUUUCACGAAUGCGAAGACCCCCGCGACAGAAUUCCUCGCCACAAUCACCCCUUUUGUAGAAUUUUUUUAAAAUUCAUCACAAACUUAGAAAUUUCUCCUCGGUUGUGGGGGAAAAAUGGGGGACCAGAGGAGGGAAGGGAAAUUGGAGAGUGGGGUCCAAAGAAAGUGAAUGAUAUGAUUGGUACUUGCUAAUUGAAAUGAAAAGACUUUUUUUAACUUAUUUUAAAUGGAAUUUGUGCCCCACGUAUCUUUUUAGAAUUUUAGUUUAUGAACUAAUUUAAAAAAUCACGUAAUUCUUUCGCAUCCUUUCUAAGAAAACUCUGGGGGUACACUUAAAAUUAUAUCAAAAUUGUAUAAGUAUUAUAGGAAUUUAAGGGCCUCCAGUGCCCCACCUUAAAUCCGCCCCUGGUGUCGCUACCGAUACAUUCCUAACUAUCAAUUUUCAAAGAUCAAUUACCAAUCAAAUCCCCAUGUGACCUUCAUUUGCCGCAAUUGAUGAACUCCUUGUGAUAUGGCAGAUUAUUUCCAUGGUGAUUAUUGAUGAACUGUCAGCCUUGAAUAGAUUUGCUAGCAUAAUCGGGUUCUUUUCUUUCUUUUAUACCUGAACACAUCAGCAUAUCUUUGUACAUAUUGAUAUGUGCAUGAAUAUCAGUCAUCAUGCCAAUUAUUAAUUGGCUCCAAAUAGGUGCUACCGAAAAGUUCUUAGCAGCUGAUUAUGAUUAAUCAAUAUCGGGUGAAUAUCAACCAUCAUGCCAAUUAUUGAUCGGUUUCAAAUGAACGCUGCUGAUAAGUUGUAAAUAUUGCACCAAUAAUUACGAAUAAAACCAUAAAAUUACAUACCUUAUCUAAGAUAUAUAUAGUACCGCUGAGCUUAGAUGAUGAUCCAACCUAUUUCAGAAAUAAACCAAGGGAACAACAAUUAAAUUAAAGAUUUUUCCAAAGAAAAGAAUACCACUGCAAUACUACAUCAAAAAAGAGUCCAACUAUAUAGAGCGACUGAAAAUCACAACAUUUUUAAACAAUAAAGACAAACAAAGGAAUCUCUAAAAUUAAGGAGAUGGAUUAUCUUUUAGUUUGUGUCAUUUGGAGAAAAUGUAAUUUCAAAUGUACAAAAAUCUUGAUGUAUACAAGUGGUAGUAUACUUCAAUCAUGAAAUUGCUUGAUUUGUACUCUGAUUAUUCUUGAGCACGAACUCGAAUUUCCCACUUUGGUGUACACCAGUUCGUCUCACUGGAUUUUAUUAUAACAAUUUUAUUGUUGCUAACAGAAACCCACAAAAGAAAAAGGAAUCACAAUUCAAAAUUUCAAUAAAGUCAAGUAGACAUAUAAUUCCCGAAAAGACCCAGAUAAUGAUUUUCUUUUUUUUAGGCAAACUAUAUAUCUUUUCGAUAAACCAAGAGAAAAUACAAAAAGCAGAAGGUUUGCAUUGCAAGUGCAAUAUGCACUGUAGCACAAAAGUCGACAACCUAUUAUUUAGCAAUAAUAAAAUGAGUAAAACGCAAACAAGAUUUUAUUAUUGCUUUAAAGCAUAGAUAUAAUCUUUGGAUGCCAAAAUUUGUUGCAUUCGUCCAUUGGCCCCUUGAUCAUUUUCUCCAUCUCCUUCUGAAAAUUUUCCAUGGCUGCAACUGGCAAGCAAACUGCCACCACCAACCCAUCAUUUCCUUGGGUAUUUCGAAGUCGCGAAUAAACUGUCAUAUUAAAAGUUGGUCCUCCAUCCAUAGUUCCACCAUAAAUUGGCUUUCCCCAGCCAAAAUCUACCUCGUCAAUUCCAGUUCUUGAUGCAUCCGAAACAAUCCAAUCCUUUAACGACGUAGAAUACCCUGGUUUCCCAUGCAAGACACUAUAGUCAAUGGCUGACUUGAUGAAGUCCUCAGUUACUUGAUGUUUUGCUUUCUUCACUAGCUGUAAUGCAUAGACAAAUGAAUUGUUGCACAGCUGGUUGACCUUUGAGACUGCAGCGGAAGAGACAAAUCCAUUGCCAUAAUAACCACUAGGCAACUUUGGUUUAUUUUUACCACGAACAUUGACUGCAUAGGUAAGAGUAACGAUUUCUUCAGGAUCCAAUUGUAACGCUAUUGUUCUUGAUCUCCAUACCAGUGCAGUUACCAGAUCAAAUCUUGAUGCCUGACGAAUGUUUGGUGGUAGGUAUUUCUUGAUGGCUUUUAUCUCUUGUGGUCCGAAAAAAAAGCCUUUACGUACAAGGUUAGGAGGGGAGUCCAAUAUUGUAGGCUCAGUGCUACUAUUACUGUUUUUCUCCACCUCGAACUCGUUAUGCACACAUGUGACGUAUGGUGGAUUUCUUGCACUUAAGAGCCAUCUUUGCCACACAGGUAAUGGAGAAGGUGCUGAUGAUGGGUCUUUGGAUAUUUGGCUUACUGCAUUCAGAAACUGGACUAAGCCAACUGCAUCACUAAUUGCAUGGUUUAUGCGAAUUCCAAGGACAAGUCCACCACAGAUCAAGCGAGUCACCUGAAUUUUGGCCCCAAAAGAAAUGAAAAUGAUAAUAAGAAAGUUUUCAAGCAAAGUUUGUAAAUAAGUAGGGAUUUUGGAAAGUAUAAUUGGAGCUUUCUAGUAAAAAUUCUUCAAUACAGUGAGAAACUUCAUUUUAAUGAUAACUUUAUCUACUUAAUAUUGUGCAGCUAAUUCUAUUAUUAUUAGCAGCAAACUACACAGAAUAGCCACUAAUAUAGCGACUUUGUGCGUUCAGUGCCAUUUUGAAAUAAAAAAAAAAAUAGUUGAAUGACUAAUGUAUAAGAUUUCAAUAAUACAAUGGUCAGUGGAGUUUUUUGUCCUAAUAAGAAAAAAAUGUUAUAGAUCCACUAGUAUUUAGAUUGUUUCCUUAUAUUUACUCAGUUAAUCUUCCGACAGAUUCACAUAGUCCUACUCCUCCAUAACUACUUAACUACCACUAUUUUAGAGUAUAAAUUACUAAUAACCCCGUAGUCUCUUAUGCUAUCAUGUAACUCCUUUAGAGUUUCAAAAUAUCUAUAAACUUCCUUGUGUUUUGAUAUAGAGUGAAAAUUUGACGGAAAACAGUCUCUGAUGUUAUUAGAAGAAAUGGUAGUAUUGUCCGUGUUUAAAUAUUAAAUGAAACAAAGAUCUAUCCGUCUAUACAAUCAUAGACGGAUUAUGUAAAUAGAUGCAAAAUCAUAAAGGGUUCAAGACUCAAGUGAAUAUUUAUGUAAAUAUACAAGAGGGUUAAGUGGACAUUAUAAUAUCCUCACACAGGCUUUUAGAGUAUGUUUGGAUAUAUAUCACUGCAAUUGGAAGUACUUUCCAUCUAUUUUCUACUUUACGUAGAACCACUUGUAAAGGGUAGAUGGUCAUAUAGCAAUUUGUAGAUAACCAAACAAAGGUAUACAGUUUGGCUGGAAGAUGAAGAGGCCAGAGUUAGCCUGAAUGUUUUGCCCACCUGAAUCAACAUCAAUGGACUGUCCAAGAUCUCUGUAGAGUCAGAAGCAUCCACUAAGAACUCCUUUGAGUAAGGAAAUGGUGGCUGCAUGAAGUCACGAAGUUGAUCGAGCCUAACCUCUGCAAUGGCUUCUCUAAACAUCACCCCUUCAGCUGUGCAGUUGACAAGAAUCUUAUCUGAAGGCCCUUCAAUGAGCCUGCCUGCAUAGGGAUAGUAAUAAACAAGUGCUUUAGCUACUGCAUCCCUAAUCACCCCAACAGGGUUCUUUUCGUCCAAGAAUUGAUUAUAGCUAAAAAACAUAAUCAUGGGUAAAUGAAAUCUGUGGCCCUUUUGAUCGUCUAUAUCAGAAAGUGGUCUUAUUUCAUGGGGAGUAGGUUUUGCAGGGACAAUCGACUCUGCUUCCUUAUGUCUCACUAAAAAUUGCCUUGCCAUUUUUUUUCCUUUCUUGUUUGGGGGGGUGGCGGAGGGGGAAGUGUAGGGGUGCUAAUUGAAACUUUUAAAAGUUUGGUACCUACUAAGUCUCGUUAUGUGUUCUCAUAUUUAUAGAACUUUUGAGCGAGAGAAUUAAAAUGUGCUAUGAAUUCUCUCUCUCAUUUCUUGUUUCAAUCUCUAUCUCACUCUUGAUUUUGUUGGUAUGUGUGAGUGUUUUAUGUGAUAUAUCCAAUAUACUAAAAUAGUGUUGCAAGGAAAAAAACAUGACGAAAAAAAUAAUAAAAAAUGAUAAAGAUCGAAACAAAAAAUCGAACGAUGAAAAAAAAAACCAUGAAAUUGGAACGGUUAUAUAUUUGAGCACGGAACUAACUUCACAAGUACAUGCACCAGGCUAGGAUGACAACAUUUGGUGUUUUAAGCCUGGAAACUUAACUUGACAAAAACACUUUGGGCCCUGGCCAGUAUAACAACUUCAUAAUGGGGUUUUAUUUCACUAUCAAGACAGGAAAGGGUGAGAAUUGAAGCAAAGAUAGAACAUAUUGCAAUGUGCGUUUGAUCAAAUUGAAGUGUAAAAUAUGAAAUAUGAAAUCUAAAUUUAUUAAAUUAUUAAAUUAUUAAAUAUUAAAUCUAAUUUAUUUGAGUGCAUAUUACAUUCAAUGAUAAGUGGAUAGUUUAUCACUUAAUUUUGGGAGCAAGUUUUGCCUAGAAAAUUCAACGUCAUUUAAUUAAUUCAUAUGUUUAAUUUUUGGUUAUCAAACGAUCUGGAUAUAUUAAAACCUGAUUCAAUUAAAUUUAAAUACUGAAUUAGAUUAUUAAACAGGACCUAACUCAUCAAUAUCCUACAAAGGAAGAACAUAUUACAAUGUGUGCAGAUACACUAUUACAAUUUGCCAUGAAAAUCUGAAAAGUCUGGUAGCGUGCGUCAUUCCCUAAUCCAAUGAAAAUGCCAGAUGAUACACUAUUUCAACAGGUAAGGGAACCAUUCUGAUUCUGAAAGGAGAAUCACAUUAUACUUUCCAACUCUCGUUGCUACUCCCUAUGUCCCAGAAUAAGGGACAUUUUUGGGGAUUCUAAUUUAUUAUGCAUAGUUCAAUCAAUUUGAACGUGAGACAUCUUUUUUCAAUUAUGCUCCUUUGACCGAUAUCAAAGCUAAUUGUUAUCUAUAUUGAUAUGAAAAGAAUCUGUGGGUCCAUAUAAAAUGAAAGCUCUUUUUCAUGCUGUUACCAAGCACGCGCUUAUUUCUGGCCAUCAAAAUUUUUGGUGCUUUCCUUUCUUUUGGAUGCCUAUUUAUUGCUUUUGUGGGCUCCAUCAUACUUAUUUUUUAUUUUAUUAAUGUCUCUUCUGAAGGUACAAAUGGAAUGUUAGAGAAAAAAAUUGUAGUGUGACUCAAAUUUUGAGACAUGAAAAAAGGUGAACUAUGACAAUAAUAAUGGGACGGAGAGUAUUUUUUUCUAGAUUUCUUUUGCAUCGCCGUAUUAUAGUCUCGUAACCCUAUCAAAGUCAUCUUCUAAAUGUUAUUUUCUACUAGAGCUCAUUACAUUGGCAUUAACUCAUUAAUUUGUACUCAUUAACUCGCAUCGAAAAGAAAGAGAGGGAAUAUAAAAUUUGUAAUGUGUCUUUCUAAUAAUGGACGCUUUCUAGCUAGUUUCUAUUUCACAAAAAUCAGAUGCCGGCAGUUGGUUCCUUUUGGCUUUUUAAUAGUACAACUUGAACAAAUGUACAUAGUAAUUACUGACGUAUCGCUACUCAUUUGUUAUCCAUAAUCUGGUUUUGUCACUACUUGAAUCCAUAAUAGUUUCUUUUCUUUUUUUUUUAAGAAUGAUAAAAAUGAAGAAAGAGGAGGAAUUGGGUAGUCAAAAUUGAAAUCUCAAUGUAAAACGAAAAAAAUAAGCUCCCUUGGUUAGUUAGAAGGCUAUGUAACAACAGCGGUCACUAAAAGUUUUCAGAAUCUCAUCUCGUCAUGAAUUCAUCAAGGUCUUAUUACUAUUAUUUCCUUCAAUAGCCACUUGGCGUGUUUUUGGGUCAAACAGUGAAGCACAAAGGGGAAAGUAUAUGUCGAUUUUUUUAAAAAAAAAGUAUAGGCAAGGGUGAGAAUCGAAGCCAAAUUAAAAAAAAAAAAUCAAAAUUAAGUUCUUUACGCCUUGAACUAUGAUGGAAACUCUUGGCAAAUCUUUGAAAACAUCUAUGCCAUGAAUGAAAUUCAAUCCUAAUGAUGCUUUUAAAUGCAGCUAAAUCAUCAGUCUUGUCAUCCUAGACAUGCAAAAUGCGUAGUUAGAUUCCACUAAACCACAUUUAUUUCGGGAAGGAGAGAGUACAAGACGAAUGUCUCGUAUACAAUUGCAACACCAAUUGGUCAACUUGGAAAUAUAUGUUACAAGGGAUAAUUAUCAAUUUAAUUGCCCACAAUAAUUAUCACUUUAUCUCUUUCCGAUUAAUUGUAGGCCAAUUCUGUUCAUUGUCACGAAAAAACCUAUUUAUUGACCUUACCAUUAUGAGAACAAGUUUGUGUAAAAACCUAGGGGCAAAUUACAAAUCUAGUCCUUGAUGUUUGAGCUUUAUAUUUUUUUUGUCUCUCAAUUUUAAGAUGAAACAUUGGUCCUUUAAAUUUGAGAGUUUUAAAUUUUUUUUUGAGCUACUCAAUUUUAACUUUUUUGCUUCUGUAAAUUUUCCAUGAUUUCUUUUUUCUCUGGUUUGACCUAGUUGAAUUUGAGUUCGAGUAAUAUUUCAUCCUAAUAAAAUAAUAAAAAUAUAAGGGACAUACAUGUAAUUUCACCACUAAAAAUAUAAACUAUAAAAAAUAUACAAAUUCGAUACAGCUUGAUGAGCUAAAAAAUUGAAUAUCUAUACACUUGGCUCGAUCCAAUCGGUCACCAAGUCAAAUUGACCUUGAGUGGAGCUUCAUGAGCGAGCUCAAUUUGUUUACAACUCUAAUCACAUCUUAAUACACCCAAAAAGAGUUGCAACAAAAACUUAAGGGAUAAUUUUAGAAACCUCCCUUGAGAUUGAUUUACGACAAUUUCACAUAGCACCCCUUUAAUUAUGAAAAUUACACUAACCUACUAUGUCAGUUUGAUAGGACAAAAUAUCAUAAUUAGAAGGCCCAAAUUGUCUAUAAUACCAUUAGUGAAAUAGUUUUGUCAAAUAAAAGUUAUUUUGCAAAUUGUUAGUACUUGUUUUGCAAAAGUAAAACUUGUAUACAUUGUUUUGGCUCUUGGAAACUCUAAUUUUUACUUUUUGACCACAACUAUAAAUUCAAUUUUUGAUCCUCAAGGAUGUUGCUAGUUGAAAUGAGUUCUCUCUCUGUAACCUACCAUGGUGUUUUGGACAACUGUGGUUAGGCCUUAAGUUUCUUCGCUUGCUGCACUUAAAAGCUAAGAACUUAUUACCUUUUAAUUCUAUAGGAAAUUGCAUGUAAAUUUAUGUUCCAUUACCAACCUUUUUUUCAAUCUAGUUCCUCACCUGAAAUAAUGUUGCACAUGCAACUGUUGUAUUGGGACUACCAGUCAACAGACAUGAGACUUCCUUGUUCUUGUUUGCCUACUCAGAGGAUCAGACCAGUUUCUACUUUUUCAUUUUUUUUAUUCUAUUUUUUAAAGUAUAUUGCAUGUCAUAAUUUCUUGUGAGAGCAUUAAGGCUAAUUUUGGAAUGAUGUUUUUUUUUAAGAAUUUCCUUUCAACUUUUUCGUUCAUUUUUUUCUGACCAGGGUAAAUUUGUAACAAAGAACCAUAAAGUCAGCGAGGUCAGUUUAAUUUUUGAAAUCAGAGGGGUGCUGGUGAAAUUAUCAGAAACCUCAAGGGAAGUUUCUGAAAUUGUUUAAAAAAUUAAAAAUGACGAAAAAACUAAAAAAAUGAUAAAGAUUGAAAAAAGAAAUCAAAAAAUAAAAAGUAGUGGAGCAAAAAAUGUGAUGAAGAGAAUUGAAAACUAGAAAAUGACACCUACCCUGUUUGUAGUUAUACAUGAGGACUAUUAGCCACAGACUUGGGAGACGUAUAAUUGAGUAUACAAAAUUAACUUCACAAGUACAUGCACCUGGCUGGUGUAUUCUUUUGGCGUUUUAAGUGUGAAAAACUAACUCCAGAGGUACAUCGCUAUUAUAACAAUAUUUGGCGUUUUAAAUGUAGAAUGCCAAACCAAAAGGGGGCUCUAACAUCAGCCUAUAGCACGGGAUAAGAUAAGGGAUGAGAAUCCAACAGUGAUAAUUCACGAUUACUCUAUACAUGUUGAUGUUGAUGAGUUAUUCUUAUCAUACAAAGUAAAACAUGUUGCCAAAUUCCCGAUGAAGCGAAUAUAUGACUGUUAGACAAAAACCUAGAGUUGUUUAAAAUCAUGUGAAACACGGGACUAUGCCACUGUUGAUGAGUUAGUCUUACUACAGACUAAGGCUUAUUUGAUAAAACUAAAGCUUGAAAUCUCAAUUCUGGAAUCCAAAAAUUAAAUAGUGAAACUAUUAAGUUGCUAAAUUGAUAAAGAUAAAUGUUUGAUAACUAACUGAGUUAUAGUCCUAAAUUGAAAUAUCACACAAAUAUUAUACUUUCAUCCUUAAAAAAAUUGUCUUUAUUUGCAUAUUUGGAGAGAAAGAAAAGUGUUUUGUGUGAGAGAAAAUAAUUAAACAAUUGAGAGAUAGUACUUAAGUGUGUGUGUAUUUGUGUGUGUCUACAUGUGUAUAUAUGUGUGUCGAAUAGAACGAGAGCAAAUGUAUACUUUGUGCAAGAGUGUAUAUAGAAUAAGGGUGCAUUUGAUAAAAUUGAAAUCUAAAAACUGAAAUUUGAAGUCUGAAAUCUAAAAUAUGAAUCCAUUAAAUUAGUGAAUUAUUAAAUAUUAAAUUUGAUACAUUUGAAUGUAUGUCACAUUAAGUGUUGGAGCAAAUUUCAUCUAGAAAAUUCAAUACCACUUAAUUAAUUUAGAUGUUUUACCUUUGGUUAUCAAACACAUAUGGACAUGUUAUAAUAUGAUUCCAUUAAAUUUAAGUGCUGGAUUGGGUCAUCUAAUAGGGCCUAUGACCCUAUUUGAUAAAACUAAAGUUUGAAAACUGAAAUUUAAAUAUUAAAUACUGAAAAUAUUAAGUCACCAAAUUGAUAAAGAUAUGUGUUUGAUAACUAAUUGAAUUAUAGCACUAAAUUGAAAUAUCACACAAUAUUAUACUUUCACCCUAAAAAAUUGUCUUUAUUUGUAUAUUUGUUAAGAAAGAAAAAUGUUUUGUGUGAGAAAACUAAUUAAAUAAUUGAGAGAUGGUACUUAAGUGUGUGUUGUGUGUCUGCAUGUAUAUAUGUGUGUGUCGAAUAGAAUGAGAGCAAAUAUAUACUUUGUGCGAAAACAUAUGUGAGUGUGUUAUAUGUGUGAGAAAUGUAUUAUGUGUGAUCAACUUAGAAAAUUUAGUCCAAAAUUUUUACUUAAAAUUUUGUACACAAAUUAAGUGGUGCUUAAUACAUUAAGUUAGGCAUUUCAGUUAUCAAACAUGCUGAAUUCAAAAGUUUUGAAUCAAUUAAUUUUCAACAUUAAGUUGAAUUAUCAAACAAACCCUGACUCAUCAACAACGUACAAAGUGAGAACAUAUUCCAAUGUGUGCAAAUACCUUAGCUUAGACAUUUGGCAUAUCCCAUUUCUUGUUUCAAUCUUUAUCUCGCUGUCUAUUUCUUCGCGUGUGCGAGGAUAUCAUAUGUAGGGCUGCAAAAGAGUCAAGAGUCAAGUUAUGACCUAAACGAGAUGAACAUGACUCAAUUUUAUAAGACUUGAAUUCAAACUUGAACUCGUCCAACUUGCACUCUGAAACUAGAGCUCGAACAACGGUUCAAGCAUAGUCGAGUUUGAAUUCGAGUCUUGUCAAAAUUGAGUACAAACCUACUUGAGCUCAAAUGAGAAUAAAAAAUAAUUUUUAUUUUUUAAAAAUAGGUAAAAUAGACAUUUCACCAUUAAUAAAUUAAAAAAAUAAAGGAGAUAUAUAUGUAAUUUCACCACUAAAAAUAUAAAAUAUACAAAUUUGUUGGCUCGACGAACCAACAAGCCAAGUAGCUAUAUAAAUUGCUUGACUUGACUAGCUUGGCAAGCCAACUCGAGCUCGAGUCGAGCUUCGCGAGUUGACUCAACUUGUUUACAACCCCAAUCACGUGGUAAUGUACCAAAAUAAUAAGUUGCAAGGAAAAAUUAAUAGAUAAUUUCAGAAACAUCCCUUGAAGUUUUUGACAAUUUCACCUAGCACCCCUCUAAUCUUAAAAAUUACACUAACCUCCUUUGUCAAUUUGACGGGACAAAAUAUCAUAAUUAGAGGGCCAAAAUUGUCUAUGAUACCCCUAGUGAAAUAGCUUCUUCAAAUCAAGGUGAAUUUGCAAAAUAUUAGUUCUUCUUUUAUUUUACUCAAAAUGAUCAUUUUAUUAAAACAAUCACCAAUGGAAAAAGUAGUAUUUUAUAAUGGAAAAGGUUCGAGGAGAUCUUGAUCUGGUGGCUAAGAUUCAGACCCUCCUACCCCCUUCCCACUUAUUCUAAAAUUCUGCUAGGAAAAAAUUUACAAUUUGUAUGCAUUGUUUUGGCUUUUGGAAACUUUAUUGUUGUUUUUUUUACCGGAACUACAAAUUCAAUUGUUGCUCCUCGAGUAUGUUGCCCGUUGAAAUGAGUUCUCUCUAUAACUUGUCAUCCUUGUGCUUUGAAAAAGUGUGCUUGGGCCUUUAGUUUCUUUGCUUGCUGCACUUAAAAGCAAAGAACUUAUUACUAGGGGUGGCAAUUCGGGUCCAAUCAGGUUGACCCGACCCGCCAAAAAAAUCUAUUGACCCGAACCCGACCCGGCAACCCGUGACGAGUCAGUAUAUCUAUCACGAACCCGAAAAAAUUGGGUUGGCGGGUCGACCCGAAAUGACUCGAAAAUUAAUUUUAAUUUAUUAAUUUAUUACUGUAAAUUCUAAUAAAAUCAAUUUCUCACAAAAUUAAUUACAUCAUCAAGUAAUAAAAAUUUAAAUAAAUAAUUUCAAAUCAAAUCCAAAAUAAAUUAAACACCGUAAAAGUGUUUUAUUCCAAACCAAAUAUAAAAUAAACUAAAACGAAUUAUAUUAUUUGUCCAAAUAUAAUAAUUUUAACUUCAUACAAGGUAAAUAAAUUCAUUUAGGAUUAAGUAAUUAAUGCCUUUGAAAAAAAAGAAUGAUUUAGUUUAGUUAGAUAAAAUAAUUUUUAUGUUUAUUAAAUUAUUUUUAAUUUGUAAACGGGUCAUAUCGAGUCAUAUCAGGUCACCACGGGUUGACCCGAAAUUGACCUGUUUUCUUUUUGGGUUCAUCGGGUUCGACUCGAUUCUGACCCGAACCCCCAAAACUUCAACCCAAACCCGUUAAUUUCGUGUUAGGUUCGUGUCGUGUUUUCGGGUCGUGUCAGAAAUUGCCACCCCUACUUAUUACCUCUUAAUUUAAUGGGAAAUUGCAUUUUAAUUUAUUUUGUGUUACCACCUUUUUUUUAUCUAGUUCCUCACCAGAAAGAACGGUGCACGUGCAAUGGUUAUAUUGGGCUUACAGGUCAACAAAUAUUAUAGGACUUCUUCAUUCUUGUUUUUCUACAAAGAGGAUUGGACUAAUUUUUACUUUUUCUUCGUUUACUAUUCCAUUUUUUAAAGUACAUUGCAUGUCAUAAUUUCUUGUGAGAGCCUUAAGGGUAAUUUCGGAAUAAUGUUAGUUUUUAGGAUUUCCAUUUAACCUUUUUCAUUCACUUUUUCUAAUAGGGGUAAAUUUGUUACCACGAACCUUAAAAUAGAGGGGGUCAGUGCAUUUUUUAAAAUUAGAGGGACACCAGGUGAAAUUAUUACAAAGCUCCAGGAAGGUUUUUGUAAUUAACCCAAAUAUUAAACAUGACGAAAAAAUUGAAACAAAUGAUAAAAAUUGAAACAAGAAGUCCAAAAAUAGGAAAGUAGGAUAACAAGUGAAACCAAAAGCGUGAUAGAGGUUUGAACACUAGAAAAUGACACCUAGCCUAUAAGGAGUUUAGUCACCGAUAUGGAAAAUUUACUUGGGGCGGGUAUAACUCACAAGAGGACUGGCUAAAAUGACGUCGUUUGCCGCUUUAAAGUUAGAAUGCCAAAUCAAACUGGGCUUUAAUUUCAGCCACUAGCAAGGGAUAAGGGAAGAGAACCCUAGACUGAUCAUUCACGAUCGCUCUCUGUUGAUGUUGAUGAGUUAGUCCUACCAUGUGAAACAUAUUUAUUUGCAAAACUUAAAACACCCUUAGCUCUAGAGUUUAGACACAUGGAAAGAAUUUGGCGAUUGUUGUCUGGAAAAGUACAGGAAAGGGUGAUUAUUGAAGCAGAAUUCAAUAAUUCAAUAAUGUCAAAGAGGUGCGUGAAUAAUGGAGACCAAGUUGGCGGUGGAGUGCUGAUAAAAUUGAAUAAAGAUUGGCUGAUUUAUCAUAUCAAGAUAAAGACCAAGUUGGCGGUGGAGUGCCCAGAUUUUUGGGAAUUCUCUGGGCAGCAACAUCCACCCAGAUUCCGUGAGUUGGUGUACUAGAUUUUAGUGAUGAAGAUUUUGGAUUUAGUAAAGGGAGAAAAGAAUAGGAAAAUGGAAGGGAAAAGCAAAAUAGAGAAAAUGAAAAAUGAAGGGGAACAAACCAAAAAAAAAAAGGAAGGAGUGAGAUUUGUCUUCUGUUCAACAAUGAAUGUGGAAAAUCAUGACAUCUUUUCAUACUUUCAAUUUAGACCCUCAAUUUACUUUUUGUUCUCAAAUAAAUUAAGAAAGUUAGUAAAAUUUCAAUUAGACCAUAUAUUAACUAUUGGAACGGAUCGAAAACUGGGUUAGUAUAGGAAUUUUAAAUCUUUUCUUUCAAUUGGAUGAUUUCCAUCCAUUUCCCAAAGAAGUCCAAAGUAUAUAGGGGUUAUGUGGCUAUUUUUAAAUAAUGAGGGGGUUUCAUGUCCACUGAGGGGAUUUAUUGUAUUUUACCCCAAAAAAAAUAUUCCUCUACCUUGUUGAUUUGAAGGACUAAGCCAAAUUAAUAUUCCUUUGAGAGUUAGAAUAAGAUAUUCCAGCAACUGUUUGGAGAUUUGUGGUGAUACUAGGGUAACAAAUGGAAUGUACUAACUUUAUUAUGGAAAGAACAUUUUGUAACAACUAUUAAAUAUUCUUCUGAUUUGUUGUUAGAUAUGGCCAUGAUUUCAAAAUUGCUAGUUCUGAUGUAAAAAUUGAUGGUUUCGAUUCUUCUAAAAGGUGAAAUCUGAACCGACACUUAUAAGGAUAAUUACGGUUAUGGUUCUUGAACCUUUGGUACCGGUUUUAUUCUAGUUAUGAUUUCAAUUUCUUCCAGAUAUGCUUCCGGUUCUUUUAAUUACAUCUGAACACUUAUUAUUAUAAAAUUGAUUCUAAGAAAACAUGACAAUGAAUAUAGAAAAAAAUAAGGACUUUAUUGUAUUAUUGUGUGCAAGGAAAAAGAAAAAAUGAUGCAAAUUUUAUAUUUAAAAAAAAAAAACCUAAUUGUUGAUUAGAUUAAAUUGGUUUUGGACUUAAAUUAGUUAUAGGGUCUAGGCUUAUUAAUGGGGAUGGGACAAUGGGUUGUUGUGUAAGGAUUAGAAUUGCUAGUAUUGGGUGCUGACUAUCAAUAUUACAUUCUAAACUAAUCAAAUAAAUUUAUAUAGCAAGUAUCUUUUUUUGCACGAUUUGAAUCGAUUCUAAACCGCCGAUUUUUUAUUUCAGUUUAAGUUUUUGGUAAAUUUGAAUUUGAAUCUUUAGUUACAAUUAUGGUUUUGAUUCCGACUUUUAAAAUUUGAUUUUGGUUUCAAUUCAACAAACUAUUAGUGUGGUUCUAAUUCAAACUAGAACUGUGACCACUCCUAUUUGUUGCCAUCACCAUUCAAAACAAAAUGAGGAACUAGAAACUCUAUAAAGGAAUACGGGACUCAGUCACUGAGUUCACAAAGAAAGACAACGCAAAAUUAUCAUAGACGUACUCAUGAUGUUAAGAUAUAGCAGUCUAAUUUUAUCUAACAACUUGUCAUCUAACUAUGCCAACAAAUAUGUUCGUUGUAAAACUUCAAAAUUCAGUGAUAUUAGGGACAUUUGCAAAUAUCAAUUGCAGAGUGAACUUUCUACAAGCUCAAUUUCACGACAUGUGGCACCAAACCAAUGUAGAGAUUGAACACAAAACAAAUCUCAGGUUGUUGAUCUUCGCAAGGAGCAUCUUUUUCUUUUCUUUUCUUAUUUGAAUGAUUGGCUGCAAACUGUUAUCAUUGUUUGCAUGCGCUUCUGUAAAUUUUCCAUGUUUCCUUUUUCUCCUGUAUGAAAAGAUAUGCGAAUAUUAUGACAGAUACAUAACAAGAGAAGUGAGAAAAGUAAAUAAGAAAGUACAAUAUUAGUUGAAACUCUUUGUUGAAUUUUGCAACUCCUUUAUAGAAGGAGCAGCUUUUUCUUUUCUUUUUGCAGUUGUCAUCAUUGUUUGCUUGUGCUUCUGUAAAUUUUCCCAUGUUUUCUUUUUCUCCUGUAUGAAAAGAUAUGAAUAUUAUGAUACAUACAUAACAAGAGAAGUGAGAAAAGUAAAUAAGUACAUUAUUAGUUGAAACUUUUUGUUGAAGUUUGCAGCUCCUUUAUCAGAAUGGCUUGCUGCAUUCUGCAUGUAAUGUAAUUAUAUAUUUUGUAUGGUAGACUUUUCAAAAUAAAAAAAUUAAUUACCUUCACCUCAAUAUUUUUGGAAUUGUAGAAAUUCUUUCCAAAUUUGCAAUUGUAAAAUAUUAAAUGAUACAACUGAAUUUUCAUUUUGGAAUAAUAGAAAUUCUUUCCAAAUUCGCGAUUGUAAAAUAUUGAAUGAUACAAGUAAUAAAAUUCAGGAAGCAUUAUAAAUUUAAGUGAAAGUGGCCAAAUUCCUGCCUAAACAUAUUUACUAAAGGUAUUUUAGUUUUGGCCAAUGUGAUUCUUAAACAUAAGGAUUAGCUGUUUUUUGGGGUGUUUUUGAAAAAUUUUGCUGUAGCAGAGUUUUUAGAGUAUAUUUUGGAAUAUUUUUAGAAAGUAUUUAGGGAUAUUUAAGAGUAGAUGAGUUUUUAGAAUAUAUUUUGAGAUAUUUUUUUAAAAUUUUAAAAAAAUUUAAACUAAUUUUUAGAUUACCUUUUAGAGUACUUUUUAAAAAUUUUUAUUGUAUUUGAAAAAUUAAUUUUUGAAAAACACUCCAAAAACAAGGGAUCCAAAUAGAGUUAAGGGUUUUUCUAACAAGUGCACUAUAGGCACUUGUUAACACACCUAUAUUCCAUCCAACCUACCAUGUAUAUACGCAUACUAAUAAGUAUUGCUUUUGCUUGCAUUUAUAUAAUUUUUUUAAUUAAUCCUUUGUAUUUAUACAUUUUCUUUAAUUAAUCUUAUAUUUUUAAAAAUUUAAUACCUAAAAUAUAUCUUAACAGGUGCUUUCGUUAGAGACCAUAAUUCUCUAAUCCAACUAAGUUCCUCUAAGGUGGCACUACCACUUAAAGUCAACCGCACCUCUGUUUAUCAAUUAAACAAAAGUAUUUUGGAAACGUCAAAUAUGGGGCUACAAUAAAAUCAAGUAAAUUAAAAAAAAAAUAAUGGGUCCAUAUGAAUUGAAGUACUUUACAAAAUUUUAGGGCACUUUUAAAAUUUCUUAUUUUAGUUUUCACUCCUCCCCUACCUCGACCUCCCUAUCAGCCCUCUUUUCCCAUCUCCACCACCCCUUCACCUCUGCACCUUCCCCAAUUCCUACCACCAACCCGCUGCCCCCUCUCUCCCCAUCAAAGAUCAAACCCACCAUCUUCUCCACUCCCCUCCAACCAGCCAGCUCCACUCUCCCAAAACGAUGGGUAUCAUGAAAAGAUGAUAAAUUCAGAACCCUUCCCCCAAAGUAUUUUUUUGAUUUACUUGAAUUUGUUAUAUCCCCACACCCAAAGUUUCCAAAACAUCCUUGUUUGGCUAAUAAAUUAAGAGUCCUAUUGAUUUAGUUGCUGCUGUAGAAGGAUUUAGUUGGACCGAAAAUUAACUUUAAAAAUCACAUUGACCAAAACUAGAGUUUGGGGAGUAUAUCAGCUUUAGCAAAUAUGUUUAGGGACAAAUUUGACCAUUUUUCAUAAUUUUAAAAUGAUCUAAGCAUAGCAAAAUUUUGUUGAUCUCUUUUGAAUUACUUUCUUCUUUUUUUGAUAGAUUUUUUGUCUACAUUGCCAAGUAUUAUUUAAUAUGAAAAAUAUUUGUUAGACAGUAAAAAAAUAAAAACAGCUUAAUAUUCAUACGUUAUAGUGUGAACAACUUUGAAGAUGUUCAUAUUUAGUAAGUAAUUGCUAUAGCAACUGGUGUAUUCUUUGACGAACAAGUUUUCAAUUUAAUUUAGGGAAAAAUACACUUUUCAUCCCUAAUACUUAAGAUGUUAACCAAUUUCAUCCUUAAAGUUUCACGCAAAACACAUUUCAUCCUUGUAAUUUUAUAAUUUUGAUUAAUUUCAUCCUUCAAGUUUUAUGCAAAUUAUGCAAACACAUUUCAUCCUCAUAAUUUCCUAAAUUUGGCUAAUUAAGGACAAUUGGUAGAUUGUCAAGCAAUUUAAAUGUGAUAGCAUCACUUGAUCACGGCAUGCCCAUUAGUUAAAAAAAAUGGAUCAACAAAAAAGCUCAAAAAUCUUUUCUUAAUUCACUUUCUCAUUUUGGUACAAAAAAGACUGAGAAAUUUUUAACCAUCAUUACUUUCUUCUUAAUCACAAUCGAAUAAGAAGAUCCAAAGAAAAUGAAGUCAGUGGGAAAAAAACAAUCCCACUAUAGCCAAUUGAAGAAAAAUGUCAAACAAACCCAUUACAACUAAUUGGAGAAAAAUAUUAAUGCAAAAGAAUGAAUGAUUUGGAUUGUCAUUUAUUUGCAAAAUUUUGUUUUGUUGCAUCAUAUACAUGUUUUUCAAUCAUCUAUUUAUCUUUCAAUCUAUUUAUUUAGUCUCAAAUAUAUCAUAUAACAAUUUAAAGGGAAAAAAAGGAGAUAGUCUCCUAUCCAAAAACACUUGUUGUUAUUUCUAUAAUUUAAUCAAUAAUUGAAUUAAGUAUUAAUAAUACAAUUAUUAAUGGGACAUGUGAUGAUAUUAUGUCUAAAUUGGUUAACAAUCCUUUAAUUGUCCUUAAUUGGUAGGAAUUAUAAAAUUAUGAGGAUGAAAUGUGUUCUACAUAAACUUUAGGGACAAAAUUGAUCAAAAUUACAAAAUUAUGAGGAUGAAAUGUGUUUUGUAUGAAACUUUAGGGACGAAAUUAGUGAACACCUUAAACAUUAGGGAUGAAAAGUGUAUUGUUCCCUUUAAUUGAGGGUUUUGAUUUUACUUGAACUUGAAUUUAAUUACUAGGCGAAAAGUUUGUCCUUAGAUUAAAUUUUAACUUGAAUUUAAUCCGUGGCCAAAUACUUCUUCUUCAAUUUAAUUCAAACUUGAAUUUAAAUGAGAAAACUCUUCAGAAACUAUGGCGGAGCUUCUCCAAAAUUUUGAAAUUUGAAUGUAUACAUUUCUUCAUUUCUGUCUUGGAGGGGAGAUUCUUGUUUAUAGCCAAAAACACACGGGAUGAUGAGACAAAAUAUGCAGUGCAAUAGUUUUAAAAGAAACAGUGUAGGGUUUUACUUGCAAUGUGGGUAGUUUAUAGAAUAAGAAACCCGCUUAACUUCAAUAAAUGAGCCAGCCAAUAUAUUUCAUUGUGAAUGAAUCUAAUCAACUAACCUACUUCAAUUUAAUUGGACAUUGCACAAUCAAUUUGUGUGCCAUGUAGCAUUGCUCCAUCUUGUAUGCUUUAAAGGCUUUUUUUUUUCUUUUUAAAGAGAAACGUAAGCCCAAAGUCUGAUGAACUUGUAAUUAUUUAAUUUAAUUACACCAAAAUCAAUUUUAACUAAAUAAAUUAUUUAAAGGUUCUGUUGUCUACCAUGAUCACAGGUCGAAUAGUCGGAGACACGGUGAUAAUAGUAGUGACCCUGUUGACACAAGAAACGAUGUCGUAAAAUACAAAUCGUUCUGAGAGCUUAGGUUGGUUGCCUCUACGGCAUUUUCAAGGGGCACCUCCUUGGAGGGUCAACGUCAAAGACAUGUGAAACGGCUCUUUUGUCCCAAAUCCCAAUCUUAAGGCACUGGUACAGAUGGUAGGACCCUUGUCCUUUUUCUUUGGACCGCUGUCCAUAUUCCGUACAUUUUGGCAAGAUUAAUACAAGCAAUCUUUUGAUAAAAAAAAAAAAAAGAAAAAGAAACGGUUCGUACCUAAUUGCCUCUAUGCUCAAAUUUCGUUGUAGGCUUUUUUGUUUCCCAGGAUUCGAAAUCUUACGAGCAAGAAAGGAAACAAGAAAAAAAAAAAAAGAAGAGAAUUUGUAAGUCAAACCACAGAACUUUUAGUCGCCUAACUAAUAUAACCUACUAGUUAAGUUGAUUGCUGUGAAUUAGUUAUUUUAGAUAGCUUAGUAAUUCUUUGGCCGUAUCCAUCGUUCUUGCUAAUAUCGGUAACUAUAAGAUUUAAUGGCCCAAUUAAAAUAGAUUGAGUUAAGGGUUAAGUCAAAAAUCACCGGUAAAAACUGUUAAUCUAACCAUUAUAGAACCAUUAUUGACCCGUGAUGACAUAUUAUGAAUAAGUAGUAUGUUAUUCAUAUUAGUAUUAGAUCGACCACUAUUUAUCCUGUAAAUCUAAACUUAAUUGAUUAGUAGGGAAUAAAUUGAUCAAUAAUCGGUUUUAAUGUACACUAUUACAAUAUAUAUCAAAUAAAUUUAUUUUUACAACUACAACACAUCCAAAAGAAAAGAAGAAAAUUACAUGGCACCAAACAUGAACCAUAAAGGAAGAAAAAGAAAAAAUAUGGAAAAGAAACUAACUUUGAUAUAAAAACACAAAAUUGUAAUAAUAAAAAAAAAUUAGAAAAGUCAUAUAAAAGUUAAUUUACAUUUUGGAUUGUUUAAUAUUAAUAAUAACCUAGUGGAUAAAAUUUAUGAAAUCUAGUAAGAGAUUUUAGAGUUUCUAAACAAUUUAAAGCUAAGCUGUAAUCUUUUAAAGUGAAAUAACACAAACUAAUUAGCUUUGAAUCCAAAAGGAAAGCAUGAAGCUUCAAUUGAAACUAAUUAGCUUUGCAUCUGAUAAUGUCAGAUGAUGUCGCCGCCCAUUUUGACUUUAAAAGCCACACACAGCCCCCCCCCCCCCCCCCCCCCAAACUUACUAAAAACCAAUUUUGAUUCGAUGGUUUGAUGGUCUAACCAGAUGAGUUAACUAUUUUUUUUUUGCAAUUUAGACUGGAUUUUCACUCUUCCAAGUUUGUGCCCUAUCCUAACUCGAAAAAUAACUCGAUUGAAGGUUCAACUAGUUCAACUAAAUGAUCCGAGCUGAGUUUUAAAAUAUUGCAAAUUAGUUAGUUAUCGAUUGAAAAUGAAUCCAUUCUUUACAGGUAAUAUCUCUCUCUCAAACCCUCAAAAGUGAAAAAAAUUUUGUCAUGCAUCAUCACCAGAGAUUAUUAAUUGGAUAAAAUAUGCGACAUAGUUAUCCUUAGAGGUGGCAAUAUGUAUAAACGGUUCAUAAUUGAUUUUAUUUAAUAGAUGGUGGAUUAAAUUUAUCCAAUUCAUUUAGAUCAAAUAAUGGAUCUAAACAGAUUAAAUAAAAACCAAUUAUCCAUUUAUAAUCCAUUUAAAUAAUUUUAUCAAGACCAAAGCAGUAUCAAAAUAAGCAUGGUGCACACAAAUUCCUACAAAUCACUUGCUCACUAAAGUGCAAGUUAGAUAGCUUCAGAAUUCUGUUUUAAGAGUAUUCUGCUUGAUACUCUUAAGAUCACACUGAACGCAACUAAAGAGCCAACCACUUAAAAAGGAUUUACAUAUUUACACAGGGGUAAAAAAAAAACAUAAUUUCAGGCAAAUAGGAGUCUAGCUCAAAUCCAAAUUCCAAAUCCCAAAACCACUAGAGAAAAUAAUGAUAGCCAUGCACGAUAUUACAUAUUUCUCACUAGUUAUUGCGUCUAAAUAGAGUUAGCAGAUGUUCGACAGACAGGACAAGAAGGCGUCUGUAGCAACCACGAGUCUAUGCACUGAACAUGGAAGCUGUGGUUGCAAAUAGGCAGCAAUUUGCAAACUUCACCGAUCUUGAAGUACUCCAAGCACACAGCACAUUCCUUGUGGGGGUCUUCUUCCUUGUACUGGAAGAUGAGUAUUUAUUGAAAUGUCACAUGCGUAUUAGCUGUUUGUGAGAAUGACUGUUUGAAAGAUGAGUUUUUAUAGUUGGGUUCUCUAUCUGGGAUUGAGUUAAAAAACACAACAAGAAAUAUAUGGUUUUUAGUCAUUUCCUUUCCGUUUCUUUUAUUUGGUUUUUAAGUAAAUGGAUAUAUAUGAUUUUUGUGGAUAAUCCAUAGAAAUCUAUUUAAUUUAAUGAUUUUAUUUUGGUCAAUCAUUUAAAACCAAUACUAUAAAUGAAUAAUCCAAAUCCAUUUAAUUAUAGAUUAUAUAGAUAGAUAAAUGGAUCUCAAUCCAAAUUGCCACCUCUAGUUAUAAUGUUUAUGAUUAGGAUUUUUUUUUUUUUGGUCAAAAAUGAUCAGAAUUCAAUUAAUGGUAGGACUUAGAUUACGACGUUCAAGUUUUUCGUAAUGCUGUAAAGAACCUUGGUCCACUUUUCAAUUACAUCCCAGGGUAUAAGCCUUACUAUGUUGUUAACUGUAGUUAUAUCAUGUGGAUCAAUGUUUAUAUAGUAAUUCUCAAAAAUAUAGAAAUCAUGCGUAUCUCACGUAUGGAAUCUAUUGUUUUUAUUUCAAAAAUAUAGAAGUCAUUUCUGAGAUUAUAUAUACACACGUUGAUUAAUAUUAUUUCAAAUAAUUGGUAUUGACAAUUGUUGAGGAGCUUAAAACUCAGACAAUACCAAUUUCAAUUGGUAUUGACAUAGGCUAUGAGUUUAUUAUUAUUAUUAUUAUUUUUUGUCGAAAGGCUAUGAGUUUAUUAGCACAAGGUAAUUUUACGCAAAGUUAGACAUGCAUUUUACUAAUUGAUAAUUGGCAGAGCGAAAGAAAGCUACUUCUUUCUCCACAAAUGCCAAUUUCAAAGAUACAGCUUCACUAAUAACAGUACAGACUAUUAGGUGAUCAGGAUCAGAUAAUCUCAUCAAAUCUUAUUCUUGUACCAGAAUACACCCUUGCUUCCUUCAUCUGGCUCAACAUAAAGACACUCUUUUGCCUCCCUCCACAUCGCCUUGUGGAGAGGAGUGCCAUCAAAUCGGUAAUACUCUCCCAGAAUUGGCUUCAUUGCUUCAGUUGCCUCCACUGCAUGAUAAUGUGGCAUUUUUGAAAAGAGAUGAUGAGCCACAUGUGUGUUUGUGAUGUUAUGGAAGACCUUGUUCAAGACACCGUAAUCUCUAUCAACGGUUGCCAGCGCGCCCCUCAGCCAAUCCCACUCUGAUGAAUCAUAGUGCGGCAAUGAAGGGUGAGUGUGGUGCAGAUACGUGAUGAAAACAAUGAUGCCAUUUAGAAUGAGCCACGGUAGCCCGUAGAUGCAUAUAAGCCAGCCUAGCCCUUUUGCCAAUGCUACCCGAUAAAGCUGGUGAGUUGUUACAAUGACACCAACAUCGGAAAUGUAGAUUUGAAGCCUCUCACGAGCAUUAUAGAUUGGACUAUAAGGAUCAUAAUGGCACGCAAAACGAUCAUAUUGUCUGCCUGAAGCAUUGAUGGCCAGGUACAAGGGCCAACCCAGCACAAGGGUGAUCGCCAGAGUGAUGACUCUGCCUGGAGGGUUGUUCAGGUACUUGUAGUACCACUCUAUUUCGGACUUUGGCUUCGGCACAAAGACUUCGUCAUGUUCGAUUGAUCCAAUGUUGGAGUGGUGGCGGCGGUGGCUGUGUUUCCACGAGAAGUAGGGGACCAU
rnacentral:lncRNA from 1 species